CAGUCUACAAGUAUAAGUCACCACCACCUCCUUCCCCAAUUUACAAGUCACCAUCACCACCUUCUCCAGUAUACAAAUUACCUCCACCACCUCCUCCAGUUUACAAAUCUCCACCACCAUCAAUUUAUAAAUACAAGUCUCCUCCACUACCUCCUCCAGUGUACAAGUCAUCACCACCACCUGCUUACAAGUCUCCACCUCUUCCAGUUUACAGUUCCCCACCACCACCAAUCUACAAGUCUCCACCUCCACCCUACCAUUACUACUACAAUUCUCCUCCUCCUCCUCCUCGUCACUACUAAGCAAUUGUAUGCAAGUUUUUGAGGUAAUAACGCUUAACCAAUAAACUAACUUUCGCAUGAUAAAACUUAUCUCUAUCAAGACAAACUGCCAUGUGUAUCAUGCCAAAUACGUACACCUAGAUCCAUGAAAAUGAAUGGUAGAAAAUUUUCUUAAGAACUAAGGAACAGCAUUAGUAUUCCCUCUGCUUCCAAAAACUUGUGUAUUAAAUAGAUUAAUGAAUUGUUUAACAUGCUCAUUUACUUGAAAAUACACAAUACCCAUAACCUACUGAAUUUUUUGCAGGAAAAGGGAAAGACAAUCUGUGUUUGAGAGCUUCAUGAAGAUGUUGAAGAAUAAGAAUAAAAGCCCAAUGCGAGGAUGUUUCAAGUUUUUCUAUGUUUCCACUUUAAUUUGUAAAUUGAAUUUUGUGACUCAAUUAAUUCCCUGUUUGUGGGGUACGUGUUGUUUUACGUACCAUGCCGUACAGGUUUGUAAGGAUUUCUAUCCUAUUGGCAAAAGUCGGUUCCAUACAAUUAAUCAAUUCAUUUCACUUCUAUUGGCUCUACUAUUUAUGCAUGUUACGACAUUUUUUCUCUCUUUCCCUUAUAUUUUGCCUUUAAUAUUAUUGAAUCAAUAUUAAUAAUGGGCCUUUUUCUUAAAAUUAUACUAUUAUACAUAGGUUGUUUGGUCUAACGCUAAAUUCAUGUUUGUCUUUCUUUUAUUCCCUUUACAUCUCAAAGUAUACUAUAGUUUGUAAUCAUUGUGGUGAUGAUAUUGCCAGCUGGUACUUAUAGUUUAAGGCAGAGACAUGAUAUUAACAACUAUCUCAUUGAAACAUAAAGAAAAAUCAUGACAAGUGUGAGUCUUGGUUAAUGCACAAUUUGUUAGUGGAAUUUAUAUUUAUAAAACUCAAAAAAAAAUUUUGACAAUGCUAUUACUAAUUAAUUAAGGACUUUAUUGCUAUAAUUUAUCGCUUACUAGUUUAAACUAUAAAUGAUCUCAAUACUUUUCUCCAUGAUGUCGAUUUCUUUAGAUUACGAAAGGGAAAAAUUAGUGACAUAUCCCUUACUGAUUACAACAUCAGCAAAAAUUAGUUAUAAAUUUUUCCGGUGGUUUUAAAUCCCUCGGGCACUAAGAUUUUUUGCACAUCGAGUGAAUUGAGGAACAUAGGCAAUUCGUUCUGCAUACCAAGUCCUUGUUUAAGAUGCAAGUACUAAAAUGCAUCCACUUCAUUAAUUUGGGAAAUUGCCAUAGUUUUUUUUAAGCAUUUUGAUUUUUUACAUGAUUCAAAAUUUUCUUAUUGGAUACAAUCACUUUGUAUCAAGAACAUUUUCAAUCAUCCUUUUUAUCUUCUCAAUAAGAAAAUAAAAAUUUAUUCAUGCUUUUCUAACAUAUCCAAUCAUUGAUCUGAAAAAUAAAGAAUUUAAAAAAAAAGACAUUUUCAAUCAUUGCUUACAGGGCAACUUCCCCAUGUGAACCUCUUCAAACAAAGCCAAUAAUAUGAAGGAACAUCUAAAUACACUUUUGCCCUAAAGGCUGGUUGCCUUGGGGUCAAAAUUUAACCUUCGGGAGUAUAAUUACCCUGCCAAAUUUAUUAUUUUUUAUGGGUAUAUAGUUCCAAUUUUUCCUCCUGUUAAGCUUAUAAAUAUAUUAUCACCCAGAAAAUAAAGGAAUCUUGAAUACUAACAUGUCCAUUUACUUGAGUUGUCAUCAAUUUGGCUACUUCGAUUCCAUGAGGGCAAUCCAAUUCACACUUGCUAGAGAAAAUGGUGAUAAAGGCACAAAGAAAAUUAUAUGUAAUAUUGAUUGGUAGUAACCACCUUGUAUUGAUCCCACUAUUGUGGAUACUCGUGCUCUUAUGAAAAAAAAUUAUAAAAAAUUAGCAAAAUUUAAAAGAACAAAGUAAAUUUAUUCGUACAAAUCAGUCAAAGAAGUAGCAUUUUAAAGACCAUGAUGAAAUUAAUACUUUCAAGGUCUCUAUUAGGAAGACUUCCUUUGUUGGUGAAACUACACUAGGUACGGUUACAUGCAGAUGUUUACUGUUUUGGUACCUAAUUUCCUUGCCUUGAGUUGGGUGCAGAUGUUUAUAUUACAAAUAGAUGGUAUCAUAAAUUUGUUGUAUUAACGUCUGUUCUUUUUUUUCUUCCUUAAGUUUUUUUCUUUAUUCUCGUGACUUCAAAAAUACGAACUCAAGAAAUUAACUGCUUCGACAUUAAGGUAUAACUUCACAACUAGAGCCAAUAGAAAUCGUCAAAUGAUUUUUUGACAUCCAAAUUAAGCAAUAAAUUUUGUUUUCAUUUCACGGGAGAUUUUAUAGUUUCUUUUGGGUAUCAUACCUACAAGUGAUAAUUGUCAUUGGAUAGUGAAAGAAGUGUUAAUGAUUGUAAGAUUAAAUAUUGAAAAUUUAAACUAUUUAUCUUUAUUGAGAGAUACAACUUAAAGAAUCGUAUCCAAAAGAGACUAUAGAAUUUUCUCUGUUUUUCAUCAUCUGUAGACAUAAACUUUCUACGGUUGAUGUACUAUAAGGAAAUUUUGCCUAUACAAUGUGAUACCAUUUUUUCAAAAAGACAAGAUGGCAAAUUGCCCCCUUGAACGGAAAAAAUCAUGAUCUUUCCUCAAACUAGUCUACUUGUCAAUUCUUUGAAAAAGAAUACACUGCCCCGCAGAAUUCUAGAAAGUUAGGCAAAACUAGACAAGUUGACAGCUAUAAUCAUACCCAAGAUCAGGAACAAGCAGUUACACAUUUCAAAAUUCGCUGCUGCAACAACUAAUUUGAUGACUUACAACACUAAAUGGUCAAACUUUGAAUGGCAAUGAAUCUUUUGUUGUACAUCAUGAUGUAAUUUUCAUGUUACAUAAUAGAUUGAUAUCUAUGUUCUUUAAAUUAUCAUAAUAAUUAAAUUUAACUGAUAAAAAGAACACAUAUCAAUACACAAAAGUGUGUAACGUGAAUGUUAUAUUAGUGUAUUGCAGAAGACCUAUAGUCUCUUCACAUCUCUUCCUGCAUCUUUUAUGUUUUAUUACCUCCAAAAGCCUUUACAGGGUCUUUACCCUAAAAAUCAAUUCACCGACUCGCAUUUGAUGUCAGAAAUUCUUAAGACGAAUUCUACUUUACUCAAAGAUUGACUGUUAAUAAUGAGACAACGACCAUUUUGUAUUAUUACACCGUCCUUCUUGAUAGGCAAAAGAAAUAGAGAGGAAAGCGGGUCCGUAUAUGGUCUUUUAUUCAUAGAUAAUACAACAUUACGCCAUCGAGCAUUCACACAAUAUUUCAAAGUCAUUGCAUGCCUAAAGCCCCGCUUGAUAAUCCAAUUUCAUACUUAAAUUUAAUGGAUUCAAAUUUUAACACAUUCAAAUUGUUUGAUAACAAAAAAUUGAACGUCUAAAUUAAUUAAGUAACACUAAAUUUUUUAGACAAAACUUGCUCCCAAAAUUAAGUGAUAAGCUAUAUCACUUAUCACUGAAUGUGAUAUGCAUUCAAAUGUAUUAUAUUUAAUACUUAAUAAUUUAAUAAUUUAAUGGAUUCAAAAUUCAGAUUUUAGAUUUCAGUUUUAUCAAACAUACCCUAAGUUGCAAAAUAAUACCAAAACUUGUUAUUAUAUAGCUUGAGAUUCAAAAAUUUAGAGCAUAAUUCUCAACCUAACACAAUUGAAUAAUGAAUAUUCACGAUUGUCAAAUCUAUCAAAGUACAAUUUGAGGACAACCCAUUCCAACGCGUACACAAUUUCUCACUUUUCUAAAGUUGUUGAGAGCUGUUAAAAGAGAUUUACCAUGUUUACAUCUUCCAAGUCUUGGGAGUAAAAAAUGAAGCCACCGAGUGCUAUAAAAAGGGGGCUAGAGGCUGCCUAGAAGCAUAUCAGCCUAAAACAAGAAUUUGUAGUAACAAUGGGGAGCAAAGCAAAAGCAACGGGGUCUAGGCUGACUCCUCUUCUUACCACUGUUUUAGUGGUAUUUGUCGCCCUUGGCUUGCCCUUGGAAACUGCAGCUGAUUAUUACAAGUAUUCAUCUCCUCCUCCUCCUCCUUACCACUAUUCUUCACCACCACCUCCAGUGUAUUCACCUCCACCAACCCCUGCUUAUAAGUUACCCCCACCAUCUCCUCCAGUUUACAAGUCCUCACCACCACCUUACCACUACUCACCACCUCCGGUGUAUUUACCUCCACCAUCUCCAGUUUACAAGUCACCACCACUACCCCCUCCGGUAUACAACUCCCCGCCUCCACCAGUGUACAAAUACAAGUCCCCACCACCACCUCCUCCAGUUUACAAAUCUCCACCGCCACCAGUUUACAAAUACAAGUCACUCCCACCACCUCCUCCGGUAUACAAGUCUCCUCCGCCACCUGUUUACGAGUACAAGUCUCCUCCACCACCUCCUCCAGUGUACAAGUCCCCACCACCUCCAGUUUACAAGUACAACUCACCUCCACCUCCUCCCCCAGUUUACCUGUCUCCACCUCCACCCUAUCAUCACUACUACGGUUCUCCUUCUCCUCACCACUACUAAGCAAGUGCAUAAGUUUUGAGGUAAUAAUACCUAUCCAAAACUUUAUCAACACAAACUGCCAUGUAUAUCAUGCUAAGGACGUACACUUGAUCCAUGAAAAUGACUAGUAGAAGAUUUUUUUUAAGAACCAAAGAAAUACAUUAUUUUUUCGGUCUGUUUUCAAGAAUUUGAGCAGUAUACAGAUUAAAGAGUGUUUUUUUUUUUGUAAACUUGCUUGUCAACUUAAAAAUGCACAUAGCUGAAAGCCAACUGAAUAUUUGCAGGCAAAGGAGAAGGCAAUCGGUGUUUGAGACCUUCAAGAAGAUGUAGAAGAAUAAGAAUAAAAGCCCAAUGCGAGGAUGAUUCCAAGUUUCUACGUUACCAUUUCUACAUCUAAAUUGACUUUAGCUCCUGAGUUCCAUGUUUAUGGGGUUUGUACCGUUUUACGUACCAUGCAGUACAUGCUUGCAAGGUUUUCUGUCCUGUUGGCAAACUGCAGGUCCAUAUAAUAAAUGAAUACUAUUUACAUUACGACACUUUUCUCUUUUUCUCUUAUAUUUUGUCUUUAAUAUUGUUGAUCAUUUUUUUUUUAUCAAAAGCAUCAAAUGCUUAGGUAAUUUGGUCUAAUGCUAAUUGUUUUACUUUUAUUUUUCACCUACACCCCUUUUCAACUCAAAGGAUGCUAUAGUUUGUGAUAAUUGUUUAAGACCGAAGCAUGAUACUAAUAAAUAUCUCAUUGAAAGUCAAGGAAACUAACAUUAGGAAAAGUUUAAAUCUUGAUUUGAUGAAACUAUUUAUUCGUGGAAUUUAGAGAUACAAAACUCAAAUUGUGACGGUGUUGUUGCUAAAUUAUUAAGGACAUUAUCACCAUUAUUUUUCCCUGAUCACUAGUUUCAACUGCAAUGAUCUCAAUCUUUUUGUGACUAAUUCUUUCCUUAAUAAUUUAUAAAGACAAAACUCACAAAGAAUAUGUGACUAAUUCUUUCCUUUCGUCUUCUAAAGAAAAUGCCAACUGUUAGUUUAUCAAGGGGAAAAAGGAUCGACAUCAGUUAUUAUUGAAACUAGUAAGGAAUAAAUAAUGGUGAUAAUGUCCUUAAUAAUUUAACAACAGCACCAUCAGAAUUUGACUUUGAGCUUCGGUCUUAAACAAUGAUCACAAACUACAGCAUCCUUUGAGUUGAAAAAGGAAGUAGGUGAAAAGAAAAGUAAAAAAUACAAUUAGCAUUCCCUCAAAUUGUAGAAAGUUAGGUAGCAUUAUAGACAAGUUGAUAGCGGCAAUUUUACAUUUCAAACUUCACCUAUUCAAUAACUAAUUCGAUGGCUUGCUACAUGGUCAAUCUUUGGACCCCUUCCUGCCUCCAGAUAUCCCUUUCCUCAAUCAGGGGCUUCUACAAUUACCAGUUUCAAUUGUAUGGUAUAGUGUAAAUAUCAACAAAUUAGAUGUAGAUGCUAACAUAAUAAAUGUGAAUGCUAAGACAGCAACAUACAAUCGAACCUGCAAUUGUAUGAACCCCAAUCUCGCUUCCUAGUCCACCAUCUUUCUCUAGGUAAUAAUCUCCCUUCUAAUUUAUUCACAAAAUGCACCUUUCAUCACCUCCAAUAGCGUCGACAUGAUCUUUACCCUAGAAGACUAUUCACCGACUCUCAAUUGACGUCAGAAAAUCUAAGAGUAAUUCUACUUUACCCUAAGAUUGAUAUCAACAAGACAAGGACAAUUUAGAAUUAUUACACGCCUCUUCUUAAUAGGAAAAAGAAAUAGAGAAGAAAGUCAGGCCAGGUCUAAUUUCUUUUCAAAGGCAAUACAACAUUACGAAAUCAAGCAUUCAUUCAUACAAAUAUUUCAUAGUCACCGGUUUGCUGAGUAGAAAAAUUUAGACAAAAACUUAAUAUUAUAUUGUUUAAGAGUUAACAAUUUAGAGCUUAAUCUCCUUGUACUUUGGAGUUAACAAUUUAGAGCUUAAUCUCCUUGUACUUUGGACUAAACUUGAACGUGAAAGGAAAUCCCAAAACCAUAUUGGGCAUGAAUUCACACUUAAUAUACCCAAUAAAAGAUGGCGACUGGUGAAAGGCAGUGGAGACUGGUGGAGAGAUUUGAGGAAUAGAAGCAGACGGAAAAGCAACAAAUUUUUGCCGAAAAACGGUCACUUUCAUGGUUAAUUUUGCUACUCUCCAAUUGUACUUGACCAAUUACAACAAUUUCAUGGAGUUUGAUACGUGAAAAGAAUUUUUUAUAAAUUUUAUUUUGAUCCAUAAUGUUAUCUUUACAUAUAUAAAACAUUUUACAAUUUUGAUUUUGGCGCAGCUAACUUUUGGUUAACAAAAAUGCUCAUGUUUAAAAAACCAGAAAUAAAACAAAACAAGAAACAAAAGAAAUAAGAGGGUAGCAUAGACAUUUUGGAUUUUUCCGUUAAUUUGGAUGAUUUCCACCCACGUUCUAAUUUAAUCCAAAACACAAAGGAAUUACGUAGAGGUUUUAAAUAAUCAGGGAGCUUCAUGAUCGAACCCCAAACCACGUGAUAGCAUACAAGAGUUCUAUUUCACUAUCGGUAGACAAAGACUUUCUAUGGUUGAUGUACCGUAGGAAAAAAUCUGCCUAUACAACGUGAUAGCAUUUUUUCAAAAACACAAGAUGGAAAAUUGCCCCCUUAAACGUGGAAAUUCAUGAUCUUUCCUCGAACAAAGAAUACUCACGCCUAUUCAAGAUGGAAAAUUGCCCCCUUAAACGUCUAUUUGUCAAUUCUUGAAAAAAGAAUACUCACGCCUAAAACACGGCCUCUUCAUCUGCAGAAUUCUAAAAAGUUACGUAAACUCUAUAAACAAGUUGAUAGGUACAAUCGUACCCAAGAUCAAGUACAGAUAGUUGUACAUUCACUGCUGCAAUAACUAAUCUGAUGACUUACAAACAUAUCAUGGUCAAUCGUUGAAUGGUAAUGAGUCUUUUGUUAUGCAUUAGUAUUAGUGUGUACACUCUAAUAGAUUGAUACUUAUACUCUUUAAAUUAUCAUAAUAAUACCCUUAAUUAACUUUAACUCUUAAAAAGAAUACGUGUUAAUACACGAGAGUGUGUAACCUGAAUUGUUACUUAUACAUUAGUGUGUAAUAGAUAGGGAUGGCAGUGAGGGCGAGUGCCCGCGGGGGGCUCUCGGGGCGGGGGCGGGGGAGAAUUUUUUCCCCCCGUUUAGAAACGGGGCAGGGGACGGGGGAGUAUACCCCCGCCCCAUCCCCCGCCCCGCCACCCGCAAAAAAAAUUAUAUAUAUAUAAUUAUAUAUAAUAUGUAAUUUAAUUAGUUAUAAACUUAUGAUAAUGAUAUUAUUAGUUAGAUGUAUUAUAUAAUGUAUAUUAGUGUAUGUAAUAUAAUUAAUAUUAUCAAUUAUACGAAUAAUUAGACAUGUCCACUAAUAGAGUUUAUUAAUUAGUUAUACUAAAUUUACUAAUACAUUUGUACUAAAUUUCUAAUUACACUUAAUAGAAUAACACUUUUUUCUAAAAAAAAAAGCACAAACACAAUAAUGAAUUAGUGAUUGUAUUUGUACCAAAAGUGAAAACUUAACUAUUUUAGUUGUAUUUAUUUCAUCAUGUUGGAUUGUAUUCAAAUAAUUUUUGUUUGAUUGUUUUUAUGAGUUUCAAUUGUAAAAUUAAAAUGAAUAAUAACUUGAUGAUGUGUUGAUAUUUUAGUACUUGAUUAUUUAUUGAUUUAACUAUAAUAAAAUUUUAUUUUAUUAAAAUUUAACUAUAAUAAAAUUUUAUUAACCAAACGAGUUAUUAAUCCCGCGGGGGCACCCACGGGGGAAGCGGGGCGGGGCGGGGGAGUGGGAGGCGGGGGACGGGGCGGGGGUGGGGGGAGUUGUAGGUAGCGGGGCGGGGGAUGGGGGAGGGGUCCCCCGCCCCAACCCCGCCAUCCCCCGCCCCGUUGCCAUCCCUAGUAAUAGACUGGCAAGCAUUGUGGUGGUCAUUGAGAACUUACUGGAGAAAUAGUCCUAUAAGCUGUUCAAUGAGCAAUCACAACUUGCUAAUUGGAUGACUAAUAUAGCUCUAGCUGUAAUGUUUUAAUUAAAUUACAUCACUAACGUUGGGAUGACUUUUUAACCAAAAAAAAAUGCCUUAGUUCAAGCUUUUCCCUUUAUUGUGCAUUUUUUAAAGCAUUUGAUAGGCACUGCAAAUCUGUCAUUUUGGACAUUUUAUUAUUGACUAACAAUGAAAGCCGUGACGUCUACCCAUAACCAACACAAGAUUAAAUUAAUAUUAGAAAAAAUAAUUGAGUAAUUGGAAAAAAAAAAAGAGACUCAUUUUCAUUGAAACCCACCGACAAACUAAACGUGUCCAUGGCUUUUGAAUAGUGCAUUCAACGUUUAAUUGUAUAGUCCAGUUCAUUGCAGAUUACAUGGAGUAAAGAUUGUGCUCUUUCCUUUUUCACCCCUUUUGGAAUCGAUACUGUGGAGAAUUGGGUUUUUCCCUUCUUUUUUUCUUUUCUUUCCUUCUGUGCUUUGCAAAACAUAGGUAAAAAUAUGAAAUCCGAAGCAUUCUUUAAUUGGGAUUAAGUAUUGUUGUUGAAAUUAAAAAGAAAAAAGAAAGAACAACAAAAUUCCCAAUCUGGGUUGAUUGUUGAGCUCUAGAUUGGUUGCAUCGUGCUUCCAUAGAAGCUCUCUUAGUGUGAUACACUGCUUUCAAUCAGUUUAACACGGGAAAAAAAAAAAAAGAGAUGAAAAGCAAAUUUGGUGGGGAUAAUUUCAGAAACCUCCCCUGAAGAUUUUGACUAUUCUACUGGUCUCCCUUCAGAUUUUAAAAAUUACACUAAUCUUCCUUGAAGUUAAUUAUCUUGUAACAUUUAAAUUCAAUCAAUAAUUUAAAAAAUGAUAUUAUGAGAGAGAAAAUAAUGAUUUUAUCAUUGCCCCCCAUCUUACUACAUUAUUUAAUUAAUUUAAUAGCAACCCACACAUUAAAGAAAAAUAUUAAAAUUUGUUGUUUAUCAUUAAAGAUCAAAUCGCUUAUAACAUCAAAUAAUAGUAUAUUAUUUAUAUUUUUCACUCAAUAUAAUAUCCAAAUUACUCUUUUCAAUUACAUACCCAUUGUUAGACAAUCAACAACAAAUAACCAAAAAAUUUGCAACCAAAAUAUUACAAAAAAAUAAACUUUAACAUAUAAAUAUUCUUAUCAACAUAUUAAAGUUAGUUACUGAAAUUUUUAUGCUGUUAAACUUCACUCUUUUUGGUUACAGAUUUUUUUGAUUAUUUGUUAUUAAUUAUGUUUGAUGAUGGAUUUAUAAUUGAAAAGAACAAUUUGAAACUUACAUUAAGUAAAAUAUAUAGAGUGAUAUACUAUUUUUUAUAACAUAUGUGAUUCAAUCCUUCUUGAUAGGAUUGGUAAUAGAGGUAGAGGGGGGAGCCGGCUGCAUCCGGUCUACUUUUCAUAGAUAGUACAAUAUUGCGAAAUCGAUCGCAUUCACGCAAUAUUAUUUCCAAGUCAUUGCAUGGCUAAGCUGCAAAAAAAGUACGAACACAUGUUAUUAUAUAGCUUACGAUUCAAAACUUUAGAGCAUAACCCUCCACCUAACACAAUUGAAUAAUGAACAUUCACGUUUGUCAAAUCUGUCAAAGCACAGUUUGAGGACAACCCAUUCCAACCUGCAAAAGAUUUUUUACUUUUCUAAAGUUGUUGAGAGCUGUAAAAAGACUUACCAUGCUUGCAUCCUCCGAGCCUUGGGAGUUAAAAAUGAAGGCACUGAGUGCUAUAAAAAGGGGAAUAGAGGCUGCCUAGAAGCAUAUCAGCCUAAAACAAGAAUUUGUAGUUAAGAUGGGAAGCAAAGCAAAAGCAAUGGGGUCUGGGCUGACUCCUCUUCUUGCCACUGUUUUAGUGGUGUUUGUUGCUCUUGGCUUGCCCUCACAAACUGCAGCUGAUGAUCACUACAAGUAUUCAUCUCCUCCUCCUCCUUACCACUAUCCCUCACCACCACCACCAGUGCAUAUACCUCCACCUCAUCCUGUUUACAAGUACAAAUCUCCACCACACCCCCAGUACAAGUAUAAGUCACCACCACCACCUCCUCAUCCGGUAUACAGUCUCCUCCGCCACCACACACCCAGUUUACAAGUACAAGUCACCACCACCACCUCCUCAUCCGGUACCACACCCAGUUUACAAGUAUAAGUCUCCUCCGCCACCAGUUUACAAAUACAAGUCUCCUCCACCACCACCUCCAGUGUACAAAUACAAGUCUCCACCACCACCAGUUUACCACUACAAGUCUCCACCACAGUUUACAAAUACAAGUCUCCACCACCACCCCCAGUUUACAAAUACAAGUCUCCACCACCACCAGUUUACCACUACAAGUCACCACCACCUCCUCCCCCAGUUUACAAAUACAAGUCUCCACCACCUCCUCACCACUACUAAGCAAUUGCUUCUGAGGUAAUAACACUUGUUCAAUAUACCCACUUCUGCAUGAUAAAGCAUAUCUCUAUCAACACAAACUGUCAUGUCUAUCAUGCUAAGUGCCUUCACUUCAUCCACCAAAAUGACUGCUAGAAAAUUUUUUUUAUGUUACCAAAGAAAGGCAUCAUUUUUUCCCUCUGUUAUCAAGAACUUGUACAGUAUAUAGAUUAAAGAGUAUUUUUUUAACUAGCUUAUCAACUGAGAAAUGCAUAUAGCUGAUAGCCAGCUGAAUAUUUGCAGGCAAAGGAGAAGGAAACCAGUGUUUGAGACCUUCUUGAAGAUGUAGAAGCAUAAGAAUUAAAGCCCAAUGUGAAGAUGAUGAUUUCAAGUUUUUCUACGUUACCAUUUCUUUAUCUAAAUUGGUUGUAGCGCCUUAGUUCCUUUGUUUAUGGGAUUUGUAUCGUUUUACGUACCAUGCAGUACAUGUCAUGUUUGUAAGGUUUUCUAUCCUGCCGGCAAACCGCAGGUUCCAUGUAAUAAAUCAAUACUAUUUAUAUUACGACACUUUUCUCUGUUUCUCUUAUAUUUUGUCGUCUUUAAUAUUCUUAAUCAUAUUUUUAACAAAAAUAUUCAAACACUUAGGCAAUCUGGUCUAAUGCUAAUUGUAUGUUUUACUUUUCUUUUUCACCUGCUCCCCUUUUCAACUCAAAAGGAUGCAAUAGUUUGUGAUCACUGUUUAAGACGGAAGCAUGAUACUAAUGAAUAUCUCAUUGAAACUCAAGGAAACUAACAUUGCGAAAAGUGUAAAUCUUGAUUUGAUGCAACUAUUUAUUCGUGGAAUCUAUAGUUACAAAACUCAAAUUCUGACUGCGCCAUUGAUAAAUUAUUAAUGACGCUAUCAUCAUUAUUUAUCCCUAACUAGUUUCGACUACAACUGAACCCAAUAUUUUCCCCAUGAUAAAAGUUUUUGACUAUUUUACUGGCCUCUCUUCAAAUUUUAAAAAUUACACUAAUCUUCAUUGAGAUUAAUUAUCUUGUAACAUUUAAGUCCAAUUAAUAAUUAAAAAAUGAUAUUAUGAGAGAGAAAAUAAUAUAAUUUUAUCAUUGCCCCCCAUCUUGCUAUAUUAUUUAAUUAAUUUAAUAGCAACCCACACAUUAAAGAAAAAUACUAAAAUUUGCUGCUUUUCAUUAAAGAUCAAAUUGCAUAUGCCAUAAAACAUAGUAUAUCAUUCUAUAUGUUUCACUUAAUGUAAGAUCCCAAUUGUUCUUUUCAAUUACAAACCCAUUGUCAAUAACAAAUAACCAAAAAAUUUGCAACCAAAAUAUUACAAAAAAAAACUUCAACAUCAUAAAUAUUCUUACCACCUCUAGUGCAUUCACCCUCAUAAAAUAAUUCAAGACCCUACUGUCAUAAAAUGACUGAUCAACUCCCGUAAACCUAAUUUGACAACAUUUAAAUGGAGAACUUUAGCUAAAAGAAUUAUGGUCAAGCUAAAGAAAAAACCAGUUAUUUUCCAACAUAUGCAAUCAUUGAUCAGGGAAAAAAAAAAGAGCAAAAAGACAUCUUCAAUCAUUUAAUAGCUUACAGGGCAAAUUAACCCCUAAGCGAAAACUGGUUGCUCUAGAAUCAAAAUUUUACUUUAGUUACCCAGGCAACUUUUUUGUUGCUUUUUUUUUUUUUUUCCUUUAGUUUUGCCCCCUCUGUCAAGCUUAUAAAAUUAUUAAGAUAAUAAAAGUGCCUUGAAUAGUAUUAAUAUAUCCAUUGACUUGAGCUGUCGUCAGUUUGCGAUUCCAUGAGGCCUUUUCAAAGUACUCAGAAAAUGGGGAGUCAUGAAAUCCAUUUGUUCUAUUCAUUGCUAAGAUGCUUUUCUCUAUAAAGAGACUUCCUAACGAAAAUACUUUGUAGAUUUCUUUACUCCAAGUGGUGCAUGGAAAAUUAAUAUUUUCAAUUAUCAAAUAAAAUUCCCUUUUUUCGGCGUAGAUUUCAUCCAUCCAGCUGUUAACACAUUCUAUAAAUCCGAAUUGACUAAUCUUUUCGUUUCCAUUUUCCAACUUGCGAAUACGGCAUAUAGUGUCUGCUAAACACUAUAUAUUCUCUGCCAAAUAUGAAUACAUAUCACUUUUCUGAGCAAGUGCAGAGUCAUUAUCAUUUUUAUUCCCACCUAACAAAUUAGGGAUAAAAAAGUUAAUAAUCUUUACAUGCUAUCAGGUCACAAGUUAAUAAUCUUUUAAAGAACAUGUUAAAUUAAUUUAUUGGUAUGAAUAGUAGUCAAAGAAGUAUGUUAAAGUUAGUAAUCUUUAAAAUAAUAUGUUAAAAUCAUUCGUACAAAUUAGUCAGAGAAGUAGCAUAAACACCGCGAUGCAAUUAAUACUUUCAAUCUCAAGGUCUCUAUUAUGGAAAUUUGCAUCGGUCAAUAUACACUUGGCAUAAUAUAAUCUCCCAACUCAUUUCUUUACAAAUGCACCUUUAAUCACCACCAAAAGGUGUGGACAUGAUCUUUACCCUAGAAAACUAUUCACCGACAGGCAAAUUGACGUCAGAAAUACUGAGGAAUUCUAGUUUCCUUCGGGUUCAUGCCAUGUUGUAUCCUUCAACUGUAACUCGAUUUCUAAGCUGUAAUUUGUGACAUAAUAGUCCUUAAACUAUGAAACCCUUCUUACUUAAUUACAAUGGUUAAUACAAUGCCCGUGACUAGACAAGUAUGAAGCAACCAUAACAGAAAAAAAAUCCAAAAUUAGAGAAAAGAAAGAAGUUUCGCGACCACCACCAGUUUACAAGUCACCUCCACCACCUCCUCCAGUUUACAAGUCACCUCCACCACCUUACCAUUAUUCCUCACCACCACCUCCAGUGCAUUCACCCCCACCACCACCAGUUUACAAGUCUCCGCCACCACCUUACCAUUAUUCCUCACCACCACCUCCUGUGCAUGCACCUCCACCACCAAUUUACAAGUCACCUCCUCCAGUUUACAAGUCUCCACCACCACCUUACGAUUAUUCCUCACCACCACCUCCAGUGCAUUCACCCCCACCACCACCAAUUUAUAAGUCUCCCCCACCGCCUCCCCCAGUAUAUAAGUCACCACCACCACCUCCUCCAGUAUACAAAUCACCUCCACCACCUCCUCCAGUUGACAAAUCUCCACCACCACCAAUUUAUAAAUACAAGUCUCCUCCACUACCUCCUCCAGUGUACAAGUCAUCACCACCACCUGCUUACAAGUCUCCACCUCCUCCAGUUUACAGUUCCCCACCACCACCAAUCUACAAGUCUCCACCUCCACCCUACCAUUACUACUACAAUUCUCCUCCUCCUCCUCGUCACUACUAAGCAAUUGUAUCCAAGUUUUUGAGGUAAUAACGCUUAACCAAUAAAUUAACUUUCGCAUGAUAAACCUUAUCUCUAUCAAGACAAACUGCCAUGUGUAUCAUGCCAAAUACGUACACCUAGAUCCAUGAAAAUGAAUGGUGAGGAGGGCCAUUUAGGCUCGGAGCGCCCUAGGCCUAGUUCCCCACCAUUUCCUGAAGUGCCGCCUCGGGUAUUAUCCUGGAAGGCGAUCGCGGCCCAUUUACCACCUCGGCUACAAUGUCAGGUCGUAACACCGAGGUGGACAUUGAAUGACAACUACGAAAAGGGGAGAUGUGAUCUCUGACACCUGAGCAAAGGCUGCUCUGACCCGCCGCCUGAAUCUGACAGAAUGUCCCAUCACGUCUCUUCAUGGAGACCGGUCAAGUCCACCUGAUCCACUGACUAUCUCAGAUCUUUUGGGACCCGUGCAAACAUCUCCUCUCUCCUAUCAGUCCCCUAUAAAUACACGAUACUUCUACUGAAAAAGGAGAUGACCAAUUUCUGGUAAAACACACUCCACUCAUUAUUUACUUCUCUAUAUCCGAACUGACUUAAGCUUCGGAGUUAUACCGGGGGAUCCAGCCCCUUUCUUAUCCAAGCAGGUGACUUCGUCCAAGAGAGUUGCCCAAGGUAAAGAUAUUCUUCCAAUUGAGGUGACUCACUCCUGCGGGUCGAAAAUCACCUCUUCAAUUGGCGCCGUCUGUGGGAACCGCAAAGAUAUUAGAAGAUGAAGCCUGCGCGUUCUAGAAGCAGAAAAGCUCUCACUAUCGAGGCUGGGCAAAGCAAUGCAGCUCAACAAGAAAAUAUUUCUGAAGGGCAGGAGUCCCCAAGGACUCAGCCCGCAAACGAAAAAGCCAUAACCCGUAUGGCCGAGUUUGUGACCGAGAACCCCAACAUCUUUGAAGAGUUGGGAAGAUACCUGAAGAGGCAAGGCAAACAAAAGGCCGAGUCCUCUAAAAGGAUGUCAGAUGGGUCUCUUGAGGACUCAUCUGAGGAGGAGUCGGAUGGAAGGCACUUAAGCCGAAGUGCCUCAAAGCGAGCAUUUUCUAAGGCCACUUCUAAGGUAGCCUCCCUGACCAAGGCGUUUUCCCGAGGGCUCUUGGGCCGACGACCCGAGGAAGAACCUCGGCCCUUGGGAAUACCCGGGGUGGACUGCAUGAGGGCUCCACCGUUCACGGAUGAUAUAAACGAGGAAAGGCUUCCUCCCAAUUUUAAGCUCCCCGCAGUACAAUCUUACGAUGGCCGAGGUGAUCCCGAGAAUCACAUCCAUACCUUCAUCUCGGCCUUCCAAAUAUACUGCAUCCCAGACCCUGUCAUAUGUCGGGCCUUUCCAGUAUUCCUCAGAGGAACUGCUCGAAAAUGGUUCUGAGCUCUAGAACCUAGGAGCAUUUCGACCCUGGGUGAAUUAGUGGAGAAGUUUCUCCACCGAUUUGUCUCCUCCCGACCUACGACUAGGACCUCGGCUUACCUGCUCACCGUGCAGCAGAACCCGGGAGAGUCACUCCGGUCGUACGUCCGGAGGUUCCAUGAGGAAAGCGUUCAGAUACCUGACCCCAAUGAGCAGGUAACCCUCGCUGCCUUUACCCAUGGACUCGUUGCCGGGGAGUUCAAUACGGGGAUCCAUAAAAAAUACCCCCGCACACUGCAUGAAUUGUGGUUGAAGGUUGAAAAGGGCAUACAGGCCGAAGACCUCCAUCGCAUGAAGAAAGAGGUCCAAGCCACCCGUCCAAGGGCUGAGCCCAGAAAGGGAAAAGACGCUGGCCGAACUGAAGUAGGGUCGGGAAGUGGCUUCCGAAGUCCUGGCCGAGACCGCCGCAGCGUGUUCGACAGGAUAUCCAAGGGGAAGUCACCUAUUCCCGAGUCCGAGUUGACUCCUUUAAAUACUACCCGAUCUCACGUGUUGUCCGUGAUGGAACAAAACAACCUCGGCAAGGGCCCGCCGAGGAUGUUUGGAAGCAGAGACAAGAGGAACUCGAACCUCUACUGCUUGUAUCAUCGUGACAUUGGUCACGAAACUGAGGAUUGCAACGAUCUCAAGAAGGAGAUCGAGAACCUCAUUAGACGGGGACACUUGAAACAGUUCAUCCGCAGAGGUGGAGGUCACCAACGUGACGAAAACCGGCAUGACAAAUGAGGUGACCAACGCCGAGAUGAGCGGCGGAGCUCCAGAAGCAGUUGCCGACCUCCUGAGGAUCCCAGGGAGACGAAAAGGCCUCCCCCAGACGGAUCUUCGGGACAUGGGCCAACCAUUGCCCGGGUCAUUAACACCAUUGCCGGAGGUCCGACGGGAGGGGACAGUCAGAACUCCCGGAAGAGAACCUAUAAGCAGGCUAACCCGGAUCAGGCCGAGUCGAGUUCUCGCCUGUCCGAGGUGAUCACCUACGGGCUCAGUGAUCCCAUCCCAGCUGCAUCCAGCAGUCAUGAAACCUUGGUGAUUGAAGUCCUCACCAAUAACUACAUUGUGAAAAGGUCUACAUAGACCCGGGAAGUUCAGUUGACGUCAUGUACCUCCGUACCUUUGAGAGCCUUAAAAUGGCUAAGGGGUGCAUGACCCCGCUGAGAACCCCUCUUGUAGGGUUCGGGGGACACGUGGUGCACCCCGAAGGGAUGGUGACUCUGACAGUGACCAUAGGGCAUCACUCUCGCUGUAGAACCGUCCCUGUCAAUUUUGUGGUGGUUAAGGCUGACUCCCCAUACAACCUACUUUUAGGUCGGCCUACGCUCAAUGCCUUGCGGGCGGUCUACUCCACCUACCACCUGAGCUUCAAGUUUCCUACCCCAGCAGGGGUGGCCGAGGUCAGCAGCGACGUCUGUGCUGUCCGGGAGUGCUACCUCGCCACCCUACAAGCAGCCUCCCCGUCUACCUCCGGUGCGAGGUCCGAGAAGAGGUCAAAUAUCCUCUCAAUAGAUAGCAUCGAUCCUCAGUGAGCUGAGAAGGUCCCGAGGCUGGAGACUGGGGAUGAGGUGGAAGAGAUUCCCCUGGACCCCACGAAACCUGAUCAGACAGUUCGCGUUGGUACCCGAUUGCCCGGUCCUAUCCGAAGAGGUAUGAUGGACCUCCUCAGGGAAUACCGGGACGUCUUUGCUUGGGCCGCCGAAGAGGUCCAAGGAGUCCCGCACCAUCUCAUGAUGCAUGACUGAACGUCGACCCCCAAGUCCGUCCGGUCAAACAGAAGAGAAGGCACAUCGGCCCUGAGCGCAGCCAAGCUGUUGGUGAGGAAGUGGACAAGCUUUUACCCGCUAAAAUAAUCCGAAAAGUCCAAUACCCGAUCUGGUUGUCUAACUCGGUCAUGGUCAAGAAGGAUACGGGGGCUUGGAGAAUGUGCGUCGAUUUUACCGACCUCAACAAAGCCUGCUCCAAGGAUUGCUACCCCUUGCCCAAAGUCGAUACUUUGGUAGACUCAGCAAUGGGCUACGAGAUCCUCUGUUUCUGGGAUGCAUUCAAAGGCUAUCACCAAAUUGGGAUGAGUCAAGAAAACCAGGAGAAAACGGCCUUCUACACCGACCGCGGCACGUACUGUUAUACUACCAUGCCAUUCGGGUUGAAGAAUGCCGGAGCCACUUAUCAACGCUUGGUCAACCAAGCAUUCAAGUCUCAAAUCGGCCGGAAUGUUGAGGCCUAUGUAGAUGACAUCCUCCUCAAAAGCCAGACGAACUCCACCUUCCUGGCCGACUUGAAGGAGGUCCUUGACAUCCUGCGGAAGGUGAAAAUGAUGCUGAACCCCAAGAAAUGUGUUUUUGGGGUCACCUCGGGGAAAUUUCUAGGUUACCUCGUCUCAAGGCGAGGUAUCGAAGCAAAUCCGGAUAAGGUGCGAGCCAUCCAGGAGAUGUCUCCACCCCGGUGCGUCCGCGAUGUCCAAAGGCUGACAGGGCGAUUAGCCGCCCUGAAUCGGUUCUUAUCGCAGUCGGCAGCUAAAGCACUGCCCUUUUUCAAAGUGUUGAAGAAAGCUGACCAUUUCUCCUGGACGGAAGAGUGUCAACAGGCGUUUGAGCAGUUGAAGGAUUACCUUCACUACCUUCCAACGCUCACCUCACCUCGUCCGGGGGACAAAUUAAUCUUAUACCUUUCUGCUGCGGCCGAAGCGGUGAGUGCCGUGCUGAUAAGGAAGGAAGGGGUCCAAAUGCCCGUCUACUACGUUAGCCGAGUCCUCCGAGGUCCAGAGACCAGGUACACACAAGCAGAGAAACUUGUGCUAGCCCUGAUCCACGCCGCCCGCAGACUCAAGCCCUACUUCCUAGCUCACCACGUCUGCUUGAGGACUGAUCAACCACUUCGGCAGAUUUUGACACGACCAGAGGUUUCGGGACGUCUUACCAAAUGGGCCAUUGAGCUGGGGGAGUACGACCUAACUUAUGAGCCUCGCACAGCGAUCAAGGCCCAGGCUCUCGCAGACUUCGUAGCCGAGCUCACCUUUGACGAGGUGCAAGGAUCCGUCCCGGCUGCCACAUCGGCCACAGUUGAUGUGGCCACCACUGGGCUCCAGCGGUGGAUCCUACACGUGGACGGUUCGUCAACAGUGAGGGUAGUGGAGCAGGCUUGCUCCUCGAAGACCCCCAAGGAGAAAUAUGCUAAUAUGCCUUAAGAUUUGACUUCGCUGCUUCAAACAAUGAAGCUGAAUACGAAGCCGUCAUUGCUGGACUGCAGCUAGCUCGCAAGCUCGGGGCCGCACACAUCUUGGUUUAUAGUGAUUCCCAACUCGUCGUGUGCCAGAUAUUAGGUGAGUACGAAGCCAGGGACGAGGUGAUGCAUCGUUACCUCUCCAAGGUCCUCCAGUUGGCGACUCACUUCGAGUCUUUUGAAAUUCAAAGAAUACCGCUAUCGAAAAACAGAAGGGCUGACGCCCUCUCCCGGCUUGCCUCAACCUCUUUCUCUGACCUGAACAAGACGGUUCUCGUUGAAGUUCUAGCCGAACCAGGAUAUGUAGCCGAGGUAGUAUACCCCGUCUACCCUGGGGACACCUGGAUGGGUCCCCUGACUCGAUUUUUCAGCCAGGGUGAGCUCCCCGAAGACCGAGCUGAGUCACGGAAGCUCCAACGAAAAGCAGCACGGUACAUUCUCCGACAAGGCCUUUUAUACAAAAGGUCUUACCUCGGCCCUUAGUUGCGAUGUAUCACGCCCGAGGAAGGCCAGAGAAUCCUCCAAGACAUACAUGAGGGGCUCUGUGGUGCUCACGUCGGCUACAGAAUGCUGGUAAAAAAGGCUUUGUUACUUGGGUAUUUUUGGCCCACUAUGAGGAUAGAUGCCCAGGUCAUGGUCCUUUGCUGCCCCUCCUGCCAGCAUCACGCUCCUGAGCACCACCAGCCGACCAAUUUAAUGAUCCCUAUCACCUCGUCAUGGCCAUUUGAGCAAUGGGGAACGGACAUAAUUGGCCCCUUUCCCAGAGCUCCAGGCAAUUAUACCUACGUGGUGGUAGCAGUGGACUACUUCACCAAAUGGGUCGAAGCUGAACCCCUAAAAAAUAUCACUGGUGCGGCAGUCCAGAAAUUCUUCUGGAAGAAUGUGGUUUGCCGCUUCGGCCUACCCCGGGUGAUCAUCUCGGAUAAUGGCCGACAGUUCGCCGAUAAUCCUUUCAAGGCCUGGUGUGAGAACCUCGGGGUCAAACAGCAUUUCACUUCGGUGGGACACCCCCAAGCCAACGGACAAGCCGAAAACUUCAAUCGCACGCUCCUCCAUGGCCUCAAGACCAGGCUCCACCAGGCUGGAUCGUUUUGGAUGGAAGAGCUCCCCAGUGUGCUGUGGUCCUACCGAACUACGCCGAGAUCAGCAACCCAGGAAACCCCGUUUUCCUUAACCUACGGGUCAGAAGCUGUUGUUCCAGCCGAAUUCAUCACCCCGAGUCCACGAAUGGCCGCAUAUGCUGCCGAAGUCAAUGAAGAAGAACGGCGAGUUGACCUCGACCUCGUCGAAGAGAAGCGUGAUAUGGCCGCGGCCAAAGUUGCUGUUUACAAAAAUAUCGUAGCUGGCUACUACAACGCUCGGGUUAAACAUUUGCGGUUCAGUCCGGGAGACCUGGUGCUCAGGAAGAACUCAGUCAGCCGGGCUGAACCUCAGGGUAAACUAACCCCCAAGUGGGAGGGACCAUACCGUGUUGUUGAGUCCAGCCAAAAUGGAUAUUGUAAAUUGGCAUACCGAGAUGGGUCUCUGAGUGCCCCGAACUUGGCAUGCUGAAAAUCUUAAGUUGUACUACCCUUGAGGGUAUGUGCUUUUAAUCUUGAGUUAUUUCACACUUAUUUUCAUUUCAUUAUAAGUGAAAAAUAAGGGGACAAAGUAGCAGUAAAGAGGAAAACCGAAUUUAAUUAAAAAGAAAGCAAGAAUAUGAACUCAAUUCCAUUGAAUUACAUAAAAGUAGAAAGCCGAGGUCACCUUUAAUUAGGAAGAAAGCAAGAAUAUAAACUCAAUUCCAUUGAAUUACAUAAAAGUAGAAAGCCGAGGUCACCUUUGACCUCGGCCUACAAUGACAAAAAAAAAAACAAGUGCCUCUAGGCACUCCCUACCCUGACAUCCUGGCCCCCCGUGGUCGCGCCACCCGUUUCGGCACCCUGUCCACCCUCAGCUCCUCCACCGGCCUGGUCGUCUUCAGUACCAUCUAGUUCAAACUCCUGGAGCCAUUUGUUGAAUUCGGCUCGGACUUCGGUUAGGUCUUUCUCAGUCCGGAUGCCCUCAGCCAUGCUGUCGCAUAGCUCCUUGGCAUCCUCGUUAUAGUGCGAAGUGCUCUGAAGGGACUCCAGUUGUUCAGAGGGAAGAAAGGAUGCCGCGUCAUUAAUAGCCGACGUGUACCCGAACAUGAAGCUUGGCCGGGUGAGCUCGCCGAGGUCACGGAUGAAGGACUCUGACGUCCGGAAGGCUUCCACAGCAGUGACCCCGGCCUUGUCCAUGGCCUCCCUGUUUGACUGUUCUUCUUGGGCCCUCCUUUUUUUCUCCUCAUCAAGAGCAGUCACCAGGGAAUUGUUCGCGACCUCGGCCCUUUUGUUAGCCGCCUUGGCCUUGUCACGCUCCAACUCGGUUGCCUUCAGUUUUUCUUCCAACUCGGCAAUUCUCUUCUGGAGCUCGGCAGGAGGCUCAUAGUUUUCCAUGAACUUUCCAUACCGUUGAAUCAUCUCGACAAAAAAAGCCGUGGUAGAGGCCCAUGACACCGAGGCGCUCUGCAUCAACUCCCCUGCGGAGAGCUUCCUAGCAUAAGUGCUAUCUCGUGGCAGCACUGAAUGCACCAAGAGCUCCUGAGCGACCAAAGGGUUCUUGCAGCGAUCGUUGAAAUUAAUCUCCCACUCUGGACACCAGUGUGAUCCGGGGUGUCUCUUGUCCUCCUCAGCUGCCUUGAAAGGCACAUGAUGGAGUUUGAACAAAGAUGACCCCGUGACGGGGUUCUCCGGAAAUAUGGUCACACCCUGACCCCGGGGGGGAGUGGCAAUCGUGACCCAGCGAGAAGGGAUUCCCACCGGAAUUGCCGAGGCUCGGGAACCUCCCGGAGUGGCCGAGGUGUGCGAGCCCUCGCCCACGAUCACCACGGCAGGCUCGCGGUCGCCCGACGCCGCGGUGGUUUUCUUAGCCGGCCUGGAAGAGGACCCUGCAGUGUCCUUGCGCUUUUUGGGAGCUCUUUUGACCACCUCGACAUCUCCCGAGGUUAUCAGGUCGAAAAUCUUCGUCACUGCAAAGUAGGAGACGAAGUCAGUUAGAAUUCAAGAGGGAUAAACUAAAAGGGAAGAAAUGGAAAAAUACAAAGUCUGUGAAGCCUAGUCGAGAGUAAGACAGGCUGGUCAGAGCUCGUCAAGGCUCAACUGAUCCCGCCUUCCACGAGCACCACUUCGGGAAAAUCCCAGCAGUUUAUCCUGAGGCCCGACCCCGUUAACUUCUGGAAGUUACGCUCUUCUAACUUCCCUGGAGAUAUCUCCUUGAUCGAGGUGGGAGGCCUCCACCAGAAUCCGCGAGGGAAGUCAUCGGCCGAGACGAAGAAGAAGUUUUGCUUCCACUCCUUUAUUGAGUUCGGAGCAUCAACCACCAACUUCGGAACUUUGUUUCCGAAGUAGAACCAUCCUUUUUCACUUCUGCUGUUCUUGAGUGAGUAACAGCGGCGAAAGAGGUUGACCUAAGGUUGUAUCUCCUGAUGUCGGCAAAGUAGCUGGAAGCCAACGAGAAUGCGAAUAGCGUUAGGGGUGAGUUGAGUGAUUCUCACCCCCCAGUACCUCAGGCAGUCCCGAAGAAACCUCGUCGUGGGCACUCUGAGUCCGGCCUCCAGCUGUUCCUGAUAGAUAGUCACCUUGCCCUUUGGUGGCAGUGCGGCUGACUGAUGCGGUUGGGGUAUGUAAAUACUAUAAUCCCUUCUCCAGGGAUACCUGCGGACCACCUCGGCUAUUGAGGCUUGUCCCAUACCACUACUGAAGAACGGCAUCUGGCCGUAGUCGAGAGUUGCCACGUUUGGAGGAGUGGAAGGUUCUUGUACUCCCUCGUCUCUAGGGAUCUCAAUCCCGAGGUCAUCGUUGUAUAGGACCUCGGGCUGGACCUCGAUCUCCUCGGGCUGCACCUCAACCGCCUCAGCUCGGCGUGAUGCCUCGGCACCUCCACCCUCAGCUUGGUGAGAUGCCUCAGCACCUCCGCCCUCGGACGCGGUCCUUUCCUGGGAGGGGUCAGGCCUCUCUGCCUCAGUGAGGUCAGGUCUCACUGUCUCUUUGUGCGUACGAGCUGUUCUAGCCAUUGUAUCAGAAGGGGAAGAAGUGAACUUACUUAGAAUCUGCGACUGGAAGAAGAUGCCGAAGUAGACGUGGUUUAGAAAGGUUGCCGAAGUGAAAAGAGAAAGAAACAGAGUUCUGGGGUGAUUCUUGAUUUUUGGUGAAGAGUAAAACGGUGAAAAAAGACCACUAUUUAUAGGCCACCAGGGUGAAACCCAAGAGACGGCACCCUCUCUCUUCAUUAAUGGGAGGACUGUUCGUCUGCCAACACAGCUGACAGCCGUCCCUUCAGUUAUCACUCAGUCCCAUCUAUGCGGUCAUGACGUGUCCGUGUUCCGUGUUUUAUACGCUUCUCAGCUUCGGGAAGUAACGACCACGGCGGAUGCCCAUCUCGCCCUUCUCAAAGCUUGGGGGGCUUAGUGAGGAGGGCCAUUUAGGCUCGGAGCGCCCGAGGCCUAGUUCCCCAUCAUUUCCUGAAGUGCCGCCUCGGGUAUUAUCCUGGAAGGCGAUCGCGGCCCAUUUACCACCUCGGCUACAAUGUCAAGUCGUAACACCGAGGUGGACAUUGAAUGACAACUACGAAAAGGGGAGAUGUGAUCUCUGACACCUGAGCAAAGGCUGCUCUGACCCGCCGCCUGAAUCUGACAGAAUGUCCCAUCACGUCUCUUCAUGGAGACCGGUCAAGUCCACCUGAUCCACUGACUAUCUCAGAUCUUUUGGGACCCGUGCAAACAUCUCCUCUCUCCUAUCGGUCCCCUAUAAAUACACAAUAUUUCUACUGAAAAAGGGGAUGACCAAUUUCUGGUAAAACACACUCCACUCAUUACUUACUUCUCUAUAUCCGAACUGACUUAAGUUUCGGAGUUAUACCGGGGGAUCCAGCCCCUUUUCUUAUUCAAGCAGGUGACUUCGUCCAAGAGAGUUGCCCAAGGUAAAGAUAUUCUUCGAAUUGAGGUGACUCACUCCUGCGGGUCGAAAAUCACCUCUUCAAAUGGUAGAAAGUUUUCUUAAGAACCAAGAACAGCAUUAGUAUUCCCUCUGCUUCCAAAAACUUGUGUAUUAAAUAGAUUAAUGAAUUGUUUAACAUGCUCAUCUACUUGAAAAUGCACAAUACCCAUAACCCACUGAAAUUUUUGCAGGAAAAGGGAAAGAGAAUCUGUGUUUGAGAGCUUCAUGAAGAUGUUGAAGAAUAAGAAUAAAAGCCCAAUGCGAGGAUGUUUUCAAGUUUUUCUAUGUCCACUUUAAUUUGUAAAUUGAAUUUUACAACUCAAUUAAUUCCUUGUUUGUGAGGUACGUAUUGUUUUACGUACCAUGCCGUACAUGUUUGUAAGGAUUUCUAUCCUAUUGGCAAAAGUCGGUUCCAUACAAUUAAUCAAUUCAUUUCACUUCUAUUGGCUCUACUAUUUAUGCAUGUUACGACACUCUUUCCCUUAUAUUUUGCCUUUAAUAUUAUGAGUCAAUAGUAAUAAUGGGCCUUUUUCUUAAAAUUAUACUAUUAUACAUAGGUAGUUUGGUCUAACGCUAAAUUCAUGUUUGUCUUUCUUUUAUUCCCUUUACAUCUCAAAGUAUACUAUAGUUUGUAAUCAUUGUGGUGAUGAUAUUACCAGCUGGUACUUAUAGUUUAAGGCAGAGACAUGAUAUUAACAACUAUCUCAUUGAAACAUAAGUCAAAAUCAUGACAAGUGUGAGUCUUGGUUAAUGCACAAUUUGUUAGUGGAAUUUAUAUUUAUAAAACUCAAAAAAAAUUUUUGACAAUGCUAUUACUAAUUAAUUAAGGACUUCAUUGCUAUAAUUUAUCGCUUACUAGUUUAAACUAUAAAUGAUCUCAAUACUUUUCUCCAUGAUGUCGAUUUCUUUAGACUACGAAAGGGAAAAAUUAGUGACAUAUCCCUUACUGAUUACAACAUCAGCAAAAAUUAGUUAUAAACUUUUCCGGUGGUUUUAAAUCCCUCGGGCACUAAGGUUUUUUGCACAUCGAGUGAAUUAAGGAACAUAGGCAAUUCGUUCUGCAUACCAAGUCCUUGUUUAAGAUGCACGUACUAAAAUGCAUCCACUUCAUUAAUUUGGAAAAUUGCCAUAGUUUUUUUUAAGCAUUUUGAUUUUUUACAUGAUUCAAAAUUUUCUUAUUGGAUACAAUCACUUUGUGUCAAGAACACAUUUUCAAUCAUCUUUUUUAUCUUCUCAAUAAGAAAAUAAAAAUUUAUUCAUGCUUUUCUAACAUAUCCAAUCAUUGAUCUGAAAAAUAAAGAAUUAAAAAAAAAAGACAUUUUCAAUCAUUGCUUACAGGGCAACUUCCCCAUGUGAACCUCUUCAAACAAAGCCAAUAAUAUGAAGGAACAUCUAAAUACACUUUUGCCCUAAAGGCUGGUUGCCUUGGGGUCAAAAUUUAACCUUCGGGAGUAUAAUUACCCGCCAAAUUUAUUAUUUUUUAUGGGUAUAUAGUUCCAAUUUUGCCUCCUGUUAAGCUUAUAAAUAUAUUACGACCCAGAAAAUAAAGGAAUCUUGAAUAGUAACAUGUCCAUUGACUUGAGUUGUCAUCAAUUUGGCUACUUCGAUUCCAUGAGGCCAAUCCAAUUCACACUAGCUAGAGAAAAUGGUGAUAAAGGCACUUAGAAAUUUAUAUGUAAUAUUGAUUGGUAGUAACUGAUAAGUAUAUAUUUUACGUGUUUUAAAUAUGUUUUAUUAGUUAGUUUUGGUGUGUUUUAACUACUUUUAUAACUAAUUAACUAGGAAUCUAGUGAAAAUAUGCAUUUUGUGGUUUGAAGUGUGAAAAUUGUAUUUCUAUGGAUUUUAAUGGUGAAAACUUCAUGUUUUUGUAGGUUUAAUGAUUCAAUCAUCAAAUGACAUGAUUUGAGAAGAUAAUUAGAUGAUUGAUGAUGUUUUGAAGUGAUAAAAAGAGAAUACAAAGUGCAAGAGAGGAAAUGCAAUCAAGAAUAAAAGAAGAAAAUUUUUGUAGCUUUGACAUAUUGUGGUAUUUUGGCAAUAUAUUGAGCUACAAUGAUUGGAUUAAGGUGAUUCUUAAACCAUUUGAAGCUAAGAUAUAGAUCUACAUUUGGUAUGAAGGCAUCGAAACCCAUGUCAGUCAUUUUCCUUGUCAAAAUGUUGAAAUACAGAAGUGCAACUCUGUUCUCGAAAGCUAAAACAGAGCUCUGGCUAGUCGAGGGUAUUUUCAUCAUUUCUUAGUCCACAGAGCUCCAAAUGAGAUGAUUCUUAAGGCAUUAGAACCCUAACUCAAAGAGCUACAACUUUCAUAUUUUGUACAAGAGUUAGUUCGGCCUCCAUCAUUCAGAAAAUAGUAGUUGAAGUGGUGCCAAAUGCAUAGAAGUGAAAACGCGAGCUAUCAAUACUCGACCUGAAGUCGCGUAUUCCUGAGGUCAUGCAUUCUCUUCUAUUUUCUGCAACUUGCCCUGCUUUCACAUAAUUUUUUCAUCUCAAUUCCAACUAUCAAUUUCGGCUAUAUCUGAUCAAGAAAAGUGUGGAAAGUUUGAAAGACAACUCAUAGGAGUUUCAAGAGUCAAAAAUUACAAUUAGAAACAACUCAUUUGGCUCUUGAAUCCUCUAUAAAUAGAGGCCUUUGAAGAACAUUUUCACAACUUUGGAAGGUUAGAGAAACUCCACAAAAACAUAGUCUUCACUAGAAUUUCCUUAGUUCAUUAGUUAGGGUAGUAUAGUAUAGUUAGUGUAGCUUUUCCUUCUUGUAUUUAUAGUUAGGUUUGAAUGAAGAUUCAGGAGCAAAGAUAGAGAGGUUGAUCUCAUGUGACAAGGGUGAUAUCUCUUCUACUACUUUCUCUUUUGUAUUUGAUUUCAUAUUUAACUAUACUACAAAUUUGGCUUUGUUUUUUUUUUUUAUCAUGUUUAGUUAAAGUUUAUGCCUAGAGUAUGGAUGACCUUUCUAUAUCUUGUUUGUGAUAUUUAACUGGUUAUUUGAUGAUGUUAUUUUUGAGCAAGUUAUUUAUCACUUUUGCUUUUCUAAUCGUGAUUAACUGGCCAUUAGUUGUGAUUAUCUAAAAGUGUUAAGUUUGUAAUGAGAAUUGGAGUUUAACACUAGUUCAAGGAAGUGAUAAAUUUAGGGAGUUCACUCAUGAGAGUAGAGGAACACCUUUGUGACCUAAGUGACUUGUUUCAUAUAAUUUCAUAGAAAAAAUGAACUUGUAAUUAAUUUCAUAACCACGAGAGUAAGUAUGGUUUAGCUAUAUGUAUAGUUGAUUCACUACGAGAGUAGGUUUCACAUACAUUAGAAAAUUACAUCAUAACUAGUCAAGAUAAUAUCAUUCAUUUAAUCAGUAAUCUCAUUUGCAUGAGUAGUAAGGCAUUCCAUAUCUCUAGGAGGUUUUUAGUAUUAUUUUCAUUACUUUUAUGUUUAUGGUAGUCUAGAUAAUAAUGGAGUUCAAAAACUACUAGUAAUUGAAAAUUUUCCCUGUGGGAUCGACCUUUAAUACCCUAUACUCGCUCUCGACUCGUAUACUUGCGAAAAAUCACGUGUGCGGUAUUUAGAAUUUAUAAAUGUAAAACUUGACUGUAGAUGAACUAAUUGAUAUAUGUAUACCCCGCACUCGUCAGUAACCAGCUUGUAUUGAUCCCAUUAUUGUGGAUAAUUGUGCUCUUAUGAAAAAAAAUUAUAAAAAAAUUAGCAAAAUUUAUGAUAACAAAUUAAAUUUAUUCAUACAAAUCAGUGAAAGAAGUAGAAUUUUAAAGACCAUGAUGAAAUUAAUACUUUCAAGGGCUCUAUUAGGAAGACUUCACUUGUUGGUGAAACUACACUAGCACAGUUAUAUGCACAUUUACUGUUUUGGUAUCUAAUUUCCUUGCCUUAAGUUGGGUGCAGAUGUUUAUAUUACAAAUAGAUGGUAUCAUAAAAUUGUUGUAUUCACGUUUGUUCUUUUUUUUUCUUCCUUAAGUUUUUUUCUUUAUUCUCGUGACUUCAAAAAUACGAACUCAAGAAAUUGGCUGCUUAAUCAAUAUGUCAUACAGGCUUCGCUAGUGAGGUAUAACUUCACAACUAGAGUCAAUAGAAAUUAUCAAAUGAUUUUUUAACAUCCAAAUUAAGCAAUAAAUUUUGUUUUCAUUUUAUGACAUAUAAUAGUACUACUUCAUGAGAGAUUUUAUAGUUUCUUUUAGGUAUCAUACCUACAAGUGAUAUUUGUCAUUGGAUAGUGACAGAAGUGUUAAUGAUUGUAAGAUUAAAUAUUGUUAAAUAUUGAAAUUUAAACUAUUUAUCUUUAUUGAAAGAUACAAGUUAAAGAAUCGUUCAAGGGGGCAAUUUUCCAUCUUGUCUUUUUGAAAAAACGCUAUCACAUUGUAUAGGCAUGAUAGGUUCAAAUUUGUCAUUAAAUUUAUGAUUGAUUUCCCUUUUAUUCAAGCCAAAUAUUGUUUUAAUUAUCAAAUUCUACUUAUAUUUGGUUAAUUGUACUAAUUGUAGGGCGGUAGAGCAAAAGUUGCUAAAAAUAGGUGAUUUUCUGCAAAUUGGUUGUCAAGGCUGAAGGAUUUGGGAUUCGCAUGUUCAAGGCCUGUUUCCAAGUUUGAUUCAAACUCUGGACAGUUUUAGAGGAAGAUUUGGAAGAUUUGAAAUUUCAUUAUUAGUUUUAUGGUUGAAUUAGGAAUCUUGGAAUAAUUUCUUUUGUGAUUUAUUUUUCUAUUUAGGAGACUAGUUGUUAUUUAGUAGUAGACUUCAAUUAGAAAACAAAGAGAAAAAGAAGGCCGGAAUCCCGCUUGAUUAAUACCUUGGCCAGGGAACAAUCUCGGUGGGGAGGACGGCCACUUAGCCUCUCAAUUCAUCUUGCUUUUCGUUAGUUUGAGAGGAAAACCAAUUGCAACUAGAUUCAAUGGAGUCUGGCAGAAUUUCUUCUAGGAUGCGUAGCUAAAUCCUCAAUUUUUAGUCGAAGGUCAAUUUGAAAAUUCGGUUCCAAAUAUCUGUGAAAUCGAAUUAUUUUACUUAUUUCUUUUAUUUAUUGGUAUUCGCACGUUUUCUGAUUUAACUUUUUAUGAUUGUUUUGUUAUUUGAAUGUCAAGGGUCCGAUAUUCGAAUUAACUUAAUAAUCUACUGCCAAAUUAACCGGUUAAAUCCGUAAUUGUUUGAUUGAUUAAUAUCAGUGGCGACUAGCGUGAUUGGUCCCAUGUUAGGAAAACGUCUGAUCUAAUUUAAACAAACCGUCGUAGCGUGUUUGUUGAUUAGGGUUGGACUUUUCUAAUUCUUAAUUCAAUUGAGAAAUUAAAUCUCCCGGUCGUACCUAAGAUUAUUUUUUUGUUAGCGAAAUAGUUAAUGGUCGUACCUUGACUAUCGAAAAAGUAAGGAAGAGUUGAUUGUUUAUCGCGUGUACGACAACUAUAAUCAAUCUAUUAAUGAGUAAUUGAAUUAUCUUUGCAUCAGUAAUCAGUUGAAUGGACCGUGUCUGAAAAGUUGUACCUUUGGCUAGAGUCUUAUCUGUUGUUGAUUCAUUCAUAUCUAUCUUCAUGCGUUGUUUUAAUUUAGUUAAUUAGUUAUUUUUAUAAAAACCCCUCAUCUCUGGACUCUAAAAGAAAUAAAUUAUUUCUAGUUCCUGUGGAUUCGAUCCUACUCACCGCUAUAUACAAAAUUUGUAUUUUUUUGAAUAAAUAAUUAUUAUUACACAGGCUUGACACCUGUCAAGGCAAAAUUUCCUUAACUUCAUCAUCUGUAGACGUAAACUUUCUACGGGUGAUAUAAUAUAAGGAAAUUUUGCCUAUACGAUGUGAUAGCAUUUUUUCAAAAAAGACAAGAUGGAAAAUUGCUCCCUUGAACGGAAAAAAUCAUGAUCUUUCCUCAAACUAGUCUACUAGUCAAUUCUUUACAAAAGAAUACUCGCUCCUAAACAUAGCCUGUUCAUCUACACUGUCCCGCAGAAUUCUAGAAAGUUAGGCAAAACUAGACAAGUUGACAGGUAUAAUCAUACCCAAGAUCAGGAACAAGCAGUUGCACAUUUCAAAAUUCGCUGCUGCAACAGCUAAUUUGAUGACUUACAACACUACACGGUCAAACUUUGAAUGGCAAUGGAUCUUUUGUUGUACGUCAUGAUGUAAUUUUCAUGUUACAUACAUUAAUAGGUUGAUAUCUAUAUUCUUUAAAUUAUCAUGAUAAUACCCUUAAUUAGAUUUAACUGAUAAAAAGAACACGUGUUAAUAUACAAAAGUGUGUAACGUGAAUGUUACAUUACUGUAUUGCAGAAGACCUAUAGUCUCUUCAUAUCUCUUCCUGCACGUAUCAAUUCGUUUCCUCUAGAUAAUAAUCUCCCAACUCGUUUCUUUACAAAUGCACCUUUUAUGUUUUAUUACCUCCAAAAGCCUUUACAGGGUCUUUACCCUAAAAAUCAAUUCACCGACUCGCAUUUGAUGUCAGAAAUUCUUAAGACGAAUUCUACUUUACUCAAAGAUUGACUGUUAAUAAUGAGACAGCGACCAUUUUGUAUUAUUAGACCGUCCUUCUUGAUAGGUAAAAGAAAUAGAGAGGAAAGUGGGUCCGUAUAUGGUCUUUUAUUCAUAGAUAAUACAACAUUACGCCAUCGAGCAUUCACACAAUAUUUCAAAGUCAUAGCAUGCCUAAGGCCCUGUUUGAUAGCUCAAUUUCGUAAUUAAAUUUAAUAGAUUCAAAUUUUAACACAUUUAAAUCAUUUGAUAACAAAAAAUUGAAUAUUUAAAUUAAUUAAGUAACACUGAACUUUCUAAACAAAACUUGCUUUCAAAAUUAAGUGAUAAGUUAUUCACUUAUCUUUGAAUGUGAUAUGCACUCAAAUAUAUUAAAUUUAAUAAUUUAAUGGAUUCAGAUUUCAGAUUUCAGUUUUAUUACACACCCUAAGUUGCAAAAUAAUACCAAAACUUGUUAUUAUAUAGCUUGAGAUUCAAAAAUUUAGAGCAUAAUUCUCAACCUAACACAAUCGAAUAAUGAAUAUUCACGAUUGUUUCAAAGUACAAUUUGAGGACAACCCAUUCCAACGCGUACACGAUUUUUAACUUUUCUAAAGUUGUUGAGAGCUGUUAAAAGAGAUUUACCAUGUUUACAUCUUCCAAGUCUUGGAAGUGAAAAAUGAAGCCACUGAGUGCUAUAAAAAGGGGGCUAGAGGCUGCCUAGAAGCAUAUCAGCCUAAAACAAGAAUUUGUAGUAACAAUGGGGAGCAAAGCAAAAGCAACGGGGUCUAGGCUGACUCCUCUUCUUACCACUGUUUUAGUGGUAUUUGUCGCCCUUGGCUUGCCCUUGGAAACUGCAGCUGAUUAUUACAAGUAUUCAUCUCCUCCUCCUCCUCCUUACCACUAUUCUUCACCACCACCUCCAGUGUAUUCACCUCCACCAACCCCUGCUUAUAAGUUACCCCCACCAUCUCCUCCAGUUUACAAGUCCUCACCACCACCUUACCACUACUCACCACCUCCGGUGUAUUUACCUCCACCAUCUCCAGUUUACAAGUCACCACCACUACCCCCUCCGGUAUACAACUCCCCGCCUCCACCAGUGUACAAAUACAAGUCCCCACCACCACCUCCUCCAGUUUACAAAUCUCCAUCGCCACCAGUUUACAAAUACAAGUCACUCCCACCACCUCCUCCGGUAUACAAGUCUCCUCCGCCACCUGUUUACGAGUACAAGUCUCCUCCACCACCUCCUCCAGUGUACAAGUCCCCACCACCUCCAGUUUACAAGUACAACUCACCUCCACCUCCUCCCCCAGUUUACCUGUCUCCACCUCCACCCUAUCAUCACUACUACGGUUCUCCUUCUCCUCACCACUACUAAGCAAGUGCAUAAGUUUUGAGGUAAUAAUACCUAUCCAAAACUUUAUCAACACAAACUGCCAUGUAUAUUAUCAUGCUAAGGACGUACACUUGAUCCAUGAAAAUGACUAGUAGAAGAUUUUUUUUAAGAACCAAAGAAAUACAUUAUUUUUUCGGUCUGUUUUCAAGAAUUUGAGCAGUAUACAGAUUAAAGAGUGUUUUUUUUUUUGUAAACUUGCUUGUCAACUUAAAAAUGCACAUAGCUGAAAGCCAACUGAAUAUUUGCAGGCAAAGGAGAAGGCAAUCGGUGUUUGAGACCUUCAAGAAGAUGUAGAAGAAUAAGAAUAAAAGCCCAAUGCGAGGAUGAUUCCAAGUUUCUACGUUACCAUUUCUACAUCUAAAUUGACUUUAGCUCCUGAGUUCCAUGUUUAUGGGGUUUGUACCGUUUUACGUACCAUGCAGUACAUGCUUGCAAGGUUUUCUGUCCUGUUGGCAAACUGCAGGUCCAUAUAAUAAAUGAAUACUAUUUACAUUACGACACUUUUCUCUUUUUCUCUUAUAUUUUGUCUUUAAUAUUGUUGAUCAUUUUUUUUUUAUCAAAAGCAUCAAAUGCUUAGGUAAUUUGGUCUAAUGCUAAUUGUUUUACUUUUAUUUUUCACCUACACCCCUUUUCAACUCAAAGGAUGCUAUAGUUUGUGAUAAUUGUUUAAGACCGAAGCAUGAUACUAAUAAAUAUCUCAUUGAAAGUCAAGGAAACUAACAUUAGGAAAAGUUUAAAUCUUGAUUUGAUGAAACUAUUUAUUCGUGGAAUUUAGAGAUACAAAACUCAAAUUGUGACGGUGUUGUUGCUAAAUUAUUAAGGACAUUAUCACCAUUAUUUUUCCCUGAUCACUAGUUUCAACUGCAAUGAUCUCAAUCUUUUUGUGACUAAUUCUUUCCUUAAUAAUUUAUAAAGACAAAACUCACAAAGAAUAUGUGACUAAUUCUUUCCUUUCGUCUUCUAAAGAAAAUGCCAACUGUUAGUUUAUCAAGGGGAAAAAGGAUCGACAUCAGUUAUUAUUGAAACUAGUAAGGAAUAAAUAAUGGUGAUAAUGUCCUUAAUAAUUUAACAACAGCACCAUCAGAAUUUGACUUUGAGCUUCGGUCUUAAACAAUGAUCACAAACUACAGCAUCCUUUGAGUUGAAAAAGGAAGUAGGUGAAAAGAAAAGUAAAAAAUACAAUUAGCAUUCCCUCAAAUUGUAGAAAGUUAGGUAGCAUUAUAGACAAGUUGAUAGCGGCAAUUUUACAUUUCAAACUUCACCUAUUCAAUAACUAAUUCGAUGGCUUGCUACAUGGUCAAUCUUUGGACCCCUUCCUGCCUCCAGAUAUCCCUUUCCUCAAUCAGGGGCUUCUACAAUUACCAGUUUCAAUUGUAUGGUAUAGUGUAAAUAUCAACAAAUUAGAUGUAGAUGCUAACAUAAUAAAUGUGAAUGCUAAGACAGCAACAUACAAUCGAACCUGCAAUUGUAUGAACCCCAAUCUCGCUUCCUAGUCCACCAUCUUUCUCUAGGUAAUAAUCUCCCUUCUAAUUUAUUCACAAAAUGCACCUUUCAUCACCUCCAAUAGCGUCGACAUGAUCUUUACCCUAGAAGACUAUUCACCGACUCUCAAUUGACGUCAGAAAAUCUAAGAGUAAUUCUACUUUACCCUAAGAUUGAUAUCAACAAGACAAGGACAAUUUAGAAUUAUUACACGCCUCUUCUUAAUAGGAAAAAGAAAUAGAGAAGAAAGUCAGGCCAGGUCUAAUUUCUUUUCAAAGGCAAUACAACAUUACGAAAUCAAGCAUUCAUUCAUACAAAUAUUUCAUAGUCACCGGUUUGCUGAGUAGAAAAAUUUAGACAAAAACUUAAUAUUAUAUUGUUUAAGAGUUAACAAUUUAGAGCUUAAUCUCCUUGUACUUUGGAGUUAACAAUUUAGAGCUUAAUCUCCUUGUACUUUGGACUAAACUUGAACGUGAAAGGAAAUCCCAAAACCAUAUUGGGCAUGAAUUCACACUUAAUAUACCCAAUAAAAGAUGGCGACUGGUGAAAGGCAGUGGAGACUGGUGGAGAGAUUUGAGGAAUAGAAGCAGACGGAAAAGCAACAAAUUUUUGCCGAAAAACGGUCACUUUCAUGGUUAAUUUUGCUACUCUCCAAUUGUACUUGACCAAUUACAACAAUUUCAUGGAGUUUGAUACGUGAAAAGAAUUUUUUAUAAAUUUUAUUUUGAUCCAUAAUGUUAUCUUUACAUAUAUAAAACAUUUUACAAUUUUGAUUUUGGCGCAGCUAACUUUUGGUUAACAAAAAUGCUCAUGUUUAAAAAACCAGAAAUAAAACAAAACAAGAAACAAAAGAAAUAAGAGGGUAGCAUAGACAUUUUGGAUUUUUCCGUUAAUUUGGAUGAUUUCCACCCACGUUCUAAUUUAAUCCAAAACACAAAGGAAUUACGUAGAGGUUUUAAAUAAUGAGGGAGCUUCAUGAUCGAACCCCAAACCACAAGGCGAUUUACUAUAUUUUACUCUUAAAUUUUGGUUUCAUCUCAUAGCAUACAAGAGUUCUAUUUCACUAUCUGUAGACAAAGACUUUCUAUGGUUGAUGUACCAUAGGAAAAAAUCUGCCUAUACAACGUGAUAGCAUUUUUUCAAAAACACAAGAUGGAAAAUUGCCCCUUAAACGGGGAAAUUCAUGAUCUUUCGUCGAACAAAGAAUACUCACGCCUAUUCAAGAUGGAAAAUUGCCCCCUUAAACGUCUAUUUGUCAAUUCUUGAAAAAAGAAUACUCACGCCUAAAACACGGCCUCUUCAUCUGCAGAAUUCUAAAAAGUUAGGUAAACUCUAUAAACAAGUUGAUAGGUACAAUCGUACCCAAGAUCAAGUACAGAUAGUUGUACAUUAACUGCUGCAAUAACUAAUCUGAUGACUUAUAAACAUAUCAUGGUCAAUCGUUGAAUGGUAAUGAGUCUUUUGUUAUGCAUUAGUAUUAGUGUGUACACUCUAAUAGAUUGAUACUUAUACUCUUUAAAUUAUCAUAAUAAUACCCUUAAUUAACUUUAACUCUUAAAAAGAAUACAUGUUAAUACACGAGUGUGUGUAACCUGAAUUGUUACUUAUAAAUUAGUGUGUAAUAGAUAGGGAUGGCAAUGGGGGCGGGUGCCCGCGGGGGGCUCUCGGGGCGGGGGUUGGGGCGGGGGGGAAUUUUUUCCCCCCGUUUAGAAAUGGGGCAGGGGACGGGGGAGUAUACCCCCGCCCCAUCCCCCGCAAAAAAAAAAUUAUAUAUAAUAUGUAAUUUAAUUAGUUAUAAACUUAUGAUAAUGAUAUUAUUAGUUAGAUGUAUUAUAUAAUGUAUAUUAGUGUAUGUAAUAUAAUUAAUAUUAUCAAUUAUAUGAAUAAUUAGACAUGUCUACUAAUAGAAUUUAUGAAUUAGUUAUACUAAAUUUACUAAUACAUUUAUACUAAAUUUCUAAUUACACUUAAUAGAAUAACACUUUUUUCUAAAACAAAAAAGCACAAACACAAUAAUGAAUUAGUGAUUGUAUGAUAGGGUGUAAUUUUACUAUUUAUUUUAUUAUUAAUUUCCCCUAUCACCUGACCUGAUGUGGAUUAAUUGCUGGAUUCUGCUCACUUUUAGUACUUUGUAUUUAUUUCAGGGAGUAGAACGGAAAUUUGAUAACAGGUGCUAAUUUGGCAGAAAAAGAGUCCAGAUGAUAGAGCUUGCCCCAAGGGCAUUUUUGGAAAGGAGAACUUGUGCCCAUCUUGGUAAUUUGGGAGAAAAGGGAAACAGACAAAAUGGGUCUAACAUGGAUUGGAAGCGGCCGCACAGUAGCAGGGAAGAGGGCAGACGUAAAAGCAAUUGCAGGGGGGAAAAGGAGUUUUUUUAGUUUUUAGCUUAGCAUCUGAUUUUCCCUGGGAGACUUUUGUUAAAGAUUUCCUUUUGGCUGAUAUUACGCAUGGCAGAUGGCUUUUAACUUAUUCCUCCAUCUUUGACUUUUCUUCUUUAGCUUGUGGCAGUGGAUUGCUACUUACGAAUGUCAGCACUUAGCCAUUCGUGGCUUUUGAUCUUUUCUUCCUUAGAAAUUCUGAGUAACCUCUUUUCCUUUGUGCGCCAGACGAAGUGAAAACUAUAAACUUUUGUAGUUUUUCUAUUCAUUCAAUAUAUUGAGACGAGUUGGAUUCUACCAAAUUUCAACGGACAUGGCCGCUGGUUUCUCUUCAAUUUUAUAUGGGCUUUGUUCAUCCAACAUGAACUAAUUUCACCACUCUAGUCAAGGAGCAACGAAGGCUCUGAUUUGCCUAAAAAUUGUGAGAUCGUUUUAAUUUAAUCUUUUCCUUUUAUUUAUUGGUAUCCGCACAUUUCUUGAUUGCUAUGCUUAUGGUUAUUUAAUUAAUUGAUUGUCUUGGAUCCAGAUAAUUAAUUGAUCUGAUAGCCUAUUGUCAAUUAGGGCAUUUAAAUCCGUAAUUGUUUAAUUGUCCUGAAAUAGUGACAACUGGCACGAUUAGAUUCGUGCCAGGGGGGAUAUGCGGGCUAAUCUAAAAUAACCCUGGUAGUGUGUUAUUUGGUUAGAAUAGGGCUCCUCUAAUACUAAGGCAAUUGGGGAAUUAAAUUCUACGGGCGUACCUAGGAUUAUUUCUUAAUUAGAGCAGUGAUUAACGGGCGUACCUUGAUCACCGACACAGUAAGGAGGGGUUGACCGUCAUCGCUUGUUUGGCAGUUAUAACCUAUUUAUCAGUAAAUAAUUGGGAUUGCCUUGCAUCAAUGAUCAAUUAGGUGAACCAUUGUUGAAGUUACUUCUUGGUUAGAUCUUUAGUUAAUAUUACCUUGAUUUUGGUGAAUUGCCAUUUGAUUUUUAGUUGCCUACUUUAUUUUAUUUUUAAUUGUUUCCUUGCUUUAAUUGAGUUAGGCCUUUAAUUAUUGUUAUUCUAAGUUUAGUGAAUUGUGGUUUAAUUCCUAAUUAGUUAUUUAUUUUUACUUUCUUAUUUGAAUUUAUUUGCUUGUUAUCAUUCCUACGAAAUCACCCCCCUGUGUUACUUUGGAUUUCUUAAGAAACAAAUAUACCCAAUCCCUGUGGAUACGACCCUACUUGCUCUGUUCACGAAUUCAUAAUUAUUUGUGAAAAGAAAUAACCAUUCCACUCGGGUAUAUCGGAUCAAGCAAAUUCUUCGGGAACAGGGUGAAUCAAGUAACCCAAUGCACACCUAGAGUCCCUGCUCCAGUACUUGGAAUUGGGUUUUGGUCAUUUUAACUGGCAAUUAGGUUUAAUUUUAUUAUUGCACAGGCUGACGACCCUGUCAAUUUUUGGCGCCGUUGCCGGGGACUGGCGUUAUUAUUUGUUUCUUUUUAAAUUCAUUCUUUGUCCUAAUUUUCUGGUUUUCUUCUAGUGUAUGCCUCGAUCUUCUCGUACAGGUAAUUUGAUUUUUGACCCUGAGGUAGAGAAGACCGCAUGUAGAACGAGAAAGGAAACCAGACAGCUCAGAGAAGAGCACUCCAGUGCUACAUCUCAGAGACCCGAGUCAGAAGUUGAACUAACAGAUUCGUUUGGUAACACUUCGAGUGACUCUGACCAGGAGGAAGACACCAUGGCUAAUGCACGAACAUUAAGGGAGUUGGCUGCUCCUGAUUUAACUCAGCAGCCUUUAUGCAUUACUUUCCCCACUUUAAAUGAUAACAUUCCAUUUGAACUAAAAUCUGGUCUGAUUCAGCUUUUACCCUCUUUUCAUGGUUUACCAGGUGAAGAGCCGUAUAAGCAUCUGCAGGAGUUUGAUGUCGUGUGUAAUAGUAUGAAACCCUCGGGAAUCACAGAAGAGCAGAUAAAAAUGAGGGCAUUCCUCUUCUCCUUGAAAGAUUCUGCGAAGGACUGGCUGUACUACCUGUCACCAGGUAGCAUCACCACGUGGGACCAAUUGAAGAAAAAAUUUUUGGAUAAAUAUUUUCCUGCGUCCAGGGCUGCAAGUCUAAGGAAAGAAAUUUGUGGGAUCAAGCAGCAUCCAGGGAAGUCACUUUAUGAGUAUUGGGAACGGUAUAAGAACUUGUUGCGCAGGUGCCCCCAACACCAAAUAAGUGAGCAAUUGAUCAUACAGUAUUUUUAUGAGGGGCUCCUUUUUAGAGACAGGAGCAUCAUUGAUGCCAGGGGGGAGGGUUGGGAUGGGUGGUACGGGGGGAGGGAGUGUAAGCAAGAGGUCUCGGGUUCGAGUCCUCCCGCUUACACACAAAAAAAAAGAUGCUGCAAGUGGAGGGGCACUGGUAAACAAAACCCCUCAGGAAGCACGGGAGUUAAUAGAGGGGAUGGCAGAGAAUUCACAACAAUUCAGUACAAGAGAGGAUGUCCCAAUACGUAAGGUGAAUGAGGUAGAGACACCCUCUAUGCAGCAGCAGCUAACUGAGUUGACCGCGUUUGUUAGGCAACUGGCUGUGAGAAAUGCAUCACAAGCCAGGGUGUGCGGGAUUUGCACUGGUAUGGGUCAUUCUGCAGACAUGUGCCCAAUGAUUCAGGAAGAAACUGCAGAACAGGUGAACAUGGCUGACCACGCGCCCGCGCCAAGGAAGCAGUACGACCCUUACUCAAGCACCUACAACCCCGGGUGGAGAGAUCAUCCCAACCUCAGUUAUGGAGAAAAUAGGCAGCCCAACAUUACACCGAACAGGCAGUCUAACUUUGUGCCAAAUAGGCCACCAGGGUACCAGCAGCAAUAUCAACCCCGACCACCUCCGUCCCCAAGCUCUGGCCCAUCUUUGGAGGAGAUGAUGAAACAAAUGAUGACAACUAUGGCUCAAAAUCAGCAAAUGACGGAGGCAACCAUUAUGCAAAAUCAGCAAAGGACGGACUCCGAAAUGAAGGAUAUAAGGAAUCAGAUAAGUCAAAUGGUCACAACAAUCAACCGUUUGGAUUCCCAGAACCAAGGUAAAUUGCCAUUUCAGCCCGAAUUAAAUUCGAAGAACGUGAGCGCAAUGACCCUAAGGAGCGGGAAAGAAAUUCAGGGGUCUGAACCUGUGAUCCCUAAGGAUAAGGAUGAGGAAAAGAUCGAAAAUGAGCUUGAAAGGGAGGACAGCAAUGGUGCAGAUCUAAAGGUACUUCCUGACCCAAUAAUUACAGCUAAAACUAACCCGCCUCCUUUUCCUAGCAGGUUGGAAAAAUCGAAAAAAGAGGAUAAGGAGAAGGAGAUCUUGGAGGUUUUUCGCAAGGUUGAGAUAAAUAUCCCCCUCUUAGACGCAAUCAGACAAGUACCAAAAUAUGCCAAGUUCCUAAGGGACUUGUGUGUCAACCGAAGGCAGUUGAGGGAAGAUGAACGGGUUAUUGUUGGGGAGAAUGUGUCAGCAGUCCUGCAGAGAAAGCUCCCACCAAAGUGCGGGGACCCAGGUAUGUUUACUAUUCCCUGUAGGAUAGGUAAUACUGUGAUAGAAGGGCCAUGUUGGAUCUGGGAGCAUCAAUUAAUCUCAUACCUAAAUCUAUCUAUGCUUCUCUAAAAUUAGGUCCAUUAAAAGAAACUGGAAUAAUCAUUCAAUUAGUUGACCGAACUAAUGCAUAUCCUGAUGGGUUGGUUGAAGAUGUGUUGGUAAAAGUUAAUGAUUUGAUGUUUCCAGCUGAUUUUUAUGUACUUGAUAUGGAUGAUGAUCACUCCCCUGAUCCCUCACCUCUGUUAUUGGGUAGACCCUUUAUGAGCACAGCACAGACGAAAAUUGAUGUUAAUAAGGGUAUCUUGUUCAUGGAGUUUGAUGGGAAAAUUGUGCAUUUCAAUAUCUUUGAUACUAUGAAAUAUCCCUCAAACUCCAACUUUAGCACAGUUUUCUCUGUGAGUGCUAUUGACCCUGUAGUGCAGGAAGUGUUUGAAACUGAUGGCAGGGAUGAGUUGGAGGUGGCUUUGACCAAGCACCUCGAGUUGGAGACAACUCCUGAGGUGGAAUGGAGCGAGGACCUAAAAUGCACAAUAGGUGCAUUACACUCAUUGCAGUCCACCACGAAAAGGUAUGAAGUCUUACCUAUUUUUACUCCCGAACCUCACCAGAGGGUGUUGCCAUCUGUGGUGCAGGCACCUGUACUAGAAUUUAAACCUCUAUCAGAGCACCUGAAAUAUGCAUAUCUGGGUGAUAAUGAGACACUCCCGGUGAUUAUCUCAUCGACACUGUCAAAAAUCCAGGAGGAGAAACUGAUCCGGGUCCUUAGAGAGCAUAAAGAGGCGAUAGGUUGGACAAUCGCAGAUAUUAAGGGGAUCAGCUCGGCCAUCUGUAUGCACCGGAUUAGACUAGAAGAGGAUGCCAAACCUGUUAGGCAGGCUCAAAGGAGGCUCAACCCCCUAAUGAUGGAAGUUGUAAAGAAAGAAAUUUUAAAAUUGCUAGAUGUGGGGAUUAUUUUUGCAAUAUCAGAUAGCCCUUGGGUAAGCCCGAUCCAGGUAGUCCCAAAGAAGGCAGGGGUGACGGUGGAGGCAAACCAAACGGGUGAGCUCGUGCCAGUGCGCAAACCCACUGGAUGGAGGCAGUGUAUAGACUACCGUAGGCUAAACGCCGUCACCAAAAAGGACCAUUUCCCUCUCCCUUUCAUUGACCAAAUGGUUGAACGUUUAGCUUGUAGAGCUUAUUAUUGCUUUUUGGAUGGAUUUUCAGGAUACUUUCAGAUAGCAAUUGCUCCAGAGGAUCAAGAGAAGACAACCUUCACGUGCCCGUUCGGGACCUUUGCUUAUAGACGAAUGCCAUUUGCGUUGUGCAAUGCACCUGCAACAUUCCAGAGGUGUAUGGUAAGUAUUUUUUCUGAAUAUGUGGAGAAAAUUAUUGAAGUUUUCAUGGACGAUUUCAGUGUGUAUGGUGAUAGUUUUGAUACGUGUUUAGAUAAUCUGAAAUUGAUCCUGAUAAGGUGUAUAGAGACUAAUCUUGUGCUUAAUUGGGAAAAAUGUCAUUUUAUGGUUGAGCACGGGAUAGUCCUGGGUCAUAUUGUAUCGUCUAAGGGCAUAGAAGUUGACAAGGCUAAAAUAGAUAUUAUUUUUGCAUUACCUUACCUCGCGAGUGUGCGGAAGGUGCGUUCUUUUCUUGGACAUGCAGGUUUUUAUCGAAUGUUCAUCAAGGAUUUUUCAAAAAUUGGAGCCCCGUUAUUCCAACUCCUACAAAAGGAUGUGACCUUCGAAUUCGAUGAUAAGUGUGAGGAAGCCUUCAACAAGUUGAAAGAAUUGUUGACCUCACCCCCAAUUAUCCAGCCCCCUGAUUGGAGUCUACCAUUUGAGAUCAUGUGCGAUGCCAGUGAUCAUGCCGUAGGGGCUGUAUUGGGGCAAAGAGUAGGGAAGGCAGCUCACGUCAUCUACUAUGCAUCCCGAGCAUUGAAUGGAGCCCAAUUGAAUUACUCCACUACUGAAAAGAAGCUUCUUGCAGUUAUUUUUGCUUUAGAAAAAUUCAGGUCAUAUUUGCUAGGUGCUAAAGUAAUUGUAUUUUCUGACCAUGCAGCAUUAAGGUACCUAAUGACCAAGAAAGAUGCCAAACUGAGGCUCAUUAGGUGGAUAUUGCUACUGCAGGAAUUUGACCUGGAGAUACGGGAUAAAAGGGGCUCAGAGAAUUUAGUAGCUGACCAUCUGAGUCGUAUACCCGUUGGAGAGGAUAAUGAACCAUUGAGGGAUGCGUUCCCUGAAGAGCACUUAUUUUCUUUAAAUUCUCAGUUGCCUUUGUAUGCCGAUCUGGUCAAUUAUUUGGUAACUGGUAAUUUUCCUGCAGGUUGACCAAAAUCGAAGAGGGAUAAAUUGAAGAGCGACGCCAAGUAUUUUAUUUGGGACGACCCGUACCUAUGGAAGAGGUGUGCAGAUCAAGUGAUGCGGAGAUGUGUAAGUGAAAUGGAAUUUCAAUCGAUUUUAGCUUUUUGUCAUACUUUUGCCUGUGGAGGUCAUUUGGACCCAAGAGAACUGCUCAUAAGGUUUUAGAAAGUGGAUUUUAUUGGCCUUCAUUGUUUAAGGAUGCCUAUGUGUUUUGUAAGUCAUGUGAUCGCUGUCAAAGGGUAGGUAAUAUACCCCGUAGAGAUCAAAUGCCCCAAGUCCCGUUGAUUUUUAUUGAAAUUUUUGAUGUCUGGGGUAUAGAUUUCAUGGGGUCUUUUCCUACUUCAUUUGGUUUUUUAUAUAUUUUGCUGGCAGUUGAUUAUGUGUCUAAAUGGGUGGAGGCUAAGGCCACUCGAACUAAUGACUCGAAAGUAGUUGCAAAUUUUGUCAGGUCUAAUAUUUUUGUGCGAUUUGGAAUGCCUAGUGCUAUUGUCAGUGAUAGGGGAACGCACUUUUGCAACAAAAUCAUAGCUGCGUUGUUUCGCAAGUAUGGUGUACUCCAAUGGGUCUCAACGUCGUACCACCCUCAGACCAAUGGUCAAGCGGAGGUGUCGAAUCGAGAGAUCAAGUCUAUCUUGGAGAAAAUGGUGCGCCCCGAUAGGAAAGACUCGAGUCAAAGGCUGGAGGACGCACUUUGGGCCUAUCGGACGGCGUACAAGACUCCUAUAGGGAUGUCACCGUACAGGUUGGUAUUUGGGAAGCCGUGUCACCUUCCAGUGGAGUUUGAGCACAAAGCUUUUUGGGCGAUAAAGUAAUGCAACAUGAAUUUAGAGGAAGCCGGUGCCCAACGAAAGUUGGAUUUGCAAGAAUUAGAAGAGAUCCGGAACGAGGCUUACGAAAAUGCACUAAUUUAUAAGGAGAGAAGCCGGAUAUUUCAUGAUCAACAAAUUUCAAGAAAAUCCUUUGAAGUUGGUCAGAAGGUCCUACUAUACCAAUCCAGGCUCAAGCUAUUCCCAGGUAAACUACGUUCCCGUUGGAUUGGACCUUUUCUUGUUACUCAUGUUUUUCCAUAUGGUGCAGUUGAAAUCCGGAGCGCUAAAACAGACAACAAAUUUGUGGUGAAUGGACACCGUCUCAAGCAUUACUACGAAGGAUUUUCAGGUGAAAAGGUGGAGACAAUAAGUCUAGACGCGCCACCGUGUCCUAAUCAGUGACAUUUUACUAUGUCUAGCCAAAGACAUUAAAGACAGGCGCUCAUUGGGAGGCAACCCAAUUGUCCCUUUUAAUUAUUUGUUUGAUUUCGUGUGAUAGUUUAAAUAUGUUUUCCUUGAAUUCGACUGAUUUUGGGUUUCAGUUUUCGUUUUUGCUGAAUUGUAGGUGACCUUCAGUCUUGACGCGCCCGCGUGAUGACAUGCAGGAAGCUCACGAUCAGAAUCGUCUGAAAGCUCUCUUGCCCUUUUGACGCACCCGCGUGAUGACGUGCAGGAAGCUCACGAUCAGAAUCGUCUGAAAGCUCUCUUGCCCUCUUGACGUGCCCGCGUCACGUUCGCAGGAAAGGUACGGGUUUCAAAAAUUUAAAGAAAAAAUAAUAAUAAUAAUAAUUUAAAAUUUUGAAAUUAACUUCCGUAAAAAAAAAAAAGAAGAAAAAAAAUUUCACCGUGGCUUAAAUAGAGCCUAAAGAAGAGAAAAAAGAAACAAUUUCUUUCUUUUUUUUUUCUUUUUCUUCUUUCUUCCUUCUUUCUUUCUUUCUUCUUUCUCUUUUCCCUCUCUCUUCUCCCCUGUUUCUUCUCCCCUGUCCGUCGCCCGUGCGCCCCAUCGCUGCUCCACCUCCACACGCACGCCGACGCUGCGAGCCACCUGCGACCCCAGCGCCAGAUCUGGACCAUCGCCGAAACCCGCAGCCUCCGCCACCUCCACCUGAGCUCUGCCUCGCGCGCAACCCAGCUGCUCUGCGCCCGAAGCUCCACCGCCGCCACAGCCUCCCCACGCAGCUCCCUGCUCACGCGGCCACAAGCCCAUUGGAAACGGGACAGAGACUGCCGCCGAGCCACUUGCCCGCGUGACCGCCGCUGUUUUCCACCACCUCCCUCACGCGAGCUCUUUCCCUCUCAGCAGCAAUCCACUUCACAGCGCACCCGCUGCGCGCCGUCGCAGCCCUCGCAGCUCCAGCCCGUCUGGUCUAGUCCGCCGCGCGCACCAACCACCCACGGACGCUACCCCCAUCGCUAACCCACGCGGCCUCCACUCCAGUCUGUCCGCCGCCGCUGCUCGUGUCUCCCUUGCGCACCUCACGCCACCCGCUACUGUCCCCUUCCGUUUGGUUAGCAUCCACGGUGGAGGUAAUUGGAGGUUAUUUUCUCAAUUGUGUGACUUCCGCCUGUGAUACUGGUUGCAUUAUUUUUGCUGGGAAUUGCUACUUCUUUUGGGUUGGGUUCAACUGUGCAAUUAAUUGGCCAACUGGAGCCAUUUGUUGGGAUUUUGGGUGAGCUGAAAUACUGCAUUUGUGUGUUACAUUGGGAGGUUUAUUGGGUACAUUCUAACCGCUGUUUUCCAUUGUUACUCUCGCUGGGGUGUCUAUUAAAUUGCGAUUGAAGUAUUUUGGAUAUUGCAUGUUGAGAUUGAGGUUUCAUUGAAUUUGGCCUACGUUCUGCCCCCAGUGGUACUGGUGGGAAUAUUUUCAAUUGAAUUUGUUACCUCUAGUUGGUUGGCUACAUUAUUAUGGUCGAAUUCCUAAGUUGUCGUCAUUGCAUUUGUUGAUCUUGAUUUGGGGCAUUAACCGGCCAACUGGAGCCAUCUGUGCGUUUUUAGGCGCUAUUAUUGGUUUCUUCUCCCUUAACUUUGUCAACUAUAUUUGGUUGGGUAUUUGGUUGACUGCCACGGACUUGUAACUGUGUUUUGCUUCUAAUUGACCAGUUGCACAGCAGUUUUUUUUUAAUUGAUAGGGUGGUUAUACCUCUGGAUAUUUGUAUCCACUGGUUUGAGGACAUGGUGAGACCAAAAUCCUCCUCUAGGUCUAGGACCCCUAGAACCUCGCAAUCCCAACCCCAAGCCUCUACUCUAGUCAAUACCCCUAUAAAUCAACCUACUGCUCCCGGUGUCCGAACCUGGUUAGGUAGGGGUAGAGGUGCCCACGUGGCUUCCGCCACUCACUUGGGAGGGCAUUUGGAAUUCACUAGAGCCGCCGAUCAGCGACGCUAUGCUCAAGCUUGUGAGCGGCGUAUCAUUCCGUGCAAAUGCGCGGACCACAUUACUAUGGUUUUUCUGGGGAUCCAAGGGGAGGUUGAGCGCAUGUACACCGCCAUUGGAUGGCGCCCCUAUCUGGAUAUUUUCCAGCCAGCCUUUGUCGAGUUGACUAGAGAGUUUUACACCACUUUUAAGUUUGAAUUACCGACUAGGUAUACUGUUGCGACUCCCGAUAUCAUUCACUUCCGUCUCAUGGGCCAGGAAUUCAAUUUCUCUAUCACCCAGUUCAAUCUGGCUUUCGGUUUCAUCACUCGGGAGUAUGCAGAGACUAGGGAAUACGGUGAGAGUGCCUGCGAUUUUGUGGAACCUUUCCUUACCGCCUACCGUGAGGUGUGGGAGGACAUGUCUGUGGACAUGCAGCGUUACGAUCCCUCUCGGUCUCGGAGCUCCUUUCUAGAGGACCCGAGUGCUCGGUAUGUUCAGCGGCUUUUAGCAUAUAGCUACUCGGGCAGAAAGAACAGCUUCGGUAUUAUCUCUCGGCCGGAGCUCUUCUUCCUUUGGUGUAUGAAGAAUGGGUUCAAGGUCAAUUUGGGUUGUUGGUUGGCGGCACAGUUCAAGACCGUCAUGGCAAAGAAGAACAAGCCGUUGAUUCUUGGGUCGUAUAUCACGUACUUGGCGGUCCAGCUAGGCGUUCUGAAUCUACAGGAUCACGAUUUGCACUUGGCCUGCGACAUGGAGUAUCUCACUGCUGACCGGCUAGAGAAGAUGGGGGUUCUGGAGCUUGUCGAUGGCCACUACCGAUUUGUGCCCCCGGGACCGCCCCGCGCCCCGCCUCGCUCUUCCUCCACCCAUUCGGCCCCAGUUGGCGGUGAUCCUGGCCCGUCGACAUCCGCUCAGCUCCCUCCACCAGCAGGGGCUGAAGAUUGGCACCAAAUCAGGACGCAGAUUCAGAAUUUGGACGCCCGGAUGAUUAGCAUCGAGAGCAACGUGGCGGCUAUAUCACAGAAUCUGGCGGCAUUCCUGCAGCACUCGGGUUUCCCGCCCCCAAUCCCACCUCACCCUCCACUAUGACCCGGUUUCAGGGAAGUUUGGUUACUUUCUCCCUCACUUUUGUUGUUUUUUGACACAUUGAGGACAAUGUGUCCUAUAGGUGUGGGGGGGUCUAUAGUCUUUCUAGUUUUUAGUAGUUGUUAGUUUUUAGUUUUUUAGUAGUUUUAGUUUUAUUUCUAGUUGCGUAUUUUCUUUCUUUUCUUAGUGCUUAUUCCCCAUGUGAAAAGAAAAAGAAAACAAAAAAAAAGAGAAAAAAAUGUUGGUUUAUUGACUCUAACUCUACUUUUGCCAAGUUUUUUUUAAAUAAAAAUGUAUCGGGUUAAUGUGGUUGGAUCCAGAAUAUCUCCCUGGUGAAUAUCGGAUUGCUUGGCUCUUUUGAUUUCUGUGUUAAUUUCUCUAGGCAUAGGGAAUGACUGUUGGCAUUUUAAUGUGAACUGGUCCAAUAUUGACUCCAGUUCUCUAUGUUUGGCAAUAAUGAGGCGAGCUGUUCCUAUUUUUGGUUCUUAGUGUUGUUAUUAUGUGUUUUUGGCUUUGUUUGGCUGUGAAUAAUCUGGACUGUACUCCGCUAUGAGUUACUACUGAGUAACCGAGGAUCGGCACCUAAAAGUGUCGAUUCUCGCGUCAAAAGGUGGUACUUUAUAUGAGUACGUGGUCGUAUAGCAGUAGGAGCUGAGUAACCGGGCUCCUUCAUCUAAAAAUGUUGGAGUUCGCGUCAAAAGGCCCCGACGGCUAACGACUAAGUCUUUUUGUGUUAAUUAUUAUUGCUUUGAAAAACAAAAAAAAAAAAGAACGAAAAAAGAGAGAAUAAAUAAUAGGAAGGCUUGCCGGUUUAUGGACUUAAUAUGGAGACUUGUGUGAAUAUUUGGACCAUUAGCUAAUAAAUGUUGUGCGCCAUUCCCUUUUCUUAGAGUAGUUAACCUGGAAAUUGAAGGAAUUUGCAGUUUAGGGGCUAACCGGGGGGGAGGCUUCUUGGAUUUUAAUCACCAAUGCUCGAUAUAUGUUUUUCUCUUGAAGAUCUUGGCAAUAUAGGAGAUUGGACAAUGGCCAUCAUCGAAUUUUGGUGUUCGUUUACUAUUCUUAUGCUUGAGGACAAGCAUGGUUUAGGUGUAGGGGGAAUUGAUAGGGUGUAAUUUUACUAUUUAUUUUAUUAUUAAUUUCUCCUAUCACCUGACCUGAUGUGGAUUAAUUGCUGGAUUCUGCUCACUUUUAGUACUUUGUAUUUAUUUCAGGGAGUAGAACGGAAAUUUGAUAACAGGUGCUAAUUUGGCAGAAAAAAGUCCAGAUGAUAGAGCUUGCCCCAAGGGCAUUUUUGGAAAGGAGAACUUGUGCCCAUCUUGGUAAUUUGGGAGAAAAGGGAAACAGACAAAAUGGGUCUAACAUGGAUUGGAAGCGGCCGCACAGUAGCAGGGAAGAGGGCAGACGUAAAAGCAAUUGCAGGGGGGAAAAGGAGUUUUUUUAGUUUUUAGCUUAGCAUCUGAUUUUCCCUGGGAGACUUUUGUUAAAGAUUUCCUUUUGGCUGAUAUUACGCAUGGCAGAUGGCUUUUAACUUAUUCCUCCAUCUUUGACUUUUCUUCUUUAGCUUGUAGUAGUGGAUUGCUACUUACGAAUGUCAGCACUUAGCCAUUCGUGGCUUUUGAUCUUUUCUUCCUUAGAAAUUCUGAGUAGCCUCUUUUCCUUUGUGCGCCAGACGAAGUGAAAACUAUAAACUUUUGUAGUGUUUCUAUUCAUUCAAUAUAUUGAGACGAGUUGGAUUCUACCAAAUUUCAAUGGACAUGGCCGCUGGUUUCUCUUCAAUUUUAUAUGGGCUUUGUUCAUCGAACAUGAACUAAUUUCACCACUCUAGUCAAGGAACAACGAAGACUCUGGUUCGCCUAAAAAUUGUGAGAUCGUUUUAAUUUAAUCUUUUCCUUUUAUUUAUUGGUAUCCGCACAUUUCUUGAUUGCUAUGCUUAUGGUUAUUUAAUUAAUUGAUUGUCUUGGAUCCAGAUAAUUAAUUGAUCUGAUAGCCUAUUGUCAAUUAGGGCAUUUAAAUCCGUAAUUGUUUAAUUGUCCUGAAAUAGUGACAACUGGCACGAUUAGAUUCGUGCCAGGGGGGAUAUGCGGGCUAAUCUAAAAUAACCCUGGUAGUGUGUUAUUUGGUUAGAAUAGGGCUCCUCUAAUAUGUAAGGCAAUUGGGGAAUUAAAUUCUACGGGCGUACCUAGAAUUAUUUCUUAAUUAGAGUAGUGAUUAACGGGCGUACCUUGAUCACCGACACAGUAAGGAGGGGUUGACUGCCAUCGCUUGUUUGGCAGUUAUAACAUAUUUAUCAGUAAAUAAUUGGGAUUGCCUUGCAUCAAUGAUCAAUUAGAUGAACUAUUGCUGAAGUUACUUCUUGGCUAGAUCUUUAGUUAAUAUUACCUUGAUUUUGGUGAAUUGCCAUUUGAUUUUUAGUUGCCUACUUUAUUUUAUUUUUAAUUGUUUCCUUGCUUUAAUUGAGUUAGGCCUUUAAUUAUUGUUAUUCUAAGUUUAGUGAAUUGUGGUUUAAUUCCUAAUUAGUUAUUUAUUUUUACUUUCUUAUUUGAAUUUAUUUGCUUGUUAUCAUUCCUACGAAAUCACCCCCCUGUGUUACUUUGGAUUUCUUAAGAAACAAAUAUACCCAGUCCCUGUGGAUACGACCCUACUUGCCCUGUCCACGAAUUCAUAAUUAUUUGUGAAAAGAAAUAACCAUUCCACUCGGGUAUAUCGGAUCAAGCAAACUCUUCGGGAACAGGGUGAAUCAAGUAACCCAUUGCACACCUAAAAUCCCUGCUCCAGUACUUGGAAUUGGGUUUUGGUCAUUUUAACUGGCAAUUAAGUUUAAUUUUAUUAUUGCACAGGCUGACGACCCUGUCAUUGUAUUUGUACCAAAAGUGAAAACUUAACUAUUUUAGUUGUAUUUAUUUCAUCAUGUUGGAUUGUAUUCAAAUAAUUUUUGUUUGAUUGUUUUUAUAAGUUUCAAUUGUAAAAUUAAAAUGAAUAAUAACUUGAUGAUGUGUUGAUAUUUUAGUACUUGAUUAUUUAUUAAAAUUUAAUUAUAAUAAAAUUUUAUUAACUCAACGAGAAAAAUUUUAUUAAUCCCGUGGGGGCACCCGCGGGGAAAGCGGGGCGGGGCGAGGGGAGUGGGAGGCGGAGGACGGGGCGGGGGCGGGGGAUGGGGGAGGGGUCCCCCGCCCCAACCCCGCCAUCCCCCGUCCCGUUGUCAUCCCUAGUAAUAGACUGGCAAGCAUUGUGGUGGUCAUUGAGCAACUUAUAGGAGAAAUAGUCCUAUAAGCUGUUCAAUGACCAAUCACAACUUGCUAAUUGGAUGACUAAUAUAGCUCUAGCUGUAAUGUUUUAAUUAAAUUACAUCACUAACGUUGGGAUGACUUUUUAACCAAAAAAAAAAAGCCUUAGUUCAAGCUUUUCCCUUUAUUGUGCAUUUUUUAAAGCAUUUGAAAGGCACUGCAAAUCUGUCAUUUUGGACAUUUUAUUAUUGACUAACAAUGAAAGCCGUGGACGUCUACCCAUAACCAACACAAGAUUAAAUUAAUAUUAGAAAAAAUAAUUGAGUAAUUGGAAAAAAAAAAAAAAGAAGAGUCUAAUUUUCAUUGAAACCCACCGACAAACUAUACGUGUCCAUGGCUUUUGAAUAGUGCAUUCAACGUUUAAUUGUAUGGUCCAGUUCAUUGCAGAUUACAUGGAGUAAAGAUUGCGCUCUUUCCUUUUCACCCCUUUUGGAAUCGAUACUGUGGAGAAUUGGGUUUUUCCCUCCUUUUUUUCUUUUCUUUCCUUCUGUGGUUUGCAAAACAUACGUAAAAAUAUGAAAUCCGAAGCAUUCUUUAAUUGGUAUUAAGUAUUGUUGUUGAAAUUAAAAAGAAAAAAGAAAGAACAACAAAAUUCCCAAUCUGGGUUGAUUGUUGAGCUCUAGAUUGGUUGCAUCGUGCUUCCAUAGAAGCAAGAUUUGUAAAAUCGGAAUCCUACAUAGGAUCGAUUUUAGUUUCACAGGAUCGGAUUGUAAAAUCGUAAGAUCCUACCAAAAGCUCUCAAUUGCAAUUAAAGGUUGCAAUUCUUUAAUAAAUUACAAAUAUACCACAAAUAUUUUCAUUUACUUGCAAAAUGGAGCUUCGUAUUUCACAAAUUUACAAAAAAAUUGUAGGAUCGUACGAUCCUACCGAUCCUACGAUCCUACACGAUCCUACCGAUCCUGCUACGAUUCUAUGCGAUCCUACAAAGAUUAAUAUGAUUUGCGACUCUGCAUACGAUCCGGAUCGAUUUUGGUUAUCCGGAUCGUAGGAUCGUAUGAUCCUACGAUCCGGAUCGCGAUUUUGACAACUAUGCAUAGAAGCUCUCUUAGUGUGAUACACUGCUUUCAAUCAGUUUAACACGGGAAAAAAAAAAAGAGAUGAAAAGCAAAUUUGGUGGAGAUAAUUUCAGAAACCUCCCCUGAAGAUUUUGACUAUUCUACUGGUUUCCCUUCAGAUUUUAAAAAUUACACUAAUCUUCCUUGAAGUUAAUUAUCUUGUAACAUUUAAAUUCAAUCAAUAAUUUAAAAAAUGAUAUUAUGAGAGAGAAAAUAAUAUGAUUUUAUCAUUGCCCCCCAUCUUACUACAUUAUUUAAUUAAUUUAAUAGCAACCCACACAUUAAAGAAAAAUAUUAAAAUUUGUUGUUUAUCAUUAAAGAUCAAAUCGCUUAUAACAUCAAAUAAUAGUAUAUUAUUUAUAUUUUUCACUUAAUAUAAUAUCCAAAUUACUCUUUUCAAUUACAUACCCAUUGUUAGAGAAUCAACAACAAAUAACCAAAAAAUUUGCAACCAAAAUAUUACAAAAAAAAUAAACUUUAACAUCAUAAAUAUUCUUAUCAACAUAUUAAAGUUAGUUACUGAAAUUUUUAUGCUGUUAAACUUCACUCUUUUUGAAUACAGAUUUUUUUGAUUAUUUGUUAUUAAUUAUGUUUGAUGAUGGGUUUAUAAUUGAAAAGAACAAUUUGAAACUUACAUUAAGUAAAAUAUAUAGAGUGAUAUACUAUUUUUUAUAACAUAUGUGAUUCAAUCCUUCUUGAUAGGAUUGGUAAUAGAGGUAGAGGGGGGAGUCGGCUGCAUCCGGUCUUCUUUUCAUAGAUAGUACAAUAUUGCGAAAUCAAUCGCAUUCACACAAUAAUAUUUCGAAGUCAAUGCAUGGCUAAGUUGCAUAAAAGUACGAACACUUGUUAUUAUAUAGCUUAAGAUUCAAAACUUUCGAGCAUAACCCUCCACCCAACACAAUUGAAUAAUGAAUAUUCACGAUUGUCAAAUCUGUCAAAGCACAGUUUGAGGACAACCCAUUCCAACCUGCAAAAGAUUUUUUACUUUUCUAAAGUUGUUGAGAGCUGUAAAAAGACUUACCAUGCUUGCAUCCUCCGAGCCUUGGGAGUUAAAAAUGAAGGCACUGAGUGCUAUAAAAAGGGGAAUAGAGGCUGCCUAGAAGCAUAUCAGCCUAAAACAAGAAUUUGUAGUUAAGAUGGGAAGCAAAGCAAAAGCAAUGGGGUCUGGGCUGACUCCUCUUCUUGCCACUGUUUUAGUGGUGUUUGUUGCUCUUGGCUUGCCCUCACAAACUGCAGCUGAUGAUCACUACAAGUAUUCAUCUCCUCCUCCUCCUUACCACUAUCCCUCACCACCACCACCAGUGCAUAUACCUCCACCUCAUCCUGUUUACAAGUACAAAUCUCCACCACCCCCACCACCACACCCAGUUUACAAGUAUAAGUCACCACCACCACCUCCUCAUCCGGUAUACAAGUAUAAGUCUCCUCCGCCACCACCACACCCAGUUUACAAGUACAAGUCACCACCACCACCUCCUCAUCCGGUACCACACCCAGUUUACAAGUAUAAGUCACCUCCACCACCUCCUCAUCCGGUACCCACAGUUUACAAGUAUAAGUCACCACCACCACCUCCUCAUCCGGUAUACAAGUAUAAGUCUCCUCCGCCACCACCACACCCAGUUUACAAGUAUAAGUCACCACCACCACCUCCUCAUCCGGUGCCACACCCAGUUUACCACUACAAGUCACCACCACCACCUCCUCAUCCGGUACCACACCCAGUUUACCACUACAAGUCACCACCACCUCCUCACCCAGUUUACAAAUACGAGUCUCCACCACCACCAGUUUAUAAGUACAAGUCACCACCACCUCCUCCACCAGUUUACAAGUAUAAAUCUCCUCCACCACCACCACCAGUUUACCACUACAAGUCUCCACCACCUCCUCCCCCAGUUUACAAAUACAAGUCUCCACCACCUCCUCACCACUACUAAGCAAUUGCUUCUGAGGUAAUAACACUUGUUCAAUAUACCCACUUCUGCAUGAUAAAGCAUAUCUCUAUCAACACAAACUGUCAUGUCUAUCAUGCUAAGUGCCUUCACUUCAUCCACCAAAAUGACUGCUAGAAAAUUUUUUUUAUGUUACCAAAGAAAGGCAUCAUUUUUUCCCUCUGUUAUCAAGAACUUGUACAGUAUAUAGAUUAAAGAGUAUUUUUUUAACUAGCUUAUCAACUGAGAAAUGCAUAUAGCUGAUAGCCAGCUGAAUAUUUGCAGGCAAAGGAGAAGGAAACCAUGUUUGAGACCUUCUUGAAGAUGUAGAAGCAUAAGAAUAAAAGCCCAAUGUGAAGAUGAUGAUUUCAAGUUUUUCUACGUUACCAUUUCUUUAUCUAAAUUGGUUGUAGCGCCCAAGUUCCUUUGUUUAUGGGAUUUGUAUCGUUUUACGUACCAUGCAGUACAUGUCAUGUUUGUAAGGUUUUCUAUCCUGCCGGCAAACCGCAGGUUCCAUGUGAUAAAUGAAUACUAUUUAUGUUACGACACUUUUCUCUGUUUCUCUUAUAUUUUGUCUUUAAUAUUCUUAAUCAUAUUUUUAACAAAAAUAUUCAAACACUUAGGCAAUCUGGUCUAAUGCUAAUUGUAUGUUUUACUUUUCUUUUUCACCUGCUCCCCUUUUCAACUCAAAAGGAUGCAAUAGUUUGUGAUCACUGUUUAAGACGGAAGCAUGAUACUAAUGAAUAUCUCAUUGAAACUCAAGGAAACUAACAUUGCGAAAAGUGUAAAUCUUGAUUUGAUGCAACUAUUUAUUCGUGGAAUCUAUAGUUACAAAACUCAAAUUCUGACUGCGCCAUUGAUAAAUUAUUAAUGACGCUAUCAUCAUUAUUUAUCCCUAACUAGUUUCGACUACAACUGAACCCAAUAUUUUCCCCAUGAUAAAAGUUUUUGACUAUUUUACUGGCCUCUCUUCAAAUUUUAAAAAUUACACUAAUCUUCAUUGAGAUUAAUUAUCUUGUAACAUUUAAGUCCAAUUAAUAAUUAAAAAAUGAUAUUAUGAGAGAGAAAAUAAUAUAAUUUUAUCAUUGCCCCCCAUCUUGCUAUAUUAUUUAAUUAAUUUAAUAGCAACCCACACAUUAAAGAAAAAUACUAAAAUUUGCUGCUUUUCAUUAAAGAUCAAAUUGCAUAUGCCAUAAAACAUAGUAUAUCAUUCUAUAUGUUUCACUUAAUGUAAGAUCCCAAUUGUUCUUUUCAAUUACAAACCCAUUGUCAAACAUGAUCAAUAACAAAUAAUCAAAAAAUUUGCAACCAAAAUAUUACAAAAAAAAACUUUAACAUCAUAAAUAUUCUUACCACCUCUAGUGCAUUCACCCUCAUAAAAUAAUUCAAGACCCUACUGUCAUAAAAUGACUGAUCAACUCCUGUAAACCUAAUUUGACAACAUUUAAAUGGAGAACUUUAGCUAAAAGAAUUAUGGUCAAGCUAAAGAAAAAACCAGUUAUUUUCCAACAUAUGCAACCAUUGAUCAGGGGAAAAAAAAAAGCAAAAAGACAUCUUCAAUCAUUUAAUAGCUUACAGGGCAAAUUAACCCUUGAGUGAAAACUGGUUGCUCUAGAAUUAAAAUUUUACCUUAGUUACCCAGGCAACUUUUUUGUUGCCUUUUCUUUUUCUUUUUUGGGUAUAUAGCUCCAGUUUUGCCCCCUCUGUCAAGCUUAUAUAAUUAUUAAGAUAAUAAAAGUGCCUUUAAUAGUAUUAAUAUAUCCAUUGACUUGAGCUGUCAUCGAUCGGUUUGGGCUACUUCGAUUCCAUGAGAACAAAUGGUAAUAAAAGUACUCAGAAAAUGGGGAGUCAUGAAACCCUUUUGUUCUAUUCAUUGCUAAGAUGCUUUUCUCUAUAAAGAGACUUCCUAACGAAAAUACUUUGUAGAUUUCUUUACUCCAAGUGGUGCAUGGAAAAUUAAUAUUUUCAAUUAUCAAAUAAAAUUCCCUUUUUUCGGCGUAGAUUUCAUCCAUCCAGCUGUUAACACAUUCUAUAAAUCCGAAUUGACUAAUCUUUUCGUUUCCAUUUUCCAACUUGCGAAUACGGCAUAUAGUGUCUGCUAAACACUAUAUAUUCUCUGCCAAAUAUGAAUACAUAUCACUUUUCUGAGCAAGUGCAGAGUCAUUAUCAUUUUUAUUCCCACCUAACAAAUUAGGGAUAAAAAAGUUAAUAAUCUUUACAUGCUAUCAGGUCACAAGUUAAUAAUCUUUUAAAGAACAUGUUAAAUUAAUUUAUUGGUAUGAAUAGUAGUCAAAGAAGUAUGUUAAAGUUAGUAAUCUUUAAAAUAAUAUGUUAAAAUCAUUCGUACAAAUUAGUCAGAGAAGUAGCAUAAACACCGCGAUGCAAUUAAUACUUUCAAUCUCAAGGUCUCUAUUAUGGAAAUUUGCAUCGGUCAAUAUACACUUGGCAUAAUAUAAUCUCCCAACUCAUUUCUUUACAAAUGCACCUUUAAUCACCACCAAAAGGUGUGGACAUGAUCUUUACCCUAGAAAACUAUUCACCGACAGGCAAAUUGACGUCAGAAAUACUGAGGAAUUCUAGUUUCCUUCGGGUUCAUGCCAUGUUGUAUCCUUCAACUGUAACUCGAUUUCUAAGCUGUAAUUUGUGACAUAAUAGUCCUUAAACUAUGAAACCCUUCUUACUUAAUUACAAUGGUUAAUACAAUGCCCGUGACUAGACAAGUAUGAAGCAACCAUAACAGAAAAAAAAUCCAAAAUUAGAGAAAAGAAAGAAGUUUCGCGACCACCACCAGUUUACAAGUCACCUCCACCACCUCCUCCAGUUUACAAGUCACCUCCACCACCUUACCAUUAUUCCUCACCACCACCUCCAGUGCAUUCACCCCCACCACCACCAGUUUACAAGUCUCCGCCACCACCUUACCAUUAUUCCUCACCACCACCUCCUGUGCAUGCACCUCCACCACCAAUUUACAAGUCACCUCCUCCAGUUUACAAGUCUCCACCACCACCUUACGAUUAUUCCUCACCACCACCUCCAGUGCAUUCACCCCCACCACCACCAAUUUAUAAGUCUCCCCCACCGCCUCCCCCAGUAUAUAAGUCACCACCACCACCUCCUCCAGUAUACAAAUCACCUCCACCACCUCCUCCAGUUGACAAAUCUCCACCACCACCAAUUUAUAAAUACAAGUCUCCUCCACUACCUCCUCCAGUGUACAAGUCAUCACCACCACCUGCUUACAAGUCUCCACCUCCUCCAGUUUACAGUUCCCCACCACCACCAAUCUACAAGUCUCCACCUCCACCCUACCAUUACUACUACAAUUCUCCUCCUCCUCCUCGUCACUACUAAGCAAUUGUAUCCAAGUUUUUGAGGUAAUAACGCUUAACCAAUAAAUUAACUUUCGCAUGAUAAACCUUAUCUCUAUCAAGACAAACUGCCAUGUGUAUCAUGCCAAAUACGUACACCUAGAUCCAUGAAAAUGAAUGGUAGAAAGUUUUCUUAAGAACCAAGAACAGCAUUAGUAUUCCCUCUGCUUCCAAAAACUUGUGUAUUAAAUAGAUUAAUGAAUUGUUUAACAUGCUCAUCUACUUGAAAAUGCACAAUACCCAUAACCCACUGAAAUUUUUGCAGGAAAAGGGAAAGAGAAUCUGUGUUUGAGAGCUUCAUGAAGAUGUUGAAGAAUAAGAAUAAAAGCCCAAUGCAAGGAUGUUUUCAAGUUUUUCUAUGUUUCCACUUUAAUUUGUAAAUUGAAUUUUGCGACUCAAUUAAUUCCCUGUUUGUGAGGUACGUAUUGUUUUACGUACCAUGCCGUACAUUUUUUUUUUCCAACAAACGGUAUCAUGUUAUAGAUAUUAACACUUGACCUUACAAGGAUUAGUUACAAAAAGGGGAUACUACCCUCAACUCUGUCCUAGCUAAAUCAGUCAGCCAUAUUGGGAAAUUAGUUUCCCAUUCAAUAUCAUGUACAAGCUUCACAGCAUAUUGUGCUAAUUGAUGGCUGAUGUGAUUUUCAGUUCUAGGUAUAAACACAAAAGAACAUUUUUCAAAAGCUAGACUAAGUUCCUGCACAUCUUCUAAGAUAGUUGCAGUCGUGUAGUCAUACUCCUUGCGUUUAGUAAUCUGCUCUACCACUGAUUUGCAGUCUGUAUGGACUAUAAUUUGUGUCCAACCUGCUUGGGUAGCCAUCAGCAGAGCAUUUCUCACAGCCCGAGCUUCCACUUCACUUGCCGAUCCCUUUCCCUGUGUGACAAUUCCUUUUGCUUUCAAAAGCUGUCCUUUCCAAUUUCUUGCUAUAAUCCCUUGUCCGGUCCUGACUCGUUUAGCUGAUAUCGCUGCAUCGGUAUACAGCCUUAUCUCUUCCUUCCUUGGCCGCACUCUCCUGGUAGGUAAGGCAUCAUUCAGCUUCCCUGCGAUCUCCUUCUGGUCUGUACUCCCUACCUGUUCAAACUCAAGCCAUUCCUCCUGUGCUUUCCUUACUAUUUUUACUGGAUCCUGGUUGGCUUGUUCAAAAAAUUUUUUGUUCCUGGCUUUCCAAAUUUGCCAAAGGAUAUUGAUAGUAAGACUAACUCUCUCCUGACCUUGGUUCAGUGCCAGCGAUUGUGUGACUUGUUCCCACCAUAACCAAAAGUUAUAUUGCAUACCCAGUAAUCCAUCCCACCUGACCGGUGCUAGCUUCCACGUUUCCACAGCCUUUUCACAGAAGAAAAACAAAUGCUCAAUAGUUUCCAUAUCUUCACCACAGCAACCACAUCUGCCUUCCCCUCUAUGUAGCCUUUUCGACAUCUGUUCAUUGACUGGCAGACAAUUUUGUAAGCACUUCCACAUGAAGUGUUUUAGUUUGGCCUUCACCUUCAAAUGCCAUAGCUGCUUCCACACAUUUCGUUUUCGUAUCUCCCAACUUGUUUCUGCCUCUUGGCCUGUCCUUGUACCUGCUUUUCCUUCCCGUUGCCUUGCUAAAGCAUAACCAGAUUUCACGCUAUAAAUUCCAGCUUUGGAAUGCCCCCAUACCAACCUAUCCUUUCUUCUUCCUAUACUUGUUGGAAUUCCCUUUAUGUGCUCUGCAUCUUUUGCACAAAACCACUUGAGAAGCAAAUCAUUUUUCCAUUUCCCUUCCUCUAUCAGCUCACUUACCCAUUCCAACUUGCAUCCCACAGGUUGUGUGGUUGAUGCAAAGCCGGUAUCUGAACCAACUAUCCAUCUGUCCCGCCACAUGUUGACUGACUUGCCAUCUCCAAUUCUUUUCCAAAGACCAUCAUACAGAAAGGAGGCUGCACUAUGAAUACUCUUCCAACACCAUGAGGCUGAAGAGACUGGCUUCUUGUCCAUCCAUUUUUCAUCACUCAUAUACUUCGCCUUCAUUACCUUACUUACUAACAAAUUUGGAGCCAUUAAGAAUCUCCAAAUUUGUUUUGCCAGUAAUGCUGUGUUGAAGGCCUCCAAAUCUCUAAAGCCUAAACCUCCUCUUCCCUUAACUUCUAAGAGCUUCUUCCAGCUUGCCCAAUGUACACAGGUACCCUUUUCUCCCUUCCCCCACCAGAAACUCGCUAUUUUACCUGUGAUUUGUCUACACAAACCCCUUGGAAGUCUAAAGCAAGCCAUCACAUAUGUUGGCAUAGCCAUAAUCACUGAUUUGACCAGAAUUUCUUUCCCUCCUUGGCUCAACAGUUUUUGUUUCCAACCUUGCAACUUGUUACUAAUUUUGUUCUGGACAAAUGCAAAGACCUGUGUCUUUGAUCUUCCAAUUGCCAUUGGGAGUCCUAGGUAGGUUCCAUUCCUUGCCUCUUUAAUGUUAUCUAAUACCUCCCUCACUCCAUUCUUCCUUUGAUCAGUGGUAUUUUUGCUAUAGAAGAUAGCUGACUUUUCAAAAUUCACCACCUGUCCGGAUGCUUGACCAUAUCUUUCCAAUAUGCUUUUGACCUUCCUCGCCUCCUGCUUGGUUGCUUGGCAGCAUAGUAGAGAAUCAUCUGCAAAAAAUAGGUGAGAAACCAUCGGACUGUCCUUGCAUAUUUUGAUCCCUGUAAUUUCCUUGUUCAUCAUAGCUUUAUGGAUCAAACAUGAAAGACCUUCAGCGCAUAUAAUAAACAAGUACGGGGAUAGGGGGUCUCCUUGUCUAAGCCCUCUACUCGGUUGAACACAGCCUACCUUUUGCCCAUUUAAGUUGAAGGAGUAAGUCACAGUAGAUAGGCAAGACAUGAUCCAUUUAACAAAAAUUGGACAAAACCCCAUUUUCAUCAUAACUCUCCCCACAUAUUUCCAUUCGACUCUAUCGUAAGCUUUGGACAUGUCCAGUUUAAGAGCCAUAAAUCCUACCCUUCCCUUUCUCCUAUUUUUCAAAAAAUGCAGGAUUUCAUGUGCAACUACUACAUUAUCAAGAAUUUGACGGCCUGGGAUAAAAGCGGAUUGAGAGGGACUAAUACAAUGAUGCAAGACACCUUUCAAUCUAUUAGCUAUGAUUUUAGAAAUGAUUUUAUACAGGACAUUGCACAAGCUAAUAGGUCUAAAAUGCACCACAGAUUCAGGAGUAUCAACUUUAGGAAUCAACGAAAUAAUAGUAUCAUUCACAGCUUUGAGCAAAUGCCCAGUAUGAAAGAAACUCUUAAUAGCUGCUACCACAUCAUCCUUGAUAAUAUCCCAAUAGUGUUGAAAAAAUAGAGGAGACAUACCAUCCGUUCCUGGUGCUUUAUUAGGGUGCAUCGAGAACAAAGCUUUCCUGAUCUCACUUUCCUCCACUUGUCGUAUCAGUUGUCCAUUCAUAUGACUCGAAAUAGUGCUUGGAAUUUCAGCUAGAAUGUCCUCAAAGCAGUCCGGGUUAGUAGUGGUAAAAAGGUCUUUAUAGUACUCACAAAGUUCCUCCUCAAUCUCAUGUUCCUCCUUGCACCAUGUCCCAUCUUUUUUCUGCAAUAUAGUGAUCUUAUUUCUCCUCCUCUUUGCCAUGACCGAAGAAUGGAAAAAAGCUGUAUUCUUGUCCCCUUCUUUGAGCCACUUGUUCCUGGAUUUUUGACUCCAAAACAUCUCUUCCUCUGCAUAAGCUUUAUUCAAUUGUGCUUUUAGUUCAGCCACUUGUACUCUUUUCCCUUCAUCCUUUCUUGCUUUCACUUCAGCCAAUUUCUCCUUUAACACUUUAAUUCUAACCUUUGAGUUUCCCUGCACCUUUUUCCUCCAAUCCAGAAUAGCCAUGCGACAUUCCUUUAUUUUUGUAGCCACUCUAAACAUCCUGGACCCUGACUUCACCUUUGUCCAUGCUCCUUGAAUCACCCUUUUUGCUUCUGGAUUUAGCGUCCAUCGUUGAUCAAAGUAAAAUCUCCGUUUUCUCCUUGUGUUUUCCGGGUUUGUAUCCACAAGAAGCAUUAGAUGAUCAGAGGCUUCAGUAUCUAAAUGAGUACACUGUGCCUUUUCAAAUCUUUGCAGCCAUUCGGUGCUGCAUAAACAUCUAUCCAACCUCUCUUUCACUUCCCCAUCCCCCUCCCAACUAUUGCACCAAAUCCACGGGACCCCUUGAUAACCUAAGUCAACCAGGUUAUUGUCUUUGAUAAACCUGUUGAACUCCCUAAAACAUCUUUCAGCUCUAUCCCUUCCUCCCCACUUCUCCUCACUAGACCUCAAAUCAUUAAAAUCUCCUACAAUGAUCCAGCCAUCCCCCCAGUCCCUCAUCCUGUCCUCUAAAUAUUUCCAUUGUGCUUUUCUAAUGUUACUAUCUGUGCUUGCAUAAACACACACUAGCCCCCAGUAUCCUUUAGUAUCCUUGUCCUCAACUCUAGCACUAAUACACCAAUCAGUACUUACAAUCUGGUCUAAAAUCACCUCAUUGUUCCAGAAUAAUGCUAGACCGCCUGCUUUACCUAUUGAAUUCACAAAAAAGCUAUUGUCAUACUGAAUCUUCCUUUGAACCUUGCCCAUAAACCCUUCCUGAUUCUUAGUUUCACAAAGGAACACCACCUUAGGAGAGUGGAAGUUAGUCACUUCCUUUAGUUGGGGACUUGUCAAGGGGCCUCCUACACCUCGACAAUUCCACACCACAACCUUCAUUUACACUUUGGAGGCUUUCCGGGGCUAGCCUCCAUUUCCCCUAUUGUACUAACAUUUAUUAGAUCCAGUUUCAUAACCUUUACCUUCGGUACAUUAUCAUCAUCCUCCUCUAUCGGUUGUGUUCCCUGAAACAUACCAUCAGCCUUCCUUUUAGCACACGAAACCUGCGUUACUUGUCCAUUUGUAUCUGCCUUUAAGGAUGUUUUAGCCGGCCUCCCUCUUCUUUUAAAACUGCUUCUUUUUUCAGCUUUGUUAUCUUCUUCCCCUGGAGUAGCCUCCUUUCUUGGCAUUCUUGCAUUUGUCUCCUCCUGCUUUAUUGACCCUACCCGCAAACUUUCACAUUCCUGUUUUGAGCUGUCCGUUUCCAUAUCCUCAUAAUCUACUGGUGGGAUUACGCUGCUCCCUCCUUUACUCCCUUCCUGUACCCUACCCUCCUUUUCACCAUUUCCCUCCAUUAAGACCACAGCCAAACUUUCCACCCGUUGGUUUGCCUUUCCAUACUGCCUGCUGUCUUUUAGAAUCUCAUCCCACCUCUCUUCAUAUUGUCUCGUCAUCAUUUUCUCCUUAUCCCCCCUUUCCUUUCCCCCCAAGACUCUACCAUUUUUUCCCCCAAGAGUUAAUGUAUCUCCAGCCAUUUGUACUCCAGUUUGAACUUCACUACUAGGAGACCCUGCCCCCACCCUCCUUGCAUCAAUUUCACUUACUCCUUCCAGCCGUCCCUUUAAGGGAGAUACCAUUAUAUUUCCAGCUCUCAUCCAGGCACCAUAUUGUUCCUCUCGCUUCUCCCCCCCACCCUUCCUACCACAGUACAAGUCCUAUCACUAUGCCCAAUGAUACCACACCUAUAACAGAAAUCAGGGCAGCGUUCAUACCUGAACUCAACCCACACUGCCUGGUUCUUACAGUUGAUCUUUGUCCCUCUAACCAGUGGUUUCGUUAUAUCUACCUCAGCCAUAAUCUUCAUGUGGCGACCCUCUUUCCCACCACUUCCUGGGAGAAUCACUCCCCUCACUGAUUUAAAGAUCCCUCCUAUUUUCAAACCCACUGCUCUGCUCAACCAGUGCACCGGUAGGUUCCAUAGUUGAAUCCAAAGAAAGGAAUGCUGGAAAAAGCUGCUGUUUGUAUCAUACCCCUCUACCCACUCCUUCACUAUCAGCAACUGGUUGUCCAUGACCCAAGGCCCUCCAGAUAAGAUCUUUUUCUUUUCCCCUUCAUCUCCCAGAUGGAAAUGGAAUAAGUUAGGACCUAACUCAGUCACUUUCAUCUUUGAGGGGUAUCCCCAUGCAUGAUUUGUAAAGUUCUUUAACCCCGUAAAGUUGGCAAUUUUUUCACCAAUCAGCUUUCCUACCAGGCUUCCUUGACACUCAGAGACGCCUUCUUCCAGGUCCUCACCACUCAGAUCGACACCUCCUAACUCUGUUUCAGACAAGUCAAAAUUUUGAAAGGCUCUUUCUAAAGCAUCCGCCAUUGCUGUGACGAGAGCUCCUUGAGAAACCAAGCACUAUUUCUGAGCUAUGAGUGACCCACUGACAGACCUGUGAAGAAUUGCAAAGACAGACAAAGCUGUGUUAUCCGUACACACUAAAAACCAACCAGAAAAACAGAGAGGAACUCGACAGAAAAAGCACAGGCACAAGAAGAAACGAAAGAAAAAAGAAAAACCAACAAACCACUAUCCCACUCCCGACCACAUAACAGCAUUAAAGAAAGGGACACAAAUACGACACUCCAACUUCCGAUCACAUGCUCUGACUCAAUGGAUCAUAUCUUGCCCAAAGCGUUUACUCCUCCAACCGAUUCCAAACCACUACAGACAUUGUCUCCCAUUUUGAAGCCGGAAGAAAGGUGGCUUCUGGACAGGGAACAUGAAAGCAAAGGUUGAACUAAAGAUUUGAUUUUAGAUCUGAAAAUUACGCUGUAGGAAAAAGUGCUAUGUGUUUGUACCUCACCCACUCUCCCACACCGAGGAGGGGAACCUCUAAAGUUAGAGAGAGAAGCUCUCAAGUUAGAGAGAAGCUUUGGAAGUUAAUUACCAACGUACCAUGCCGUACAUGUUUGUAAGGAUUUCUAUCCUAUUGGCAAAAGUCGGUUCCAUACAAUUAAUCAAUUCAUUUCACUUCUAUUGGCUCUACUAUUUAUGCAUGUUACGACACUCUUUCCCUUAUAUUUUGCCUUUAAUAUUAUGAGUCAAUAGUAAUAAUGGGCCUUUUUCUUAAAAUUAUACUAUUAUACAUAGGUAGUUUGGUCUAACGCUAAAUUCAUGUUUGUCUUUCUUUUAUUCCCUUUACAUCUCAAAGUAUACUAUAGUUUGUAAUCAUUGUGGUGAUGAUAUUACCAGCUGGUACUUAUAGUUUAAGGCAGAGACAUGAUAUUAACAACUAUCUCAUUGAAACAUAAGUCAAAAUCAUGACAAGUGUGAGUCUUGGUUAAUGCACAAUUUGUUAGUGGAAUUUAUAUUUAUAAAACUCAAAAAAAAUUUUUGACAAUGCUAUUACUAAUUAAUUAAGGACUUCAUUGCUAUAAUUUAUCGCUUACUAAUUUAAACUAUAAAUGAUCUCAAUACUUUUCUCCAUGAUGUCGAUUUCUUUAGACUACGAAAGGGAAAAAUUAGUGACAUAUCCCUUACUGAUUACAACAUCAGCAAAAAUUAGUUAUAAACUUUUCCGGUGGUUUUAAAUCCCUCGGGCACUAAGGUUUUUUGCACAUCGAGUGAAUUAAGGAACAUAGGCAAUUCGUUCUGCAUACCAAGUCCUUGUUUAAGAUGCACGUACUAAAAUGCAUCCACUUCAUUAAUUUGGAAAAUUGCCAUAGUUUUUUUUAAGCAUUUUGAUUUUUUACAUGAUUCAAAAUUUUCUUAUUGGAUACAAUCACUUUGUGUCAAGAACACAUUUUCAAUCAUCUUUUUUAUCUUCUCAAUAAGAAAAUAAAAAUUUAUUCAUGCUUUUCUAACAUAUCCAAUCAUUGAUCUGAAAAAUAAAGAAUUAAAAAAAAAAGACAUUUUCAAUCAUUGCUUACGGGGCAACUUCCCCAUGUGAACCUCAUCAAACAAAGCCAAUAAUAUGAAGGAACAUCUAAAUACACUUUUGCCCUAAAGGCUGGUUGCCUUGGGGUCAAAAUUUAACCUUCGGGAGUAUAAUUACCCGCCAAAUUUAUUAUUUUUUUUAUGGGUAUAUAGUUCCAAUUUUGCCUCCUGUUAAGCUUAUAAAUAUAUUACGACCCAGAAAAUAAAGGAAUCUUGAAUAGUAACAUGUCCAUUGACUUGAGUUGUUAUCAAUUUGGCUACUUCGAUUCCAUGAGGCCAAUCCAAUUCACACUAGCUAGAGAAAAUGGUGAUAAAGGCACUUAGAAAUUUAUAUGUAAUAUUGAUUGGUAGUAACUGAUAAGUAUAUAUUUUACGUGUUUUAAAUAUGUUUUAUUAGUUAGUUUUGGUGUGUUUUAACUACUUUUAUAACUAAUUAACUAGGAAUCUAGUGAAAAUAUGCAUUUUGUGGUUUGAAGUGUAAAAAUUGUAUUUCUAUGGAUUUUAAUGGUGAAAACUUCAUGUUUUUGUAGGUUUAAUGAUUCAAUCAUCAAAUGACAUGAUUUGAGAAGAUAAUUAGAUGAUUGAUGAUGUUUUGAAGUGAUAAAAAGAGAAUACAAAGUGCAAGAGAGGAAAUGCAAUCAAGAAUAAAAGAAGAAAAUUUUUGUAGCUUUGACAUAUUGUCGUAUUUCGGCAAUAUAUUGAGCUACAAUGAUCGGAUUAAGGUGAUUCUUAAACCAUUUGAAGCUAAAAUAUAGAUCUACAUUUGGCAUGAAGGCAUCGAAACCCAUGUCAGUCAUUUUCCUUGUCAAAAUGUUGAAAUACAGAAGUGCAACUCUGUUCUCGAAAGCUAAAACAGAGCUCUGGCUAGUCGAGGGUAUUUUCAUCAUUUCUUAGUCCACAGAGCUCCAAAUGAGAUGAUUCUUAAGGCAUUAGAACCCUAACUCAAAGAGCUACAACUUUCAUAUUUUGUACAAGAGUUAGUUCGGCCUCUAUCAUUAAGAAAAUAGUAGUUGAAGUGGUGCCAAAUGCAUAGAAGUGAAAACGCGAGCUAUCAAUACUCGACCUGAAGUCGCGUAUUCCUGAGGUCAUGCAUUCUCUUCUAUUUUCUGCAACUUGCCCUGCUUUCACAUAACUUUUUCAUCUCAAUUCCAACUAUCAAUUUCGGCUAUAUCUGAUCAAGAAAAGUGUGGAAAGUUUGAAAGACAACUCAUAGGAGUUUCAAGAGUCAAAAAUUACAAUUAGAAACAACUCAUUUGGCUCUUGAAUCCUCUAUAAAUAGAGGCCUUUGAAGAACAUUUUCACAACUUUGGAAGGUUAGAGAAACUCCACAAAAACAUAGUCUUCACUAGAAUUUCCUUAGUUCAUUAGUUAGGGUAGUAUAGUAUAGUUAGUGUAGCUUUUCCUUCUUGUAUUUAUAGUUAGGUUUGAAUGAAGAUUCAGGAGCAAAGAUAGAGAGGUUGAUCUCAUGUGACAAGGGUGAUAUCUCUUCUACUACUUUCUCUUUUGUAUUUGAUUUCAUAUUUAACUAUACUACAAAUUUGGCUUUGUUUUUUUUUUUUUAUCAUGUUUAGUUAAAGUUUAUGCCUAGAGUAUGGAUGACCUUUUUAUAUCUUGUUUGUGAUAUUUAACUGGUUAUUUGAUGAUGUUAUUUUUGAGCAAGUUAUUUAUCACUUUUGCUUUUCUAAUCAUGAUUAACUGGCCAUUAGUUGUGAUUAUCUAAAAGUGUUAAGUUUGUAAUGAGAAUUGGAGUUUAACACUAGUUCAAGGAAGUGAUAAAUUUAGGGAGUUCACUCAUGAGAGUAGAGGAACACCUUUGUGACCUAAGUGACUUGUUUCAUAUAAUUUCAUAGAAAAAAUGAACUUGUAAUUAAUUUCAUAACCACGAGAGUAAGUAUGGUUUAGCUAUAUGUAUAGUUGAUUCACUACGAGAGUAGGUUUCACAUACAUUAGAAAAUUACAUCAUAACUAGUCAAGAUAAUAUCAUUCAUUUAAUCAGUAAUCUCAUUUGCAUGAGUAGUAAGGCAUUCCAUAUCUCUAGGAGGUUUUUAGUAUUAUUUUCAUUACUUUUAUGUUUAUGGUAGUCUAGAUAAUAAUGGAGUUCGAAAACUACUAGUAAUUGAAAAUUUUCCCUGUGGGAUCGACCUUUAAUACCCUAUACUCGCUCUCGACUCGUAUACUUGAGAAAAAUCACGUGUGCGGUAUUUAGAAUUUAUAAAUGUAAAACUUGACUGUAGAUGAACUAAUUGAUAUAUGUAUACCCCGCACUCGUCAGUAACCAGCUUGUAUUGAUCCCACUAUUGUGGAUAAUUGUGCUCUUAUGAAAAAAAAUUAUAAAAAAAUUAGCAAAAUUUAUGAUAACAAAUUAAAUUUAUUCAUACAAAUCAGUGAAAGAAGUAGAAUUUUAAAGUCCAUGAUGAAAUUAAUACUUUCAAGGGCUCUAUUAGGAAGACUUCACUUGUUGGUGAAACUACACUAGCACAGUUAUAUGCACAUUUACUGUUUUGGUAUCUAAUUUCCUUGCCUUAAGUUGGGUGCAGAUGUUUAUAUUACAAAUAGAUGGUAUCAUAAAAUUGUUGUAUUCACGUUUGUUCUUUUUUUUCUUCCUUAAGUUUUUUUCUUUAUUCUCGUGACUUCAAAAAUACGAACUCAAGAAAUUGGCUGCUUAAUCAAUAUGUCAUACAGGCUUCGCUAGUGAGGUAUAACUUCACAACUAGAGUCAAUAGAAAUUAUCAAAUGAUUUUUUAACAUCCAAAUUAAGCAAUAAAUUUUGUUUUCAUUUUAUGACAUAUAAUAGUACUACUUCAUGAGAGAUUUUAUAGUUUCUUUUAGGUAUCAUACCUACAAGUGAUAUUUGUCAUUGGAUAGUGACAGAAGUGUUAAUGAUUGUAAGAUUAAAUAUUGUUAAAUAUUGAAAUUUAAACUAUUUAUCUUUAUUGAAAGAUACAAGUUAAAGAAUCGUUCAAGGGGGCAAUUUUCCAUCUUGUCUUUUUGAAAAAACGCUAUCACAUUGUAUAGGCAUGAUAGGUUCAAAUUUGUCAUUAAAUUUAUGAUUGAUUUUCCUUUUAUUCAAGCCAAAUAUUGUUUUAAUUAUCAAAUUCUACUUAUAUUUGGUUAAUUGUACUAAUUGUAGGGCGGUAGAGCAAAAGUUGCUAAAAAUAGGCGAUUUUCUGCAAAUUGGUUGUCAAGGCUGAAGGAUUUGGGAUUCGCAUGUUCAAGGCCUGUUUCCAAGUUUGAUUCAAACUCUGGACAGUUUUAGAGGAAGAUUUGGAAGAUUUGAAAUUUCAUUAUUAGUUUUAUGGUUGAAUUAGGAAUCUUGGAAUAAUUUCUUUUGUGAUUUAUUUUUCUAUUUAGGAGACUAGUUGUUAUUUAGUAGUAGACUUCAAUUAGAAAACAAAGAGAAAAAGAAGGCCGGAAUCCCGCUUGAUUAAUACCUUGGCCAGGGAACAAUCUCGGUGGGGAGGACGGCCACUUAGCCUCUCAAUUCAUCUUGCUUUUCGUUAGUUUGAGAGGAAAACCAAUUGCAACUAGAUUCAAUGGAGUCUGGCAGAAUUUCUUCUAGGAUGCGUAGCUAAAUCCUCAAUUUUUAGUCGAAGGUCAAUUUGAAAAUUCGGUUCCAAAUAUCUGUGAAAUCGAAUUAUUUUACUUAUUUCUUUUAUUUAUUGGUAUUCGCACGUUUUCUGAUUUAACUUUUUAUGAUUGUUUUGUUAUUUGAAUGUCAAGGGUCCGAUAUUCGAAUUAACUUAAUAAUCUACUGCCAAAUUAACCGGUUAAAUCCGUAAUUGUUUGAUUGAUUAAUAUCAGUGGCGACUAGCGUGAUUGGUCCCAUGUUAGGAAAACGUCUGAUCUAAUUUAAACAAACCGUCGUAGCGUGUUUGUUGAUUAGGGUUGGGCUUUUCUAAUUCUUAAUUCAAUUGAGAAAUUAAAUCCCCCGGUCGUACCUAGGAUUAUUUUUUUGUUAGCGAAAUAGUUAAUGGUCGUACCUUGACUAUCGAAAAAGUAAGGAAGAGUUGAUUGUUUAUCGCGUGUACGACAACUAUAAUCAAUCUAUUAAUGAGUAAUUGAAUUAUCUUUGCAUCAGUAAUCAGUUGAAUGGACCGUGUCUGAAAAGUUGUACCUUUGGCUAGAGUCUUAUCUGUUGUUGAUUCAUUCAUAUCUAUCUUCAUGCGUUGUUUUAAUUUAGUUAAUUAGUUAUUUUUAUAAAAACCCCUCAUCUCUGGACUCUAAAAGAAAUAAAUUAUUUCUAGUUCCUGUGGAUUCGAUCCUACUCACCAUACAAUCCAACCUGCAAUUGUAUGAACCCCAAUCUCGCUUCCUAGUCCACCAUUUUUCUCUAGGUAAUAAUCUCCCUUCUAAUUUCUUCACAAAAUGCACCUUUCAUCACCUCCAAUAGCGUCGACAUGAUCUUUACCCCAGAAGACUAUUCACCGACUCUCAAUUGACGUUAGAAAAUCUAAGAGUAAUUCUACUUUACCCUAAGAUUGAUAUCAACAAGACAAGGACAAUUUAGAAUUAUUACACGCCUCUUCUUAAUAGGAAAAAGAAAUAGAGAAGAAAGUCAGGCCAGGUCUAAUUUCUUUUCAAAGGCAAUACAACAUUACGAAAUCAAGCAUUCAUUCAUACAAAUAUUUCAUAGUCACCGGUUUGCUGAGUAGAAAAAUUUAGACAAAAACUUAAUAUUAUAUUGUUUAAGAGUUAACAAUUUAGAGCUUAAUCUCCUUGUACUUUGGAGUUAACAAUUUAGAGCUUAAUCUCCUUGUACUUUGGACUAAACUUGAACGUGAAAGGAAAUCCCAAAACCAUAUUGGGCAUGAAUUCACACUUAAUAUACCCAAUAAAAGAUGGCGACUGGUGAAAGGCAGUGGAGACUGGUGGAGAGAUUUGAGGAAUAGAAGCAGACGGAAAAGCAACAAAUUUUUGCCGAAAAACGGUCACUUUCAUGGUUAAUUUUGCUACUCUCCAAUUGUACUUGACCAAUUACAACAAUUUCAUGGAGUUUGAUACGUGAAAAGAAUUUUUUAUAAAUUUUAUUUUGAUCCAUAAUGUUAUCUUUACAUAUAUAAAACAUUUUACAAUUUUGAUUUUGGCGCAGUUAACUUUUGGUAAACAAAAAUGCUCAUGUUUAAAAAACCGGAAAUAAAACAAAACAAGAAACAAAAGAAAUAAGAGGGUAGCAUAGACAUUUUGGAUUUUUCCGUUAAUUUGGAUGAUUUCCACCCACGUUCUAAUUUAAUCCAAAACACAAAGGAAUUACGUAGAGGUUUUAAAUAAUGAGGGAGCUUCAUGAUCGAACCCCAAACCACAAGGCGAUUUACUAUAUUUUACUCUUAAAUUUUGGUUUCAUCUCAUAGCAUACAAGAGUUCUAUUUCACUAUCUGUAGACAAAGACUUUCUAUGGUUGAUGUACCAUAGGAAAAAAUCUGCCUAUACAACGUGAUAGCAUUUUUUCAAAAACACAAGAUGGAAAAUUGCCCCCUUAAACGGGGAAAUUCAUGAUCUUUCCUCGAACAAAGAAUACUCACGCCUAUUCAAGAUGGAAAAUUGCCCCCUUAAACGUCUAUUUGUCAAUUCUUGAAAAAAGAAUACUCACGCCUAAAACACGGCCUCUUCAUCUGCAGAAUUCUAAAAAGUUAGGUAAACUCUAUAAACAAGUUGAUAGGUACAAUCGUACCCAAGAUCAAGUACAGAUAGUUGUACAUUCACUGCUGCAAUAACUAAUCUGAUGACUUACAAACAUAUCAUGGUCAAUCGUUGAAUGGUAAUGAGUCUUUUGUUAUGCAUUAGUAUUAGUGUGUACACUCUAAUAGAUUGAUACUUAUACUCUUUAAAUUAUCAUAAUAAUACCCUUAAUUAACUUUAACUCUUAAAAAGAAUACGUGUUAAUACACGAGAGUGUGUAACCUGAAUUGUUACUUAUACAUUAGUGUGUAAUAGAUAGGGAUGGCAAUGGGGGCGGGUGCCCGCAGGCAACCGCCCCGCGGGGGGCUCUCGGGGCGGGGAGGGGGGAAUUUUUUCCCCCCGUUUAGAAACGGGGCAGGGGACGGGGGAGUAUACCCCCGCCCCAUCCCCCGCAAAAAAAAUUAUAUAUAUAUAAUUAUAUAUAAUAUGUAAUUUAAUUAGUUAUAAACUUAUGAUAAUGAUAUUAUUAGUUAGAUGUAUUAUAUAAUGUAUAUUAGUGUAUGUAAUAUAAUUAAUAUUAUCAAUUAUACGAAUAAUUAGACAUGUCUACUAAUAGAAUUUAUUAAUUAGUUAUACUAAAUUUACUAAUACAUUUAUACUAAAUUUCUAAUUACAUUUAAUAGAAUAACACUUUUUUCUAAAAAAAAAAGCACAAACACAAUAAUGAAUUAGUGAUUGUAUUUUUACCAAAAAUGAAAACUUAACUAUUUUAGUUGCAUUUAUUUCAUCAUGUUGGAUUGUAUUCAAAUAAUUUUUGUUUGAUUGUUUUUAUGAGUUUCAAUUGUAAAAUUAAAAUGAAUAAUAACUUGAUGAAUAAUAAUGUCAAUCGUUGAAUGGUGUGUACACUCUAAUAUUAUGCAUUAGUAUUAGUGUGUACACUCUAAUAGAUUGAUACUUAUACUCUUUAAAUUAUCAUAAUAAUACCCUUAAUUAACUUUAACUCUUAAAAAGAAUACGUGUUAAUAACUCUUAACCUGAAUUGUUACUUAUACAUUAGUGUGAAAUAGAACGGCAAGCAUUGAGCAACUUAUAGGAGAAAUAGUCCUAUAAGCUGUUGGAUGACUAAUAUAGCUCUAGCUGUAAUGUUUUAAUUAAAUUACAUCACUAACGUUGGGAUGACUAAUGGUUUAAAAAUAAUUGAGUAAUUGGAAAAAAAAAAAGAGACUAAUUUUCAUUGAAACCCACCGACAAACUAAACGUGUCCAUGGCUUUUGAAUAGUGCAUUCAACGUUUAAUUGUAUAGUCCAGUUCAUUGCAGAUUACAUGGAGUAAAGAUUGUGCUCUUUCCUUUUUCACCCCUUUUGGAAUCGAUACUGUGGAGAAUUGGGUUUUUCCCUUCUUUUUUUCUUUUCUUUCUUUCUGUGCUUUGCAAAACAUAGGUAAAAUUAUGAAAUCCGAAGCAUUCUUUAAUUGGGAUUAAGUAUUGUUCUUGAAAUUAAAAAGAAGAAAGAAAGAACAACAAAAUUCCCUGAUUGGUUGCAUCGUGCUUCCAUAGAAGCUCUCUUAGUGUGAUACACUGCUUUCAAUCAGUUUAACAUGGAAAAAAGAAAGAGAUGAAAAGCAAAUUUGGUGGGGAUAAUUUCAGAAACCUCCCCUGAAGAUUUUGACUAUUCUACUGGUCUCCCUUCAGAUUUUAAAAAUUACACUAAUCUUCCUUGAAGUUAUAACAUUUAAAUUCAAUCAAUAAUUUAAAAAAUGAUAUUAUGAAAGAGAAAAUAAUAUGAUUUUAUCAUUGCCCCCCAUCUUACUACAUUAUUUAAUUAAUUUAAUAGCAACCCACACAUUAAAGAAAAAUAUAAAAUUUGUUAUUUAUCAUUAAAGAUCAAAUCGCUUAUAACAUCAAAUAAUAGUAUAUUAUUUAUAUUUUUCACUUAACAUAAUAUCCAAAUUACUCUUUUCAAUUACAUACUCAUUGUUAGACAAUCAACAACAAAUAACCAAAAAAUUUGCAACCAAAAUAUUACAAAAAAAAAUAAACUUUAACAUCAUAAAUAUUCUUAUCAACAUAUUAAAGUUAGUUACUGAAAUUUUUAUGGUGUUAAACUUCACUCUUUGUAAUAUUUUGGUUACAGAUUUUUUUUGAUUAUUUUUUAUUAAUUAUGUUUGAUGAUGGGUUUGUAAUUGAAAAGAAUAAUUUAAAACUUACAUUAAGUGAAAUAUAUAGAGUGAUAUACUAUUUUUUAUAACAUAUGUGAUUCAAUCCUUCUUGAUAGGAUUGGUAAUAGAGGUAGAGGGGGGAGUCGGCUGCAUCCGGUCUUCUUUUCAUAGAUAGUACAAUAUUGCGAAAUCAAUCGCAUUCACACAAUAAUAUUUCGAAGUCAAUGCAUGGCUAAGUUGCAUAAAAGUACGAACACUUGUUAUUAUAUAGCUUAAGAUUCAAAACUUUAGAGCAUAACCCUCCACCUAACACAAUUGAAUAAUGAAUAUUCACGUUUGUCAAAUCUGUCAAAGCACAGUUUGAGGACAACCCAUUCCAACCUGCAAAAGAUUUUUUACUUUUCUAAAGUUGUUGAGAGCUGUAAAAAGACCUACCAUGCUUACAUCCUCCGAGCCUUGGGAGUUAAAAAUGAAGGCACUGAGUGCUAUAAAAAGGGGGCUAGAGGCUGCCUAGAAGCAUAUCAGCCUAAAACAAGAAUUUGUUGUUAUGAUGGGAAGCAAAGCAAAAGCAAUGGGGUCUGGGCUGACUCCUCUUCUUGCCACUGUUUUAGUGGUAUUUGUUGCUCUUGGCUUGCCCUCAGAAACAGCAGCUGAUGAUCACUACAAGUAUUCAUCUCCUCCUCCUCCUUACCACUAUCCCUCACCACCGCCUCCAGUGCAUUUACCUCCACCAGUGUACAAAUACAAGUCCCCACCACCACCUCAUCAUGUUUACAAGUACAAAUCUCCACCACCCCCACCACCACACCCAGUUUACAAGUAUAAGUCACCACCACCACCUCCUCAUCCGGUACCACACCCAGUUUACAAGUAUAAGUCACCACCACCACCUCCUCAUCCGGUAUACAAGUAUAAGUCUCCUCCGCCACCACCACACCCAGUUUACAAGUAUAAGUCACCACCACCACCUCCUCAUCCGGUACCACACCCAGUUUACAAGUAUAAGUCUCCUCCGCCACCAGUUUACAAAUAUAAGUCUCCUCCACCACCACCUCCAGUGUACAAGUACAAGUCUCCACCACCACCAGUUUACAAGUACAAAUCACCACCACCUCCUCCCCCAGUUUACAAAUACAAGUCUCCACCACCACCAGUUUACCACUACAAGUCACCACCACCUCCUCACCCAGUUUACAAGUACAAAUCUCCUCCACCACCAAUUUACCACUACAAGUCACCACCACCUCCUCCCCCAGUUUACAAAUACAAGUCUCCACCUCCUCCUCACCACUACUAAGCAAUUGCUUCUGAGGUAAUAACACUUGUUCAAUAACACUUGAUAGCCAGCUGAAUAUUUGCAGGCAAAGGAGAAGGAAACCAGUGUUUGAGACCUUCUUGAAGAUGUAGAAGCAUAAGAAUUAAAGCCCAAUGUGAAGAUGAUGAUUUCAAGUUUUUCUACGUUACCAUUUCAAUAUCUAAAUUGGUUGUAGCGCCUUAGUUCCUUUGUUUAUGGGAUUUGUAUCGUUUUACGUACCAUGCAGUACAUGUCAUGUUUGUAAGGUUUUCUAUCCUGCCGGCAAACCGCAGGUUCCAUGUAAUAAAUCAAUACUAUUUAUAUUACGACACUUUUCUCUGUUUCUCUUAUAUUUUGUCUUUAAUAUUCUUAAUCAUAUUUUUAACAAAAAUAUUCAAACACUUCAGCAAUGGUUCACCUAGUUGAUCAUCGAAGCAGAGGCAAUUCCAAUUAUUUAUCAAUAAAUAGGAUAUAACUACCAAACAAGCGAUGGCAGUUAACCCCUCCUUACUGUGUCGGUGAUCAAGGUACGCCCGUUAAUCACUGCUCUAAUUGAGAAAUAAUCCUAAGUACGCCCGUAGAAUUUAAUUCCCCAAUUGCCUUACAUAUUAGAGGAGCCCUAUUCUAACCAAAUAACGCACUAUCAGGGUUAUUUUAGAUUAGCCCGCGUAUUCCCCUGACAUAAAUCUAAUCAUGCCAGUUGUCAUUAUUUUGAGGUAAUUAAACAAUUACGGAUUUAACACCUCAAUUGACAAUAGAUUAUUAAAUUAAUUAAUUAUUCGGAUCCAAGACAAUCAAUUAAUUAAACAACCAUAAGCACUACAAUCAGAGAAUAUGCAAAUACCAAUAAAUAAAUAAAAAAUAAAAUUAAAUCGAUCUCACAAUUUUUAGGCGAAUCAGAGCAUCCGUUGUCCCUUGACUAGAGCAAGGAAAUUAGUUCAUAUUUGAUGAACUAAACCCAUACAAAAGGGAAGCGAGAAAUGCAGCCAUUAUCCUUUGAAAUCUGGAAAAUUCAACUUGUCCGAAUAUCGAAUAGAUAGUAAUACUACAAAAGGUAAUUCAUAGCUUCCCUUUCGUCUGACACACAAGAAGAAAAAAAAGGGCUGCUAAUAACUAAAGGAGGAAAAGUCAAAGUCCUAAGCUAUGCUACAAGACGAAAAACUAAAGAAGACAAAAAGGCAGUGCUCAUUCCCUGCAAUCUCAAUUCCUAUUCUAUCUAAGUGCUCUCCAAUGUGCGGCGGCUCCCCUUCCGGAGAGGACGAAGUGGCACCCUUUUUUCCUGCGCAAUUUUCCUAUAUAAAGUAGUGCUCCUUGCAGCGGCUCCUGUGCGAAAAAAUGAAGACUUCGGCCCAAUUUGCCUAACAAGGGCUCACGUUUUGUUGUUCUAAAAAUGUCCCUAGGACAAACUCUAUCAUCUGAACUCUUUUCUUGCCAAAUUAGUACCUGUUAUUAUAUUUUCGUUCUACUCCCUGAAAUAAAUGCAAAAUAUCAAAAGUGAGUAGAAUCUAGCAAUUAAUCCACAUUAGGUCAGGUAAUAGGGAAAAUUAAUAAUAAAAUAAAUGAUAAAAUUGCAAUCUAUCACGGGACCACUGUGGUAAGGUGUGUUUCGCCUAUUAUAAGGAGUUCGGAGAGUUAGACGUGUUGGAGGCGGAGGCGCGGUCACUCCUGCACGCCCUCCAGCUGUGUGCAGAUCGCGAGGUACGGGCGUUGACUGUAGAAUCUGAUUCAAAGGUGCUUGUUCAACUAGUUUGCUCGGAUAUGAGGUCGAAGUGGCCGGUGUGUAUCGUAUUGCGGGAAAUAAGACAUUUGAUCCGGCGGAUGGGUGCAUCCCUUCAUCAUAUAUUCCGUGAGGCCAAUUCGGUGGCGGACGCAUUGGCUUCUCUGCAAUUGGGAGGGCAGCAGUACUACACCUCAGGCGUGGCGCUGCCUUUCAGGCCCAGAGGAGAGGCUCUGCUGGAUCGUCAAGGAGUACCUCGCAUCCGUGAGGCGCUCACUAAGGUUUGAUAGGCUAUGUCCUCCUUUCAAAAAACUUAUUUCAUCUACUCCUUGUAAUCAUUUUUCUUAUCAAUAAAUUGAGGCUUUUUAUUUAAAAAAAAACAUAUAAUUUAAGGCAAAAAUAUGAUCCUAGCGAGUAUCGCACUGAGACAUUAGGAAACAUCAUUAAAAGAGUAUUUCUUGAGUUAGUGCAACUAUUUCUUAGGGGAAUUUAUAGUUACAAAAUUCAAAAAUUUGAGAUUCUAUUACUGAUUAAUUAAGGGCGUUAUCACUAUUUUUCUUAUUAUCACCAUUAUUUACCCCACAUACUAUAAGUUUUUUUAGGGCACAGGAAAAGAGGUGGGCCGAUGUUUAGUUAUGUACAAAAGUUCAAAAUUUGUAGAUAACUUAUCAUGUGCCCUUAGAGCGUAGAAUACAGAAAAAAUAUCUUAAACUAUAACUAAUCCUAAUAUUUUUCUCUAUGAUAAACUAGCUCUUAUCCAUUUCUUUAGAUGAUGAAAGGAAAUAGUUAGUCACCUGUCCUCUAGUGAUUACAACAGCAUCAAAACAAAUUAGCACUCUUUUCCCGUAGUUUAAAAAUCCCUCAGCCACUAAGAUUUUGCAUGUCGAACGAAUUAAGGAACAUAGAAGGUUCGUGCUGCACCACAGUGUCCUUGUUGACGAUGCAAAGACAGAAAUGCAUCCGCGUAUACUUCCUUAAGCAUUUUGAUUACUUUAUGAUUCGAACUUUUCUUGUCUGACAGCUGGACUUAAUUGAAAAACACAAGUAACAAUAUUUCAAAGUUGAUUCGUCAAAGUUUACCCAAUUGGUGAAACUUUCUUCAUAGAGCUGACUUUGUAUUAGGUGACAAUGAUAUGGAAUUGAUGUCCUUCCCUUUUUCCUUUUUUUGUGUUGAAGACGCACAACGUUUUCAAUGGCAAAUUUAUAUGGGCUUUUCACGACAAAAUGUGUUCUGAAAAGUUCAUUCCAGAGGUUAAAAUUUUGUGUGUUAAAAAUUUGCUUCUCAGGACUUUGAUGGGAAAGUCUUGGUGUUUCCAAAAAGUUUAAGCAGGAUGCUUCUGGCUUUCUCUCCAUGUAUUUGUGAGUUAGAUCUAAAAUUAUCAGGGCUCCAGAGAUCUCUUGAAAUCGCAGCAUAUAUUGAAGUCUUUCCAGAAGGAGUCUUUUUUUUUUUUUUUAUGAAUUAUGAUAGAUAAUUAAUCUGACGGUGCAUAUAUAUAUAUAUGUGAUUUGCAGUAGGGUGUUUGACGAAAUGGUUAGGCUUCCUAAGUAAUGAUAGGAAUGCCAUUUGCAAAGAAGGACAGGGGGCUGGUGCUGUCAUAUUUUAUGCGAUUUGAUCCGUUGUUGUAUAAGUUUAAACUUUUGACGUGCAAUUGUGCUAUAAUAUUAUACUAAAUAUAUGUGUGAAAUAUUUUGUCUAUAUACAUCACUUUUAUCAUGAAUACAACAGCUGAGUAUAAUAAUAUAGUAUAAUGUAAUUGUACACCAAAUAAUGUAGCAAAUAUAACAAUUGAUCCGAAUUACACGGAACCAUAACAACAAGAUCACCGCCUCCCAAAUUUUACAAAAUUAGGUUUUUUUUUUUUCUCUUAGAUUAUUGAAAAUUUUCAAAAAUAAUCUACAUAAUUUAAGCUUUUGUCCUACAAAAAUUUGAAGAGAUUUUACAUUACAAGCUUAAGCUUAGAUAUAUUAAACUUUGCCCCCAAGAUUAAUUUUCCGUUUUUAUCUAUGAACCGAUCCAUAUAGCUAGUUAGACUGUAGUCCUCACAUUUGUGGGAUUUAACACCCAAGAUUCUCCUUCUUGGAAUGUAAAAUGUAGAUCUUCUAUGUUAAUAAUUCAAGACCCUACUGUCAUAAACGAAAUGACUGAUCAACUCCUGUAAACCUAAUUUGACAACAUUUAAAUGGAGAACUUUAGCUAAAAGAAUUAUGGUCAAGCUAAAGAAAAAGCCAGUUAUUUUCCAACAUAUGCAAUCAUUGAUCAGGAAAAAAAAAAAAAAGCAAAAAGACAUCUUCAAUCAUUUAAUAGCUCACAGUGCAAAUUAACCCCUAAGCGAAAACUGGUUGCUCUAGAAUCAAAAUUUUACCUUAGUUACCCAGGCAACUUUUUUGUUGCUUUUUUUUUUUUCUUUUCCUUUUUGGGUAUAUAUAUAGCUCCAGUUUUGCCCCCUCUGUCAAGCUUAUAUAAUUAUUAAGAUAAUAAAAGUGCCUUGAAUAGUAUUAAUAUAUCCAUUGACUUGAGCUGUCAUCGAUCGGUUUGGGCUACUUCGAUUCCAUGAGAACAAAUGGUAAUAAAAGUACUCAGAAAAUAGGGAGCCAUGAAACCCUUUUGUUCUAUUCAUUGCUAAGAUGCUUUUCUCUAUAAAGAGACUUCCUAACGAAAGUACUUUGUAGAUUUCUUUACUCCAAGUGGUGCAUGGAAAAUUAAAAUAUUCAAUUAUCAAAUAAAAUUCCCUUUUUUCGGUGUAGAUUUCAUCCAUCCAGCUGUUAACACAUUUUAUGUAUCCGAAUUAUAUAUUCUCUACCAAAUAUUGUAACUUUUCUGAGCAUCUUUACAUUUUUAUUCCCACCUAACAAAUUAGUUGUUGAGCAUCUUUACAUGCUAUCGGAUCACAAGUUAAUAAUCUUUUAAAGAACAUGUUAAAUUAAUUUAUUGGUAUGAAUAGUCAAAGAAGUAUAUUAAAGUUAGUAAUCUUUAAACACCACGAUGCAAUUAAUACUUUCAAGCUCAAGGUCUUUUUUUUUUUUUUUUUUGGUACUGUACUUCCUUGCUUUAUAGUAUGCACGUUUAUUUCUGUGGAUUGCUUAAGCUUAUAUUGUUAAUAAUUGGGCAUUUAACCAUAAAUUAUAAUGAUUAUGAAGUCAUAUAUAUAUAUAUAUAUAUAAGAAAAUUACCACAAUUAUUCAAUUUUUUUUGCAAAUUCAAAUUUUAUUAAUAAGAAAUAGGCAGUAAGCUUUUACAAACGGAAAAAAAAAAUCCUACAACAACUCUAGGACCUUUGAAAGAAAGAAAAAAAAAAGAAAAGAAAAGCUUAAGGACUCUACCUCAUAGAAGCUAAACAAUCCUACAAAUAAACUGCAAAAUAAAUCACAAUAACGCAAAAUUUUUGUCUUUCUUCCGUAUGAAAUGAAACUACGAAGUCAAGAAUUGACUCCUUUAACCGCUAUUGCCAGCGGGCUCCGUCAGCAAGAUACAACUUUGCAAUUUGAUUCAAUAGAAAUCCUCAAAUAGCUAUUUUGACAGGCAAAUUAAGCAUUAAUUUUGGUAUCCCUUCAUAAAAUACAAGAGUACUUUUGAUUAUAUCUAUAGAUCAACUUUCUAGGCUAUUUUGAUGUAUUAUAAGAAAAUCUGCCUCAACAAUUUUGAUAGCAUUUUUCCAAAAGCAGAAGAUGGAAAAUUGCCCAUUUGUACUGGGGAGUUCGUGAUCUUUUCCUCCUUCUAGUCUACUUACAAUUCUUGGAAAAAGGAAUACUCACAUCUCAAACAACUGCCUGUUCAUCUGCAAUGUCCUGCCGAAUUCUAGAAAGUUAGGUGGCAAUGCUAAUUACAUUUCAAAAUUGACUGCUGCGAUGACUAAUUCGAUGGCUUACUACAUGGUCAACGUUUGGAUCCCUUCCUGUCCUUUUUGGAUGCACAUUUUUUUUCUCUAGGCAAUAUAUAAUCUCCCAACUCAUUUCUUUACAAAUGCACCUUUAAUCACCACCAAAAGGUGUGGACAUGAUCUUUACCCUAGAAAACUAAUCACCGACAGGCAAAUUGACGUCAGAAAUACUAAGAGGAAUUCUAGUUUCCUUCGGGUUAAUGCCAUUUUGUACCCUUCAACUGUAACUCGAUUUCUAAACUAUAAUUUGUGACAUUAUAGUCCUUAAACUAUGAAACCCCUCUUACUUAAGUACAAUGGUUAAUACAAUACCCGUGACUAGACAAGCAACCAUAACAAAAAAAAAUCCAAAAUUAGAGAAAAGAAAGAAGUUUCGCGACCAAAGUAUGUAUCAAGGCAUAGUAUAGAAAUAAAAGUGUCCAAAUUAAGAGUUUAGGGAUAAAAGAGAUCAAGAUAUAGUUUAGGGAUUGAUUUGUCUCAAUUAGAGUUUUGAUGUCAACUAAGAAGAGAGAUAUAGUUGAAGGGUAGAAUAUAGAUAUAACAGUUCAAUGAUUGAUAUCAACGAGACAAUGACAACUUUGGAUUAUUACCAACCUCUUCUUGAUGGGAAAAGGAAAUAGAGAAGAAAGUCGGGCCUGGUCUAAGCCUGCUUCGGAGGCAAAACAACAUUAUGAAAUCACCGGCAUUCACACAAAUAUGUCAAAGUCACCGGCAUGCUAAGUUGCAUAAUUUAUACAAACACUGAAUAAUAUAUUGUUCUUAAAAUUUUUGUUUAAGAUUUAACAAUUAGAGCACGGUACACGAAUUAGCAAUAUUAAAUAAUGAAUGUUCACGAUUGAUAAAGUUAUCAAAGUACAGUUUGAGGACAACCCAUUCCAACGUGUACAAGAUGUUUAGCCUUUGAAAAGUUAAUUAGAGAAGGUGACGAGAUUUUACUAGGCUUAAAUCUUCUAGGCCUCGGAAGUAAAAAAUGAAGGCCUUUGAGUGCUAUAAAAAGGGGGCUAGAUGUUGCCUAGAAGCAUAUCAGCCUCAGACCACAUUUUGUAGCAAUGGGGAGCAAAGCAAAAGCAAUGGGGUCUAGGCUGACUCCUCUUCUUACCACCGUUUUAGUGGUAUUUGUUGCUCUUGGCUUGCCUUCAGAAACUGUGGCUGAUUACUACAAGUAUUCAUCUCCUCCUCCUCCUUACCAUUAUUCCUCACCACCACCUCCUGUGCAUUCACCUCCACCACCGCCAAUUUAUAAGUCACCCCCACCACCUUACCACUACUCCUCACCGCCACCUCCAGUGUAUUCAUCUCCACCACCACCUUCGCCAGUUUACAAGUCUCCGCCACCACCUUACCAUUAUUCGUCACCACCGCCUCCGGUGCAUUCACCUCCACCACCACCUGUUUACAAGUCACCUCCACCACCUUCGCCAGUUUACAAGUCUCCGCCACCACCUUACUAUUAUUCGUCACCACCGCCUCCGGUGCAUUCACCUCCACCACCACCGAUUUACGAGUCACCUCCACCACCUCCUCCAGUUUACAAGUCUCCGCCACCACCUUACCAUUAUUCCUCACCACCACCUCCAACGCAUUCACUCCCACCACCAGUUUACAAAUCACCGCCACCACCUCCUCCUAUGUAUAAGUCCCCUCCACCACCUUAUCAUUAUUCCUCACCACCACCUCCAGUGCAUUCACCCCCACUGCCACCAAUUUACAAGUCUCCGCCACCUCCAAUCUACAAGUAUAAGUCACCACCACCUCCUCCCCCAAUUUACAAGUCACCACCACCACCUCCUCCAGUAUAUAAGUCCCUACCCCCACCAGUGUAUAAGUACAAGUCUCCACCACCACCUCCUCCAGUAUACAAAUCACCUCCACCACCUCCUCCAGUUUACAAAUCUCUACCACCACCAAUUUAUAAAUACAAGUCUCCUCCACCACCUCCUCCGGUUUACAAUUCCCCACCACCACCAAUCUACAAGUCUCCACCUCCACCCUCCCAUUACUACUACAAUUCUCCUCCUCCUCCUCCUCAUCACUACUAAGCAAUUGUAUCCAAGUUUUUGAGGUAAUAAUGCUAAACCAAUAUAUUAACUUUCGCAUGAUAAACUUUAUCUCUAUCAAGACAAACUGCCAUGUGCAUCAAGCCAAAUACGUACACUUCGAUCCAUGAAAAUGACAAGUAGAAGGUUUUCUUAAGAACCAAGGAACAGCAUUAGUAUUCCCUCUGUUUCCAAAACUUGUGUAUUAAAUAGAUUAAUGAAUUGUUUAACAUGCUUAUCUACUUGAAAAUGCACAAUACCCAUAACCCACUGAAAUUUUUGCAGGUAAAGGGGAAGAGAAUCUGUGUUUGAGAGCUUCAUGAAGAUGUUGAAGAAUAAGAAUAAAAGCCCAAUGCGAGGAUGUUUUCAAGUUUUUCUAUGUUUCCACUUUAAUUUGUAAAUUGAAUUUUUCGACUUAAUUAAUUCCCUGUUUGUGGGGUACGUAUUGUUUUACGUACCAUGCCGUACAUGUUUGUAAGGAUUUCUAUCCUAUUGGCAAAAGUCGGUUCCAUACAAUUAAUCAAUUCAUUUCACUUCUAUUGGCUCUACUAUUUAUGCACGUUACGACAUUUUUUCUCUCUUUCCCUUAUAUUUUGUCUUUAAUAUUAUUGAGUCAAUAGUAAUACUGGGCCAUUUUUUUUAAAACUUAUACUAGUAUACAUAGGUAGUUUGGUCUAACGCCAAAUUCAUGUUUGUCUUUCUUUUAUUCCCUUUACAUUUCAAAGUAUACUAUAGUUUGUGAUCAUUGUGGUGAUGAUAUUACCAGCUGGUACUUAUAGUUUAAGGCAGAGACAUGAUAUUAACAACUAUCUCAUUGAAACAUAAGGAAAAAUCAUGACAAGUGUGAGUCUUGGUUAAUGCACAAUUUGUUAGUGGAAUUUAUAUUUAUAAAACUCAAAAAAAAAAUUUUGACAAUGCUAUUACUAAUUAAUUAAGGACUUUAUUGCUAUAAUUUAUCGCUUGCUAGUUUAAACUAUAAAUGAUCUCAAUACUUUUCUCCAUGAUGUCGAUUUCUUUAGAUACGAAAGGGAAAAAUUAGUGACAUAUCCCUUACUGAUUACAACAUCAGCAAAAAUUAGUUAUAAACUUUUCCGGUGGUUUUAAAUCCCCGGGCCCUAAGAUUUUUUGCUCAUCGAGUGAAUUAAGGAACAUAGGCAAUUCAUUUUGCAUACCAAGUCCUUGUUUAAGAUGCAAGUACUAAAAUGCAUCCACUUCAUUAAUUUGGGAAAUUGCCAUAGUUUUUUUAAGCAUUUUGAUUUUUUACAUGAUUUAAAAUUUUCUUAUUGGAUACAAUCACUUUGUAUCAAGAACACAUUUUCAAUCACCUUUUUUUAUCUUCUCAAUGAGAAAAUAAAAAUUUAUUCAUGCUUUUCUAACAUAUUCAAUCAUUGAUCUGAAAAUUAAAACAUUAAGAAAAGGACAUUUUCAAACAUUAAGAAGUAGUAUUUUAAAGACCAUGAUGAAAUUAAUACUUUCAAGGUCUCUAUUAGGAAGACUUCCUUUAUUAAUACUCUACUAGGCAGAGUUAUAUGCACGUUUACUGUUUUGGCCUUAAGUUGGGUGCAGAUGCUUAUAUUACAAAUAGAUGGUAUCAAAAAAUUGUUGUAUUCACGUCUGUUCUUUUUUUCUUCCUUAAGUUUUUUUCUUUAUUCUCGUGACUUCGCUAGUGAGGUAUAACUUCACAACUAGAGUCAAUAGAAAUCGUCAAAUGAUUUUUUGACAUCCAAAUUAAGCAAUAAAUUUUGUUUUCAUUUCAUAACAUAUAAUAGUACUACUUCAUGGGAGAUUUUAUAGUUUCUUUAGGGUAUCAUACCUACAAUUGAUAUUUAUCAUUGGAUAGUGAAAGAAGUGUUAAUGUCUCUAAGAUUAAAUAUUGUUAAAUAUUGAAAAUUUGAACUAUUUAUCUCUAUUGAGAGAUACAACUUAAAGAAUCCUACCCAAAAGAGACUAGAAUUUUCUCUGUUUUUCAUCAUCUGUAGACAUAAACUUUCCACGGUUGAUAGCAUUUUUCAUCAUCUAUAAGGAAAUUUUGCCUAUACAAUGUGAUAGCAUUUUUCAAAAAGACAAGAUGGAAAAUUGCCCCCCUUGAACGGAAAAUUGCCCCCUUGUCAAUUCUUUAAAAAAGAAUACCGUCCCGCAGAAUUCUAGAAAGUUAGGCAAAACUAGACAAGUUGACAGGUAUAAUCAGACCCAAGAUCAGGAACAAGCAGUUGCACAUUUCAAAAUUCGCUGCUGCAACAACUAAUUUGAUGACUUACAACACUAAAUGGUCAAACUUUGAAUGGCAAUGAAUCUUUUGUUGUACAUCAUGAUGUAAUUUUCAUGUUACAUAAUAGAUUGAUAUCUAUGUUCUUUAAAUUAUCAUAAUAAUUAAAUUUAACUGAAAAAAAGAACACAUAUCAAUACACAAAAGUGUGCAACGUGAAUGUUAUUUUAGUGUAUUGCAGAAGACCUAUAGUCUCUUCAUAUCUCUUCCUGCACGUAUCAAUUCGUUUCCUCUAGAUAAUAAUCUCCCAACUCAUUUAUUUACAAAUGCACCUUUUAUGUUUUAUUACCUCCAAAAGCCUAAAAAUCAAUUCACCGACUCGCAUUUGGUAUCAGAAAUUCUUAUUACGAAUUCUACUUUACUCAAAGAUUGACUGUUAAUAAUGAGACAACGACCAUUUUGUAUUAUUACACCGUCCUUCUUGAUAGGCAAAAGAAAUAGAGAGGAAAGCGGGUCCGUAUAUGGUCUUUUAUUCAUAGAUAAUACAACAUUACGCCAUCGAGCAUUCACACAAUAUUUCAAAGUCAUUGCAUGCCUAAGGCCUGCUUGAUAAUCUAAUUCCGUACUUAAAUUUAAUAAAUUCAAAUCUUAACACAUUCAAAUCGUUUGAUAACAAAAAAUUGAACAUCUAAAUUAAUUAAGUAACACUGAAUUUUCUAGGCAAAACUUGCUCCCAAAAUUAAGUGAUAAGUUAUUCACUUAUCACUGAAUAUGAUAUGUAUUCAAAUGUAUUAGAUUUAAUACUUAAUAAUUUAAUGAAUUCAAAUUUCAUAUUUCAUAUUUCAGUUUUAUCAAACACACCUUAAGUUGCAAAAUAAUACCAAAACUUGUUAUUACAUAGCUUGAGAUUCAAAAAUUUAGAGCAUAAUUCUCAACCAAACACAAUUGAAUAAUGAAUAUUCACGAGUGUCAAAUCUAUCAAAGUACAAUUUGAGGACAACCCAUUCAAACGCGUACACGAUUUUUAACUUUUCUAAAGUUGUUGAGAGCUGUUGAAAGAGAUUUACCAUGUUUACAUCUUCCAAGUCUUGGGAGUAAAAAAUGAAGCCACUGAGUGCUAUAAAAAGGGGGGUAGAGGCCACUUGAGAUCCUCGGUGACAUGUUUUCUAUGCCAAUCCAAUGCCACCAAUAGUGUUGCGCCAAGUGUCAUGUUAUUAUUUACACUUGUGUUAAACUAAGCCAAGUUGAAUUAUUAGAAAAUUAAAGUGUAAAUAAUAACAUGACACUUGGCGCAAUACUAUUGGUGACAUUGGGUUGGCAUAGAAAAUAUGUCACCGAGGAUCCCAAGUGGAUAGAUGCUGCCUAGAAGCAUAUCAGCCUAAAACAAGAAUUUGUAGUAACAAUGGGGAGCAAAGCAAAAGCAACGGGGUCUAGGCUGACUCCUCUUCUUACCACUGUUUUAGUGGUAUUUGUUGCCCUUGGCUUGCCCUUGGAAACUGCAGCUGAUUAUUACAAGUAUUCAUCUCCUCCUCCUCCUCCUUACCAGUAUUCCUCACCACCACCUCCAGUGUAUUCACCUCCACCAACCCCUGUUUAUAAGUUACCCCCACCAUCUCCUCUAGUUUACAAGUCCUCACCACCACCUUACCACUACUCACCACCUCCUGUGUAUUCACCUCCACCAUCACCAAUUUACAAGUCACUGCCACCACCCCCUCCAGUAUACAACUCCCCGCCUCCACCAGUGUACAAAUACAAGUCCCCACCACCACCUUCUCCAAUUUACAAAUCUCCACCGCCACCAGUUUACAAGUACAAGUCACCCCCACCACCUCCUCCGGUAUACAAGUCUCCUCCGCCACCUGUUUACGAGUACAAGUCUCCUCCACCACCUCCUCCAGUGUACAAGUCCCCACCACCUCCAGUUUACAAGUACAAGUCACCACCACCUCCUCCCCCGGUUUACCAAUCUCCUCCACCACCAGUUUACAAAUACAAGUCACCACCACCUCCUCCCCCAGUUUACCAGUCUCCACCUCCACCCUAUCAUCACUACUACGGUUCUCCUCCUCCUCACCACUACUAAGCAAGUGCAUCUAAGUUUUGAGGUAAUAAUACCGAUCCAAAACUUUAUCAACGCAAACUGCCAUGUAUAUCAUGCUAAGGACGUACACUUGAUCCAUGAAAAUGGCUAGUAGAAGAUUUUUUUUAAGAACCAGAGAAAUACAUUAUUUUUUCGCUCUGUUUUCAAGAAUUUGAGCAGUAUACAGAUUAAAGAGUGUUUUUUUUAAACUUGCUUAUCAACUUAGAAAUGCACAUAGCUGAAAGCCAACUGAAUAUUUGCAGGCAAAGGAGAAGGCAAUCGGUGUUUGAGACCUUCAUGAAGAUGUAGAAGAAUAAGAAUAAAAGCCCAAUGCGAGGAUGAUUUCAAGUUUCUACGUUACCAUUUCUACAUCUAAAUUGACUUUAGCUCCUGAGUUCCAUGUCUAUGGGGUUUGUACUGUUUUACGUACCAUGCAGUACAUGCUUGUAAGGUUUUCUGUCCUGUUGGCAAGCCGCAGGUCCAUAUAAUAAAUGAAUACUAUUUAUAUUACGACACUUUUCUCUCUUUCUCUUAUAUUUUGUCUUUAAUAUUGUUGAUCAUUUUUUUUUUUUAUCAAAAGUAUCAAAUGCUUAGGCAAUUUGGUCUAAUGCUAAUUGUUUUACAUUUAUUUUUCACCUACAUCCCUUUUCAACUCAAAGGAUGCUACAGUUUGUGAUCAUUGUUUAAGACCGAAGCAUGGUACUAAUAAAUAUCUCAUUGAAAGUCAAGGAAACUAACAUUAUGAAAAGUGUAAAUCUUGAUUUGUGAAACUAUUUAUUCGUGGAAUUUAGAGAUACAAAACUCAAAUUGUGACGGUGUUGUUGCUAAAUUAUUUUUUUUUUAUAAUAAAACACAGUUCAUUCAAGGAUUACUGGAAAUCGUCCAGCACAAUUGAGAUACAUUGUUGCCCAGGUGGCAGAUAAAUAUGCACUAAAAUUAUAGAUAUGCAAUUUAACAAAUACAUAAGAUUUGAGAAAUUAAGGACAAAUCUAAAAAGGACCAUAAAUUUGAAAAACAUUUCAUCCUAGAAUAAGUCGCUGCAACUCUCUUUGUGCAUGCUGUAAUCGUCAGAUCUACUAAUCAACAGUUGUAAGGUCCAGUAAAGAUGGUGAGAUCUGCCGAGAUUGAUCCAAAUCUGAAAUAUUCCCUCAGAUCUGCUAUCCAAUUGGUUCAAACUCAAUACUGAAAGUGAAAUCUGAUGAGAAGACUGAAAAAAUUGUAGAUCUAACAUAUAGAUCUAAAAAAACUCCAAGAUUUGAAAAAGUAAAGAAACAAAACUAAAUAAAACUCUCAUUAAGAUAGUUUAGGAGAGACUAAAACUCUCAAUAGGACACCCUAGGAGAGAAGAAAACUCUCACUAGGAUAACCUAUGAGAGACUUUAUUGAAUGAAAGGAAAAGCAAAGGACAAAGGAAGAAGAAGGGAGACCUUGGCUUAAGGCCAAGGUCUCCCUCCUAUGGAGGAGGAAGGGUAGAGGAGGAAGCCUAGAGAGAAGGAAGAGAAUCCCUCCGCUAGAGGGAAGGAAGAGCCUCUGAGAGGGUACCCGUGUUGUUGCUAAAUUAUUAAGGACAUUAUCACCAUUACUUUUCCCUUACUAGUUUCAACUGCAAUGAUCUCAAUCUUUUUGUGACUAAUUCUUUUCUUAAUAAUUUAUAAAUACAAAACUCACAAAGAAUAUGUGACUUAUUCUUUCCUUUCGUCUUCUAAAGAAAAUGCCAACUGUUAGUUUAUCAAGGGAAAAAGGAUCGACAUCAGUUGUUAUUGAAACUAGUAAGGAAUAAAUAAUGGUGAUAAUGUCCUUAAUAAUUUAACAACAGCACCAUCAGAAUUUGAGCUUUGUAUCUAUAAAUUCCACGAAUAAAUAGUUUCAUCAAAUCAAGAUUUACACUUUUCAUAAUGUUAAGUUUCCUUGACUUUCAAUGAGAUAUUUAUUAGUAUCAUGCUUCGGUCGUAAACAACGAUCACAAACGAUAGCAUCCUUUGAGUUGAAAAGGGUAGUGAAAAAGAGAAGUAAAAAAUACAAUUAGCAUUCCCUCAAAUUGUAGAAAGUUAGGUAGCAUUAUAGACAAGUUGAUAGCCGUAAUUAUACUAAAAAUCAGGCAAAAGCCAGCAAUUUUACAUUUCAAAAUUCACCUAUUCAAUAACUAAUUCGAUGGCUUGCUACAUGGUCAAAAUUCACCACAUAUCCCUUUCCUCAAUCAGGGGCUUCUACAAUUACCAGUUCCAAUUGUAUGGUAUAGUGUAAAUAUCAACAAAUUAGAUGUAGACACUAAUAUAAUAAAUAUGGAUGCUAAGGCAACAACAUACAAAAACAUAAUAAAUUUUGGCAUUCCUUAAAAAAUUACGUCCCCAAAUCAAUCUCAUACACCCAAUUUCUAAUUUAUUUAACUCAUUCCGUCUAUUAACUGCACCAUACAAUCCAACCUGCAAUUGCAUGAACCCCAAUCUCGCUUCCUAGUCCACCAUUUUUCUCUAGGUAAUAAUCUCCCUUCUAAUUUCUUCACAAAAUGCACCUUUCAUCACCUCCAAUAGCGUCGACAUGAUCUUUACCCUAGAAGACUAUUCACCGACUCCCAAUUGACGUCAGAAAAUCUAAGAGUAAUUCUACUUUACCCUAAGAUUGAUAUCAACUAGACAAUGACAAUUUAGAAUUAUUACACGCCUCUUCUUAAUAGGAAAAAGAAAUAGAGAAGAAAGUCAGGCCAGGUCUAAUUUCUUUUCGAAGGCAAUACAACAUUACGAAAUCAAGCAUUCAUUCAUACAAAUAUUUCAUAGUCACCGGUUUGCUGAGUAGAAAAGUUUAUACAAAAACUUAAUAUUAUAUUGUUUAAGAGUUAACAAUUUAGAGCUUAAUCUCCUUGUACUUUGGACUAAACUCGAACGUGAAAGGAAAUCCCAAAACCAUAUUGGGCAUGAAUUCACACUUAAAUAGACCCAAAAAAAGAUGGCGACUGGUGAAAGGCAGUGGAGACUGGUGGUGAGAUUUGAGGAAUAGAAGCAGACGGAAAAGCCACAAAUUUUUGCCGAAAGAGGGUCACUUUCAUGGUUAAUUUUGCUACUCUCUACUUGUACUUGACCAAUGACAGGUUGUCAGUCUGUGCAAUAAUAAAAACCUGUUCAAACUAAAAGUAAUUUCUGUAGAUAGUGGUAAGCAGGGUCGAAUCCACAGGGAUUAGGUGUAACUGUUUCUUUUCAAAUUCACAAUAACAAAGGGGGUGUUUUUAUGCAGAAUGUGACAAUCAAAGAAAUUCAAUUAAAAGUAAAAUAAUAAAAAUAAAAUAGCCAACUAGAAAUUAAAUAACAAUUUACUAAAAUCAAAUGAGUGAUAAUUAAGGAUCUAGCCAAGGAAUAACUUCAGCAGUGGUUCACCUAAUUGAUCAUUGGAACAAAGGCAAUUCCAAUUAUUUACUAAUAAAUAGGUUAUAACUGCCAAACAAGCGAUGACAGUCAAUCACUCCUUACUGUGUCGGUGAUUAAGGUACGCCCGUUAAUCACUGCCCUAAUUGAGAAAUAAUCUUAGGUACGCCCGUAAGAUUUAAUUUUCCAAUUGCCUUACAUAUUAGAGGAGUGUCAGGAACAAGGAAAUAGAAUGGGACGUCGUUUAAUGCAAAGGGUUGUGCGUUUAAGGCCUUAGAAGCAAUACUACGUCGUUCUAAUAACAUAGGCGGUGCUGGUGUGAUAGGCCAAGUUAGUUGAGGGUCAAUUACAUAAAUAGCCUUCUGUAACAGAUUUUUGGUUAUGUUUUUGAAUGAAAAGUAUCUCGCUGCUUUCUCUCUCUUGUCUGUUAUUUCCCUCCCUUUUCUUCUUUCUCUCUUCCCUCUUCUUAAUCUUGUUUCUUUCUUCUGAUUCUUCCCCCAAAUUCAAUACAAUUCCAGAAAUUAACCUGCAAGUCUGACAUUUGGUAUCAGAGCGGUCGAUUCUUGGCCGCGAAGGUAUCAGAAAUGGCUGAGAGCACGCGAUUCAGGACACUGGAGGAGCAACUCAAGAAGCAGGAGAAUCGGUUGCAAGAACUGGCGGAAUCCAUGGCUGCACUGCAGAGUACGAGUUCCGAGGAGUUGCGGCAUAAGCUACAGGCGGAAAUGGAGCAGAACAAUGCAAAAUUGGACGCGGUGGUGGGAAGUCUGGACCAGAAGUUCAAUAAAAUGGAACAGAGACUCAGUACAGUGUUGAAGCUGCUGAUGAAGGAGAAAGGUCUCCCUGAUGUCGAAGGAGGAAUUUCUGAUCCAAUCUUGCCGACUCCUCCAUCUCAUCUGAGGUUAGCAUCCUCAGUCGAAGGGAUUGGGCACCAACAAGAGUACAGAGGUAGGCAAUUCACUCCUAAUGUACCUCGAUUAGAACUGCCAAUGUUUAACUCUGGAAACCCUAGGGAAUGGACCAGGAAAUGCCAGAAAUAUUUUUUGAACUAUCAGAUAGCAGAGAGUCAAAAGGUAGAGGUAGCAGAGAUGUUUUUGGAAGGUAGAGCUGACAAUUGGUUUCAAGGAGUGAAAUUGGUGAGGCCAGGGUUGUCUUGGGGGGAAUUUAGUGAACUUUUGUGUGAAAGAUUUUCUGGAAGUAGUUCUCGUGACAUUGUGGAGGAAUUUAACAAGUUACAGCAGAAAGGAACUGUUGAGGAAUAUGAGGAGAAAUUUGAAGAACUAAAAGCUCUAAUGCUGAUGAAAACCCCCAGGUUGGAUGAACUUUACUUUGUUUCCAGUUUUAUUAGUGGCCUCAGGGAAGAAAUUAGACCUAUGGUGAAGAUGUUUAAGCCUCAAACACUGAUGAAGGCCUUUGAAGUUGCGGAGUUGCAGGAGUGUUCCCUGGAAAUCCAAUCGAAACAAAACAGAACUUCAAGGAGGACAGCAAUGGAACCCAAGUUUGGAAUGUAUAAGGGCACUACGAGUGAUUAGGGUCGCCAAAAUUCAUAUAAGUUGCCUGGAGUCACUCCUGUCUCCAGGAGGACUAAUGCAGUACACAAGGAAUUUAGUAAGAUAUCAGCGGAGGAAAUGCAGUAUAAGCGUAAGCACAGCCUGUGCUAUAGGUGUGGAGAGAAGUUUGGAAUAGGUCAUCAGUGUAAGAAAGGAAGUCUGAACUGUGUGAGCACUGAGGAAGAGGAGGACACUGAAUUUGAGGAUGCGGAAGGGGAACAGGAUGAGUUAACAGGAAGGGUCGGGGAACUUGCAGAAGUCUCUUUGAAUGCUUUAUCUGGUGCCAUAAGGAGGAAAUCCAUCCUGUUGAUAGGGAACUUAGGGGGGCUUCCAGUCAAAAUUUUGGUGGACACAGGCAGUUCUAACAGCUUCAUUCACCACAGGAUUGUCAACCUACUGCAUCUACCAUAUCAGGCAGUCAGUCCAUUUACUGUGACUCUAGCAGAUGGAACUGACAUUACCAGUGGAGCCAUCAGUCCCAGCGUGUCUUGGUUAAUUCAGGACUAUCAAUUCCAAUUUGACUUAAAAGUAAUGGAAUUAGGGGGAUGGGAUAUAAUUCUGGGGGUGGACUGGAUGUGCCAGUAUAGUCCCAUUACAUUUGAUUUCCACUCUCUUAGCAUUGCCCUUAGUGAUAGGGGUUCUUUACUACACCUCCAAGGACUUGUGAAGCAACCUACUAUGGAACUGGUGAGGGGCAGGGAUCUCAGCUCGUUUAUACAGGAGAAGCAAAGAAACUGUGCAGCCAUGCAUGCUGAUAGGGCCAGGGAAACAGGAGAGCAGCUUCCAAAAGCUAUAGAAAGGAUCCUGGAACAGCACUCUCAGGUUUUCUCCACCCCAACAGGAUUACCCCCAGAGAGGGAAUUGGACCAUCAGAUCAACCUCAAACCAGGAGCUGAACCCUUCAAGCUCAAACCUUACAGGUACCCCCACUCACAUAAAGCAGAAAUUGAAAAAAAAGUUGCUGAGAUGCUCACUAAUGGAAUUGUUAUACAUAGCACAAGCCCCUAUGCCUCCCCUGUAUUGUUAGUAAAGAAAAAGGAUAACUCCUGGAGAUUAUGCAUAGAUUACAGGAAGCUGAACGAGCUGACUAUAAAGGAUAAGUUCCCUAUUCCCAACAUAGAUGAACUAUUGGAUGAAUUACAUGGAACCAGAUACAUGUCCAAACUGGAUCUCAGAGCUGGUUACCAUCAGUUGAGGGUGAAAGCUGUUGAUACCCCUAAGACUGCCUUCCAGACACACCAUGGCCACUUUGAAUUCUUAGUGAUGCCUUUUGGACUCACAAACGCGCCAGCUACAUUUCAGUCCUUGAUGAACAGAAUAUUUCAGCCAUAUCUCAGAAAGUUUGUCCUAGUCUUCUUUGACUACAUAUUAGUGUACAGCCCCACACUAGAGAUGCAUGCACAGCAUCUACAGAUUGUGCUCAAUAUUUUAGAAGAAAAUCAGCUGUAUUACAAGAGGUCAAAGUGCUCUUUUGCCCAGUCCUCAAUUGAAUACUUGGGGCACGUGAUCUCAGAGGCAGGAGUGAGUAUGGAUGUGGCUAAGGUGGAGUGUAUCAAGUCCUGGUCUGUUCCUAGUACAGUCAAGGAGCUGAGAGGGUUUUUGGGAUUAAUUGGUUACUACAGGAGAUUCAUUAAAGGCUAUGGAGUGAUUAGCAAACCCUUGACUGUAUUGUUGAAAAAGGAAGGUUUUGCAUGGAACCAUGAAGCUCAAAUGGCCUUUGAAGAUUUGAAAAAGGUUAUGACCACAGCCCCAGUGCUGAGCAUGCCUAAUUUCGAACUUCCUUUUGUCAUAGAGACUGAUGCCUGUGGAAUAGGUAUUGGAGCAGUGUUGAUGCAGCAAGGACAUCCUAUUGCUUUCCUUAGCAAGGCAUUAUCAGUUCAGAAUUUGGGGUUAUCAGUCUAUGAAAAAGAGCUUUUUGCCUUAGUGCUAGCUGUAACUAAGUGGAGGCAUUACCUGGUGGGUCAUCACUUCAUUAUCAGGACAGAUCACCAAGCUCUCAAACAUUUGAUAGAGCAAAGGCUUACUCAUCCACUCCAGCACAAGUGGCUAACUAAGCUACUUGGUUUGGACUAUGAAAUACAGUAUAAAAAGGGUGCAGACAAUGGGGUGGCAGACGCCCUCUCCAGGAGAAGGAUUGAGGGAAACACUGUUGACUGUGGAGAGACUGGGCAUCAGACCUGCGCCAUAACCUCAGCUCAGCCUAGUUGGAUGCAGGAAAUGCUAGAAAGCUACAUUGGAGAUGCAGAGGCUCAACAGAAGUUAUCUGAGCUAUUGCUGGAUCCCAAUGCAGAUCCAGAUUAUCAGUUAAAGAAUGGGAUGCUCAAGUUUAAAGGGCGGCUGUACAUAGGAUCUGCUAACAACAUUAGGACCAAGGUGGUCAGAGCAUUGCAUGACUCAGCCCUUGGGGGGCACUCAGGUCCUGGAAUCCGUAAGGAUGUCCUUCAAUAUGUGAGAUCUUGUGAUGUGUGUCAAAGGAACAAACAUGAAAAUGUUCCUUAUCCUGGGUUGCUGCAACCAAUUCCUGUACCUCAGCAGGCUUGGUCACACCUCACCAUGGAUUUUAUUGAGCAACUACCCCCAUCCCAUGGAUUUGAUACCAUUUUGGUGGUGGUGGAUAGGUUAACCAAGUUCAGCCACUUCAUUCGACUCACUCACCCUUUUUCUGCACAGCAGGUAGCACAGCUUUUCCUUGACAACAUAUACAAGCUGCAUGGACUUCCUGAGACCAUUAUAACUGACAGGGACAUAAUCUUUCUUAGUAAGUUUUGGCAAGAGUUAUUUGGUAUGGUAGGGGUAAAGCUGCACUACAGUUCAUCGUAUCACCCUCAAUCAGAUGGUCAAAGUGAAAGGGUCAAUCAGUGUUUGGAAAACUAUCUCAGGUGUAUGUGCAGUGAGCAUCCUUCUCACUGGAGCAGUUGGCUUCCUACAGCUGAGUUAUGGUACAACACUAACUUCCAUACUAGCUUGCAGGUGACACCAUUCGAAGCACUAUACGGGUAUAAACCAAAUCACCUUCCCUUAGGACCUUUUCAUGAUAGCCUGGUACCUGCUGCUGGUAACAUGGUGCAGACUAGGCUCCAAAUUCUAUCCCUCAUCAAAGAGAAUCUAGCCACCGCCCAGAAUCGAAUGAAAAUGUUUACUGAUAAGCACAGGACUGAACGUGUCUUCCAAGUGGGGGAUUGGGUAUUUCUCAAGCUGCAACCUUACAGGCAACAAUCAGUGGCCUUACGGAAGAAUUUGAAGUUGGCUGCCAAAUACUUUGGACCUUUCCAGAUCCUUGCGAGAGUAGGGGAAGUCGCCUACAGACUUAAGUUGCCAGAGGGAGCUCGAGUUCAUUCCGUGUUCCAUGUGUCCUUACUUAAAAGGAAAGUGGGAGUUACACAGCAGGUAAAGCCCAGCUUGCCAGAAGUAGACGCAUCAGACCAAUGUUUGCUGAAGCCAGAGAAGAUUCUCCAGAGGCGUGUUAUCAUACGAGCUGCCAAACCAAUCAUCCAGUACCUGGUGAAGUGGAACAACUUACCAGAAUCCGAAGCAUCAUGGGAGGAUAAAAGCUUCAUUGACAGACAAUUUCCGGAAUUUCAAGCUUGAGGACAAGCUUUGCUUAAGGGGAAGAGAUUGUCAGGAACAAGGAAAUAGAAUGGGACGUCGUUUAAUGCAAAGGGUUGUGCGUUUAAGGCCUUAGAAGCAAUACUACGUCAUUCUAAUAACAUAGGCGGUGCUGGUGUGAUAGGCCAAGUUAGUUGAGGGUCAAUUACAUAAAUAGCCUUCUGUAACAGAUUUUUGGUUAUGUUUUUGAAUGAAAAGUAUCUCGCUGCUUUCUCUCUCUUGUCUGUUAUUUCCCUCCCUUUUCUUCUUUCUCUCUUCCCUCUUCUUAAUCUUGUUUCUUUCUUCUGAUUCUUCCCCCAAAUUCAAUACAAUUCCAGAAAUUAACCUGCAGAUCUGACAAGGAGCCCUAUUCUAACCAAAUAACACACUACCAGGGUUAUUUUAGGUUAGCCCGCGUAUUCCCCUGACAUGAAUCCAAUCAUGCCAGUUAUCACUAUUUUGAAACAAUUAAACAAUUACGGAUUUAACGUCCCAAUUGACAAUAGAUUAUCAAAUUAACUAAUUAUCCGGAUCCAAAACAAUCAAUUAAUUAAAUAAUCAUAAGCACUGUAAUCAGGGAAUAUUUGAAUACCAAUAAAUAAAAAGAAAGGACAAAAUUAAAUCGAUUUCACAAUUUUUAAACGAACCACAACCUCAGUUGUUCCUCGGCUAGAUUGAGAAAAUUAGCUCAUGUUCGAUGCGAAAAAUCCACAAGAAAUUGUUAAGAGAGCCGCGGCCAUUGUCCCUUGAAAUUGGGGAAAUUCAAUUCGGUUGAACUACGAAAGAAAAGUAAGCUACAGAGAGUUGCCGAUUGGGUUUUGCUUGUCCCUAACAUGCGAGGGAGCAAAGCCACGAAAGGACGACAAAGGUCAAAAAGAAAGGCUACAGAGCAUGUUCCAGGUCUUUUUGUGCUCUCCACAUCCGAGCCAACGAAAAGAAAUAAAAAACUACCAGGAGCUAAAGGAAAACCGCAAGAAAAGUCAAAGGCUAAAAAAACUUCCUAGUGCUUGUUCUCUGCUUAUCUCUUUAUCUAAUUCUAAGUCCCCGAUUUUUUGCUCCGUGCGGCGGCUCCCCCGGAGAGAAAGGAUUGCAUCCGCUGCCCUCUUCCACCAAUUACCAAAAUGGGCACACCGCUUCUUUUUCAAAAAUGCUCCUGGAUAAACUCUAUCAUCUGGACUUUUUUUCUGUCAAAUUGACAUUUAUUAUUAUAUUUUCGUUCUACUCCCUGAAAUAAAUGUAAAAUAUUAAAAAUGAGUAGAAUCCGACAAUUAAUUCACAUCAGGUCAGAUAAUAAAGAAAAUUAAUAAUAAAAUAAAUAAAUAAAUUGCAACCUAUCAACCAAAUACAACAAUUUCAUGGAGUUUGAUACACAAGCCCAAAUACACGAGAGUGUGUAACCUGAAUUGUUACUUAUACAUUAGUGUGUAAUAGAACGGCAAGCAUUAUGGUGGUCAUUGAGCAACUUGUAGGAGAAAUAGUCCUAUAAGCUGUUCAAUGACCAAUCACAACUUGCUAAUUGGAUGACUAAUAUAGCUCUAGCUGUAAUGUUUUAAUUAAAUUCCAUCACUAACGUUGGGAUGACUUUUUAAUCAAAAAAAAAAAAGCCUUAGUUCAAGCUUUUCCCCUUAUUGUGCAUUUUUUAAAACAUUUGAUAGGCACUGCAAAUCUGUCAUUUUGGACAUUUUAUUAUUAACUAACAAUGAAAGCCGUGGACAUCAACCCAUAUCCAACAAAAUAUUAAAUUAAUAUUAGAAAAAAUUAUUAAGUAAUUGGAAAAAAAAAGAAGAGGCUAAUUUUCAUUGAAACCCACCGACAAACUAUACGCUGCUUUCAAUCAGUUUUAACACGGGAAAAAGAAAAGGCAUGAAAAGCAAAAUUUGUGGGGAUAAUUUCGGAAACCUCCCAUGAAGUUUUUGACUAUUUUACUGGCCUCCCUUCAGAUUUUAAAAAUUGGACUAAUCUUCCUUAAAGUUAAUUAUCUUGUAACAUUUAGAUCCGAUCAAUAAUUUAAAAAAUAAUAUUAUGAGAGAGAAAAUAAUAUGAUUUUAUUAUUGCCCCCAUCUCACCACAUUAUUUAAUUAAUUUAAUAGCAACCCACACAUUAAAGAAAAUGACAGGUCGUCAACCUGUGCAAUAAUAAAAUUAAACCUAAUUGCCAGUUAAAAUGACCAAAACCCAAUUCCAAGUACUGGAGCAGGGACUCUAGGUGUGCAAUGGGUUACUUGAUUCACCCUGUUCCCGAAGAGUUUGCUUGAUCCGAUAUACCCGAAUGGAAUGGUUAUUCCUUUUCACAAAUGAUUAGGAAUUUGUAGACAGGGCAAGUAGGGUCGUAUCCACAGAGACUGGGUAUAUUUGUUUCUUAAGAAAUCCAAAGUAACACAGGGGGUGAUUUUGUAGGAACGACGAUAAUUAAAUAAAUUCAAAUGAGAAAGUAAAAAUAAAUAAUUAACUAGAAAUUAAACCACAAUUUACUGAACUCAGGAUAACAAUAGUUAAAGGCCUCAAUUAAUUAAAAUAAGGAAACAAUCAAAAAUAAAAUAAAGUAGGUAAUUAAAAGUCAAAUGGCAAUCCACUACAAUCAAGGAAAUAUUAACUAAAGAUCUAGCCAAGAAAUAACUUCAGCAAUGGUUCACCUAAUCGAUCAUUGAUGCAAAGCAAUCCCAAUUAUUUACUAAUAAAUAGGUUAUAACUACCAAACAAGCGAUGGCAGUCAACCCCUCCUUACUGUGUCGGUGAUCAAGGUACGCCCGUUAAUCACUGCUCUAAUUGAGAAAUAAUCCUAGGUACGCCCGUAGAAUUUAAUUCCCCAACUGCCUUACGUAUUAGAGGAGCCCUAUUCUACCCAAAUAACACACUACCAGGGUUAUUUUAGAUUAGCCCGCGUAUCCCCCUGACACGAAUCUAAUCGUGCCAGUUGUCACUAAUUUGAGGUAAUUAAACAAUUACGGAUUCAAUACCCCAAUUGACAAUAGAUUAUCAAACCAAUGAAUUAUCCGGAUCCAAGACAAUCAACUAAUUAAAUAAUCAUAAGCACUGCAACCAAGGAAUAUGCGAAUACCAAUAAAUAAAGGAAAAGAUAAAAUUAAAUCGAUCUCACAAUUUACAGGUGACCCAAAGCAUCAGUCGUUUCUUGACUAGAACGAGGGGGUUAGCUCAUAUUGGAUGAACUAAGCCCGCGGGAAAUUCCAGCAAAAGUCACGGCCGUUGUAUGCAUUUCAAGAGCCGCAAUUCGUCAAACACUUGGAAAGCGAAUGUAAGGCACGGGUAACAAUUGAAACUUUCUAAUUGUUCCUAGCAUUCGUAAAGCAAAUUCACUCCAGAAGUACAGUGAGGAAAAGUCAAAGAAAGUGGGCUUCAAUUCCUUGCUCCUGACAUGCGUGGAGACAAGCCAAUGCAAGACUACAAUAAACUAACAAGGAAAAGUCAAGAAUUGGAGCUAAGCUCCCCUGCCAUGCGCAGGAAUCCCAAAAGUAAAAAGUAAAGCUUCAAAGAAAAGUCAACAAUUCUUCCUAAGCUACAGACGGAAGAUCCAGCACAAAAGCCAGCUCCCUUUUUGAUCCCUUUUUCCCCCUUCUUAUUGCGGCGGCUCACCAGGAGAGGAGAGCCCUCCGUCCGUCCUUUCUUCCGGAAAUUACCAAAAUGGGCAUGACAUCUUCUCUUCCAAAAGUGCCCCUGGGACAAGCUUUCUCAUCUGAAUUCUUUUUUUUUCCAAUUUGGCACCUGUUAUCAUAUUUAUAUUCUACUCCCUGAAAUAAACGUCAAAUACUAAAAGUGAGUAGAAUCCAGCAAAUAAAUCCACAUCAAGUCAGGUAAUAGGAGGAAUUAAUAAUAAAAUAAAUGAAUAAAUUGCACCCUAUCAAUUCCCUCCACACCUAAACCAUGCUUGUCCUCAAGCAUAAGAAAAGUAAACGAACACCAAAAUUCGACGAUAGCCAUUGCCCAAUCUCCUAUAUUGCCAAGACAUUCAAGAGAAAAACACAUAUCGAGCAUUGGUGAUUAGAAUCCCAGAAGCAUCCCCCCGGUUAGCCUCUAACCCCCAGAUUCCUUCAAUUUCCAACUUAACUACUCUAAGAAAGAGGAAUGGCACACAACAUUUAUCAGCUAGUGGUCCGAAUAUUCACACAAGUCUUCAUAUCCAAUCCAUAAACCGGCAAGCUUCCCUAUUAUUUAGUCUCUCUUUUUUUCCGUUUUUUUUCAUUUUCAUUCUUCCCCUCUUUUUUUUUUUUUUUUAAAGCAGUAGCAAUCAACACAAAAGACUUAGUCGUUAGCCGUCAGGGCCUUUUGAUGCGAACUCCAACAUUUUUAGAAGGAGGAGCCCGGUUACUCAGCUCCUACCGCUAUACGACCACGCACUCAUAUAAAAUACCACCUUUUGACGCGAGAAUCGACACUUUUAGGUGCCGAUCCCCGGUUACUCAGUAGUAACUUAAUAGCGGAGCACAGUCAAGCUUAUUCUCAGCCAAACAAUGCACAAACGCAAAAUAACAGCACUAACAAUCAAACAUAGGAGCAGCUCGCCUCAUUAUUGUCAAACAUGGAGAACUGGAGUCAAUAUUGGACCAGUUCACAUUAAAAGGCCAUAUUCAUUCCCUACGCCUAGAAAAGUUAACAAAGAAAUCGAAAGAGUCAAACAGUUAAAUAUUCACCAAGGGGAUAUUCAGGACCCAACCACACUAACCCGAUACAUUUUGUAUUUUAAAAACUUGGCAAAAGUAGAUUUGGAGUCAAUGAGUCCACAUCUCAAUUUUAGCCUUCACAUGAAAGGCAAUCACCAAGAAGAAAGAACGGAAAAAUAAGCAACUAGAAAUGAGACUACGAAAAACUACUAAAACUAAAAACUCACUUUUUUUCUUUUUCUCUUUUUUUUUCUUUUUGAAUUUUUUUUUCAUUUUUAUUUUUUUUUAUUUUUUUUAUUUUUUAAACAUUAACUAUAAACAUUAACUACUAAAAACUAAAAACUAAAACUACUAAAAACUAAAAACACUAAAAACUGCUAAAAUGAAAAGCUGAAAACUGAAAACUACUAAAAACGGAGCACACUAGCAUAACUUUAGAUCCCCCCCACACCUAUAGGACACAUUGUCCUCAAUGUGACAAAUAAGAACCAAAAGUGAAGCACAAGUGAGAGGGGAAUCAGCCAAACUUCCCUGAAAUCGGGUCACAGCGGAGGGCGAGGUGGAAAUGGAGGUGCAAAGCCUGUAUGCAUCAGGAACUGUGCCAAAUUCUGUGCUAUGCCGGCGACAUUGGCGUCGACGUUGGUCAUCCGGGCCUGCAAAUCCUGAACCAGCUCCCUGAGAUGCUGCCAAUCAUCGGUCCCAGGUGGUGGAGGUGGCGCAGAAGUAGAGGUAGACGGCCCAGCAGUGUCCGCGGCCGACCCAGGGAAUGAAGAUGGCCCUGCCCGGGCCGAAUGGUGUGCACCCGGGGCUCGAGGUGGUCCCGGACGGGUAAACUGGUGAAAACCAUCUGGCAGACGCUCGACGACCCCCAUUUUCUCUAAGCAAACUACGUCCAAGUGCUCCAUCUCAAAUGCCAAAUGGAGGUCGUGGUCAUCCAGGUUAAGAACUCCCAACUGGGUCGCCAAGUGAGUGAUGUAGGACCCAAGGAUCAGUGGUUUGUUCUUCUUGGUCAAGACCGUCUUGAACUGUGCGGCCAACCAACAUCCCAAGUUCACCUUGAUAUUGUUCUUCAUACUCCAGAGAAAGAAGAAUUCGGGCCGAGAGAGUAUACCGGAGCUGUCCUUGCGCCCCGAGUAGCUAUAAGCUAAGAAUCGCUGAACAUAGCGGGCGCUAGGGUCCUUAAGAAAGGAGCUCCUGGACCGGGAAGGAUCGUAGCGUUGCCUAUCGACGGACAUGUCCUCCCAUACAUCAUGGUAGUGGGAGAGGAAAGGCUCUACGUAGUCACAGGCACUCUCCGCAUACUCCCUAGUCUCAGCAUACUCUCUAGUGAUAAACCCAAAUGCCAGAUUGAAUUGAGUAAUGGAGAAAUUGAAUUCUCGACCCAUGAGCCGGAAAUGAAUGACAUUCGGUGUUUCACCCGUGUAUCUCGUAGGUAAUUCGAACUCAAAGGUGGAGUAAAACUCCCGGAUCAGCUCAACAAAAGCGGGACAAGAAAUAUGGAAAUAUGGGCGCCACCCAAUGGCUGUGAACAUUUGCUCAACCUCCUCCCGUAUACCCAGGGCAGUUAGAGAGAGUCUAUGACAAGACUUACAGGAUAUUAUACGCCUCUCGCAGACCUUAGCGUACCUCUGCCGAUCGGCGGGUCUGGUAAAUGUUAAGUGCCCCCCAAAAUGAACAGGUGCAUCUACCUGAGCACCCCUAUCCCUACCCAAACGGGUUCGAACACUAGAAGAGGAGGGUAGGUUGGUAGGUGAGUUGACAGGAAUAGAGGCUUGUGGAGGGGGUUGAGACUGAGAGGUCCUAGACCUAGAGGAGGAUUUCGGUCUCACCAUUCCCCCCAAAGUAAGUUCAAGGCAACAGAAAAUCCGACAAGUAUAGAAACCAGCAAUUGACAAAGCAAAAAUCUCCCAGUAGUAACCCAGCCAAUAGCAAACAAAAGAGUUCCAGCAAGUAAUCAACAAGCAAUUCAGAAAUAUCUCAACUAAAAUCUCAAGAGAAACCCCAGCGAGUUAUCCAGCAAUUCAAGCAAUAUCCCCAAGCAAUGUGGUGGUCAAAAUGUCAUCUCCAAAUUGAACAAAUAAUCAGAGCAUUGCAACACAUUGAAAAUCUCAAUAAACGGCUCCAGUUGGCCAAGAAAAAUUGCUAACUCAUACUCAGCAAUAGUAGUGCAGCAAAGGGACAGUAACCACGCAAUAAAAACACUUAGCUUGCACUCAAAUGGUCACCCCAAAUAACAACCCAGUAUGAAACCCGCAGGCAGAGUAUUCCUCAAACCGUUAGCCUAAACCCAGUCAACAACCACGGCCAGAAAUAACCCCAUAAAUAGUGCAAUGAGUAAUCCCCAGCAACAUAAUCAGGUGUAAUCAACUGGAGCAAGCAAUUUACAUGGCAUAGAAACCUCCCAAUCAAACAAGUGCAUUAUUCUAGCGCACCCCAAAAUUCCAAGAAAUGGCUCCAGUUGGCCAAUUAAUUUCACAAUGUCACCCAACUCAGGAGAAAUAGCAAUUCCACACAAAAAUAGUCAAACCAGUACCACUGGCGAAAAAUCUUUCAAAUAUGCACAAUUUGCUACCAAAUAUCACCGGCUAACACUGAAAAAUUGAGGGCAAGUGUCAAAUACCUCCACAGGGACUACCCCAGGCGGCAGACAGAGAAGCGGCGUUGAAGCUGGUGGUCGAGCGGGGCGGCGCUCGCGUCGGCGUGCGCAGCGGCGACGGCGCGCGAGGAUGGAGUUUCGGGAGGUUGCGUGCGGGCUUGGCUGAAGACGCGGCGCGCGCUAGGGCUUCGCUGCGGCAGGCGUGCAGCAGGGGAGAAGAAAGAAAAGAGAAAGAAAGAAAGAAAAAGAAAGGAAAGAAAGAACAGAAAAGAAGGAAAAGAAAAAGGAAUUUUUCUUUUUUUUCUUUUUCUUUAGGCUACGGUUUAGAGGACAAAUUUUUCUUCUUCUUGUUUUCUACUUUUUUAUUUUUUUAUUUUUUAGUUUUUAAUUUAUUACUAUUAUUAUCAUAUUUAAUUGAGGAAAAAAAAUGUUUUUUUUUAAAUCCCUACCUUUCCCACGAACGUGACGCGGGCACGUCAAGAGGGCAAGAGAGCUCCCAGAAGUUUCAGAAUUUUCUGAUCGUAAGCGUCCUGCACAUCACCACGCGGGCACGUCAUGAGGACAGGAGAGCUCCCAGAAGUUCAGAAUUUUCUGAUCGUGAGCGCCCUGCACGUCACCACGCGGGCACGUCAUGAGGCCAGGAGAGCUCCCAGAAGUUUGAAGUUUCUGAUUCCUGCCCGUCAUCACGCGGGCGCGUCAUGACUGAAGGUCACCUACAAAUCAGCAAAAACGAAAACUAACACCCAAAAUCAGUCAAAUUCAGGGAAAGCAGAUUUAAACUAUGCUACAAAACCAACAAACAAUUAAAAGAAAUAAUUAGGUUGCCUCCCAAUGAGCGCCUUUCUUUAAUGUCUUUGGCUAGACAUGGUAAAGUGUCACUGAUUAGGACACGGUGGUGCGUCAAGCCUUAUUGUCUCCACCUCUCUACCUGAAAAUCCUUCGUAAUAAUAUUUGAGACGGUGUCCAUUCACCACAAAUUUGUUGUCUGUCUUAGCACUCUGGAUCUCAACUGCACCAUAGGGAAAAACAUGAGUAACAAUGAAAGGUCCAAUCCAACGGGAACGUAGCUUACCUGGGAAUAGCUUGAGCCUGGAUUGGUACAGGAGGACCUUCUGACCAACUUCAAAUGUUUUUCUUGAAAUUUGUUGGUCAUGAAAUGCCCGGCUUUUCUCCUUAUAUAUCAAGGCGUUUUCGUAUGCUUCGUUCCGGAUCUCCUCCAAUUCUUGCAAAUCCAACUUCCGUUGAGCACCGGCCUCCUCUAAAUUCAUAUUGCAGUGCUUUAUCGCCCAAAAAGCCUUGUGCUCGAACUCCACUGGAAGGUGACACGGCUUCCCAAAUACCAACCUGUACGGUGACAUCCCAAUAGGAGUCUUGUACGCCGUCCGAUAGGCCCAGAGUGCGUCUUCCAACCUUUGGCUCCAGUCUUUUCUAUCAGGGCGCACCAUUUUCUCUAAAAUGGACUUAAUCUCCCGAUUCGACACCUCCGCUUGACCAUUGGUCUGAGGGUGGUAUGACGUUGAGACCCUGUGGAGUACACCAUACUUGCGAAACAACGCAGCUAUGGUUUUGUUGCAAAAGUACGUUCCCCUAUCACUGACAAUAGCUCUAGGCAUUCCAAACCGCACAAAGAUAUUAGACCUGAUAAAAUCUGCAACUACUCUCGAAUCAUUAGUUCGAGUGGCCUUAGCCUCCACCCAUUUAGACACAUAAUCAACUGCCAGCAAAAUAUAUAAAAAACCAAAUGAAGUAGGAAAAGGCCCCAUGAAAUCUAUACCCCAGACAUCAAAAAUUUCAACAAAAAUCAACGGGACCUGGGGCAUUUGAUCUCUACGGGCUAUAUUACCUACCAUUUGACAGCGAUCACAUGACUUACAAAACACAUAGGCAUCUCUAAACAAUGAAGGCCAAUAAAAUCCACUUUCUAAAACCUUAUGAGCAGUUCUCUUAGGUCCAAAAUGACCUCCACAGGCAAAAGUAUGACAAAAAGCUAAAAUUGAUUGAAAUUCCAUUUCACUUACACAUCUCCUCAUCACUUGAUCGGCACACCUCUUCCAUAGGUACGGGUCAUCCCAGAUAAAAUACUUGGCAUCGCUCUUCAAUUUAUCCCUCUUCGAUUUCGGCCAACCUGCAGGAAAAUUACCAGUUACCAAAUAAUUGACCAAAUCAGCAUACCAAGGCAACUGAGAAUUUAAGAAAAAUAGGUAUUCUUCGGGGAAUGCAUCCUUCAAUGGCUCGCUAUCCUCUUCAACUAGUAUGCGACUCAAAUGGUCCGCUACUAGAUUUUCUGAGCCUUUUUUGUCCCUUAUCUCCAAGUCAAAUUCCUGUAGGAGCAGUAUCCACCGUAUGAGCCUCGGUUUUGCAUCUUUCUUGGUCAUCAGGUACCUCAAUGCUGCAUGAUCAGAAAAUACAAUCACUUUAGCACCUAACAAGUAUGACCUAAAUUUUUCCAAAGCAAAAAUAACUGCCAGAAGCUCCUUCUCAGUGGUGGAAUAAUUCAACUGGGCUCCAUUCAAGGCCCGGGAUGCGUAAUAGAUGACAUGAGCCGCCUUGCCUAUUCUUUGCCCCAGUACAGCCCCAACAGCGUGAUCACUGGCAUCGCACAUGAUCUCAAAUGGCAAAUUCCAAUCGGGGGGUUGGAUGAUUGGGGGUGAAGUCAGCAAUUCCUUCAGCUUGUUAAAGGCUCUCUCACACUUAUCAUCAAAUUCGAAGGCUACAUCUUUUUGUAGGAGUUGGAACAACGGGGCUCCAAUCUUUGAAAAAUCCUUGAUGAACCUUCGAUAAAAACCUGCAUGUCCAAGAAAAGAGCGCACCUCCCGCACACUCGCGGGGUAAGGUAAUGCAGAAAUAAUGUCUAUUUUAGCCUUGUCAACUUCUAUGCCCUUAGACGAUACAAUAUGACCCAGGACUAUUCCGUGCUCAACCAUAAAAUGACAUUUUUCCCAAUUAAGCACAAGAUUAGUCUCUAUACACCUGAUCAGGAUUAAUUUCAGGUUAUCUAGACAAGUAUCAAAACUAUCACCAUACACACUGAAAUCAUCCAUGAAAACUUCUAUUAUUUUCUCAACAUACUCGGAAAAGAUGCUUACCAUACAUCUUUGGAAAGUCGCAGGUGCAUUGCACAACCCAAAUGGCAUUCGUCUGUAGGCAAAGGUCCCGAACGGGCACGUGAAGGUUGUCUUCUCUUGAUCCUCCGGGGCAAUUGCUAUCUGAAAGUAUCCUGAAAAUCCAUCCAAAAAGCAAUAAUAAGCCCUACCAGCUAAACGUUCAACCAUUUGGUCAAUGAAAGGGAGAGGGAAAUGGUCCUUUUUGGUGACGGCGUUUAGCCUACGGUAAUCUAUACAUUGCCUCCAUCCAGUGGGUUUGCGCACUGGCACGAGCUCACCAGUUUGGUUGGCCUCUACCGUCACUCCUGCAUUCUUUGGGACUACCUGGACCGGACUCACCCAAGGGCUAUCAGAUAUUGCAAAAAUGAUGCCCACAUCUAGCAAUUUUAGAAUCUCUUUCUUUACGACUUCCAUCAUGAGGGGAUUGAGCCUUCUUUGAGCCUGCCUAACAGGUUUGGCAUCGUCUUCCAGCCUAAUCCGGUGCAUACAAAUGGCCGGGCUGAUCCCCUUAAUGUCUGCGAUUGUCCAGCCUAUUGCCUCUUUAUGCUCCCGAAGGACCCGGAUCAAUUUCUCUUCCUGGGUCUUUGACAGUGCCGAUGAGAUAAUCACUGGGAGUGUCUCAUUAUCACCUAGGUAUGCGUAUUUCAGGUGCUCUGGUAGAGGUUUCAACUCCAGUACAGGUGCCUGCACCACAGAUGGCAAUACCCUCUGGUGAGCCUUGGGAGUAAAAAUAGGUAAGACUUCAUACCUUUUCGUGGUGGUCUGCAACGAGUGUAAUGCACCUAUUGUGCAUUUUAAAUCCUCGCUCCACUCCACCUCAGGAGUUGUCUCCAACUCGAGGUGCUUGGUUAAAGCCACCUCCAGCUCAUCCCUGCCAUCAGUUUCAAACACUUCCUGCACUACAGGGUCAAUAGCACUCACAGAAAAAACUGAGCUAAAGUUGGAGUUAGAGGGGUACUUCAUAGUAUCAAAAAUAUUAAAAUGCACAAUUUACCCAUCAAACUCCAUGGACAAGGUACCCUUAUUAACAUCAAUUUUCGUCUGCGCAGUGCUCAUAAAAGGUCUACCCAAUAACAAAGGUGAGGGAUCAGGGGAGUGAUCAUCAUCCAUAUCUAGUACAUAAAAAUCAGCUGGAAACACCAAAUCAUUAACCUUUACCAACACAUCUUCAAUCAACCCAUCAGGAUAUGCAUUAGUUCGGUCAGCUAAUUGAAUAAUUAUUCCAGUUUCUUUUAAUGGACCUAGUUUCAAAGAAGCAUAGAUAGAUUUAGGCAUGACAUUAAUUGAUGCUCCCAGAUCCAGCAUGGCCCUUCUGAUCACAGUAUUACCUAUCUUACAGGGAAUAGUAAACAUACCUGGGUCCCCGCACUUUGGUGGGAGCUUUCUCUGCAGGACCGCAGACACAUUUUCUCCAACUAUGACCCGUUCAUCUCCCCUCAACCGCCUUCGGUUGACACACAAGUCCCUUAGGAACUUGGCAUAUUUUGGUACUUGUUUGAUGGCGUCUAAGAGGGGGAUAUUUAUCUCAACCUUGCGAAAAACCUCCAAGAUCUCCUUCUCCUUAUCCUGCUUCUUCGAUUUUUCCAACCUGCUAGGAAAAGGAGGCGGGUUAGUUUUAACUGUAAUUAUUGGGUCAGGAAGUACCUCUGGAUCUGCACCAUUGCUGUCCUCCCUUUCGAGCUCAUUUUCGAUCUUCUCUUCAUCCUUGUCCUUGGGAAUCACAGGUUCAGGCCCCUGAAUUUCUUUCCCACUCCUUAGGAUCAUUGCGCUCACGUUCUUCGGAUUCAACUCCGGUUGAGAUGGCAGCUUCCCUUGGUUCUGGGACUCCCAACGGUUCAUUCUGGUGGCCAAUUGACCUAUCUGAUUCCUUAUGUCCUGCAUUUCGGAGUCCGUCUUUUGCUGAUUUUGCAUAAUAGCUGCCUCCGUCCUUUGCUGAUUCUGCGCCAUGGUUGUCAUCAUUUGUUUCAGCAUCUCAUCCGUAGAUGAACCAGAUUGAGGGAGCGGAGGUGGUCGGGGUUGGUAUUGCUGCUGGUACCCUGGUGGCUUAUUUGGCACAAAGUUAGACUGCCUGUUUGGCGUGAAGUUGGAUUGCCUAUUUCCACCAUAACUGAGGUUGGGAUGAUCUCUCCACCCGGGGUUGUAGGUGCUUGAGUAAGGGUCGUACUGCUUCCUUGGCGCGGGCGCGUGGUCAGCCAUGUUCACCUGUUCCGCAGUUUCUUCCUGAAUCAUUGGGCACAUGUCUGCAGAGUGACCUAUACCAGUGCAAAUCCCGCAUACCCUGGCUUGUGAUGCAUUUCUCACAGCCUAUUGCCUAACGAACGCAGUCAACUCAUUUAGCUGCUGCUGCACAGAGGGUGUCUCUAUCUCAUUCACCCUACGUAUUGGGACAUCCUAUCUUGUACUGAAUUGCUGUGAAUUCUCUGCCAUCCCCUCUAUUAACUCCCGUGCUUCCUGAGGGGUUUUGUUCACCAGUGCCCCUCCACUUGCAGCAUCAAUGAUGCUCCUGUCUCUAAAAAUGAGCCCCUCAUAGAAAUAUUGUAUGAUCAACUGCUCACUUAUUUGGUGAUGGGGGCACCUGCGCAACAAGCUCUUAUACCGUUCCCAAUACUCGUAAAGUGACUCCUCGGGAUGCUGCUUGAUCCCACAAAUUUCUUUCCUUAGACUCGCAGCCCUGGACGCAGGAAAAUAUUUAUCCAGAAAUUUUUUCUUCAAUUGGUCCCACGUGGUGAUGCUACCUGGUGACAGGUAGUACAGCCAGUCCUUCGCAGAAUCUUUCAAGGAGAAGGGGAAUGCCCUCAUUUUUAUCUGCUCUUCUGUGAUUCCCGGGGGUUUCAUACUGUUGCAAACGACAUCAAACUCCUGCAGAUGCUUAUACGGCUCUUCACCUGGUAAACCAUGAAAAGAGAGUAAAAGCUGAAUCAGACCAGAUUUUAGUUCAAAUGGAAUGUUGUCAUUUAAAGCUGGGAAAGUAAUGCAUAACGGCUGCUGAGUUAAAUCAGGAGCAGCCAACUCCCUUAAUGUUUAUGCAUUAGCCAUGGUGCCUUCCUGCUGGUCAGAGUCACUCGAAGUGUUACCAAACGAAUCUGUUGGUUCAACUUCUGACUCGGGUCUUUGAGAUGUAGCACUAGAGUGCUCUUCUCUGAGCUGUCUGGUUUCCUUUCUCGUUCUACGCGCGGUCUUCUCUACCUCAGGAUCAAAAACCAAAUCACCUGUGCGACAAGAUCGAGGCAUACACUAGAAGAAAACCAGAAAAUUAGGACAAAAUUGAAUUUAAGAAGAAACAAAUAAUAACGCCAGUCCCCGGCAACGGCGCCAAAAAUUGACAGGUCGUCAACCUGUGCAAUAAUAAAAUUAAACCUAAUUGCCAGUUAAAAUGACCAAAACCCAAUUCCAAGUACUGGAGCAGGGACUCUAGGUGUGCAAUGGGUUACUUGAUUCACCCUGUUCCCGAAGAGUUUGCUUGAUCCGAUAUACCCGAAUGGAAUGGUUAUUCCUUUUCACAAAUGAUUAGGAAUUUGUAGACAGGGCAAGUAGGGUCGUAUCCACAGAGACUGGGUAUAUUUGUUUCUUAAGAAAUCCAAAGUAACACAGGGGGUGAUUUUGUAGGAACGACGAUAAUUAAAUAAAUUCAAAUGAGAAAGUAAAAAUAAAUAAUUAACUAGAAAUUAAACCACAAUUUACUGAACUCAGGAUAACAAUAGUUAAAGGCCUCAAUUAAUUAAAAUAAGGAAACAAUCAAAAAUAAAAUAAAGUAGGUAAUUAAAAGUCAAAUGGCAAUCCACUACAAUCAAGGAAAUAUUAACUAAAGAUCUAGCCAAGAAAUAACUUCAGCAAUGGUUCACCUAAUCGAUCAUUGAUGCAAAGCAAUCCCAAUUAUUUACUAAUAAAUAGGUUAUAACUACCAAACAAGCGAUGGCAGUCAACCCCUCCUUACUGUGUCGGUGAUCAAGGUACGCCCGUUAAUCACUGCUCUAAUUGAGAAAUAAUCCUAGGUACGCCCGUAGAAUUUAAUUCCCCAACUGCCUUACGUAUUAGAGGAGCCCUAUUCUACCCAAAUAACACACUACCAGGGUUAUUUUAGAUUAGCCCGCGUAUCCCCCUGACACGAAUCUAAUCGUGCCAGUUGUCACUAAUUUGAGGUAAUUAAACAAUUACGGAUUCAAUACCCCAAUUGACAAUAGAUUAUCAAACCAAUGAAUUAUCCGGAUCCAAGACAAUCAACUAAUUAAAUAAUCAUAAGCACUGCAACCAAGGAAUAUGCGAAUACCAAUAAAUAAAGGAAAAGAUAAAAUUAAAUCGAUCUCACAAUUUACAGGUGAUCCAAAGCAUCAGUCGUUUCUUGACUAGAACGAGGGGGUUAGCUCAUAUUGGAUGAACUAAGCCCGCGGGAAAUUCCAGCAAAAGUCACGGCCGUUGUAUGCAUUUCAAGAGCCGCAAUUCGUCAAACACUUGGAAAGCGAAUGUAAGGCACGGGUAACAAUUGAAGCUUUCUAAUUGUUCCUAGCAUUCGUAAAGCAAAUUCACUCCAGAAGUACAGUGAGGAAAAGUCAAAGAAAGUGGGCUUCAAUUCCUUGCUCCUGACAUGCGUGGAGACAAGCCAAUGCAAGACUACAAUAAACUAACAAGGAAAAGUCAAGAAUUGGAGCUAAGCUCCCCUGCCAUGCGCAGGAAUCCGAAAAGUAAAAAGUAAAGCUUCAAAGAAAAGUCAACAAUUCUUCCUAAGCUACAGACGGAAGAUCCAGCACAAAAGCCAGCUCCCUUUUUUAUCCCUUUUUCCCCCUUCUUAUUGCGGCGGCUCACCAGGAGAGGAGAGCCCUCCGUCCGUCCUUUCUUCCGAAAAUUACCAAAAUGGGCAUGACAUCUUCUCUUCCAAAAGUGCCCCUGGGACAAGCUUUCUCAUCUGAAUUCUUUUUUUUUCCAAUUUGGCACCUGUUAUCAUAUUUAUAUUCUACUCCCUGAAAUAAACGUCAAAUACUAAAAGUGAGUAGAAUCCAGCAAAUAAAUCCACAUCAAGUCAGGUAAUAGGAGGAAUUAAUAAUAAAAUAAAUGAAUAAAUUGCACCCUAUCAGAAAAAUGCAAAAAUUUGUUAUUUAUCAUUAAGGAUCAUAUCGCAUAUAACAUCAAAAAAUAGUAUAUUAUUUAUAUCUUUCACUUAAUAUAAUAUCCAAAUUACUCUUUUCAGUUACAUACCCAUUGUUAGACAAAAUCAACAACAAAUAACCAAAAAAUUUGCAACCAAAAUAUUACCAAAAAAAUAAACUUUAACAUCAUAAAUAUUUUUAUCAACAUAUUAAAGUUAGUUAUUGAAAUUUUUAUGGUGUUAAACUUCACUCUUAGCAAUAUUUUGGUUACAGAUUUUUUUGAUUAUUUAUUGUUGAUCGUGUUUGACAAUGGAUUUGUAACUGAAAAGAAUAAUUUGAAUCUUACAUUAAGUGAAAUAUAUAAAAUAUUAUACUAUUUUUUAUGGCAUAUGUGAUUCUUUUUUUUUUUUUUAUCAGAACGGCAACAUUGUAUUAAUAGUAAACCAAUUACAGUAUAGGUGGGCAACCGCCCUCACAAUCUGCCUGGACUUGUUCCAGCAGCCAAACUGGGAAGUUUUCCUUCCAUUCAGUAUUUUGUUCCAAAGUAAUAGCUACUUUAGCUAGUUUAUGGCUAACAAAGUUGUUCACCCUAUUUGCAAAGGUAAAACAACAUUCAUCAAAUUUUAUUCAUGUACAAUUGUUGCUAUCACCACGUCCUCCUCCUCCUCCUCACUGCACACUACUUGACUACCACCCUUCGCCAACCUUGCUGUUGCAUGUGCAACUAUCAUGGCCUCUCUUAGCGCCUUUGCUUCUUCGACCUUUGGACUGGCACAGCUAAAAUUUGGAACAGCCCAGGCCCACCCGCAAUCUUCCCAACCAAUCCCUGGCCACCCUUUUCCCACCCAGCUUCUAUGGCAUGUGUGAUUCAAUCCUUCUUGAUAGGAUUGGUAAUAGAGGCAGAGGGGGGAGCCGGCUGCAUCCGGUCUACUUUUCAUAGAUAGUACAAUAUUGCGAAAUCGAUCGCAUUCACACAAGAAUAUUUCGAAGUCAUUGCAUCGCUAAGUUGCAAAAAAGUACAAACACUUGUUAUUAUAUAGCUUAAGAUUCAAAACUUUAGAGCACAACCCUCCACCUAACACAAUUGAAUAAUGAAUAUUCACGAUUGUCAAAUCUGUCAAAGCACAGUUUGAGGACAACCCAUUCCAACCUGCAAAAGAUUUUUGACUUUUUUAAAGUUGUUGAGAGCUGUAAAAAGACUUACCAUGCUUACAUCUUCCGAGCCUUGGGAGUUAAAAAUGAAGGCACUGAGUGCUAUAAAAAGGGGGCUAGAGGCUGCCUAGAAGCAUAUCAGCCUAAAACAAGAAUUUGUAGUUAUGAUGGGAAGCAAAGCAAAAGCAAUGGGGUCUGGGCUGACUCCUCUUCUUACCACUGUUUUAGUGGUAUUUGUUGCUCUUGGCUUGCCCUCAGAAACUGCAGCUGAUGAUCACUACAAGUAUUCAUCUCCUCCUCCUCCUUACCACUAUCCCUCACCACCACCUCCAGUGCAUUUACCUCCACCAGUGUACAAAUACAAGUCCCCACCACCACCUCAUCAUGUUUACAAGUACAAAUCUCCACCACCCCCACCACCACACCCAGUUUACAAGUAUAAGUCGCCACCACCACCUCCUCAUCCGGUAUACAAGUACAAGUCUCCUCCGCCACCUCCUCAUCCGGUACCACACCCAGUUUACAAGUAUAAGUCACCACCACCACCUCCUCAUCCGGUACCACACCCAGUUUACAAGUAUAAGUCUCCUCCGCCACCAGUUUACAAAUAUAAGUCUCCUCCACCACCACCUCCAGUGUACAAAUACAAGUCUCCACCACCACCAGUUUACCACUACAAGUCUCCACCACCUCCUCCCCCAGUUUACAAAUACAAGUCUCCACCACCACCACCACCAGUUUACCACUACAAGUCACCACCACCUCCUCCCCCAGUUUACAAAUACAAGUCUCCACCACCUCCUCACCACUACUAAGCAAUUGCUUCUGAGGUAAUAACACUUGUUCAAUAUACCCACUUCUGCAUGAUAAAGCAUAUCUCUAUCAACACAAACUGUCAUGUCUAUCAUGCUAAGUGCCUUCACUUCAUCCACCAAAAUGACUGCUAGAAAAUUUUUUUUAUGUUACCAAAGAAAGGCAUCAUUUUUUCCCUCUGUUAUCAAGAACUUGUACAGUAUAUAGAUUAAAGAGUAUUUUUUUAACUAGCUUAUCAACUGAGAAAUGCAUAUAGCUGAUAGCCAGCUGAAUAUUUGCAGGCAAAGGAGAAGGAAACCAGUGUUUGAGACCUUCUUGAAGAUGUAGAAGCAUAAGAAUUAAAGCCCAAUGUGAAGAUGAUGAUUUCAAGUUUUUCUACGUUACCAUUUCUUUAUCUAAAUUGGUUGUAGCGCCUUAGUUCCUUUGUUUAUGGGAUUUGUAUCGUUUUACGUACCAUGCAGUACAUGUCAUGUUUGUAAGGUUUUCUAUCCUGCCGGCAAACCGCAGGUUCCAUGUAAUAAAUCAAUACUAUUUAUAUUACGACACUUUUCUCUGUUUCUCUUAUAUUUUGUCGUCUUUAAUAUUCUUAAUCAUAUUUUUAACAAAAAUAUUCAAACACUUAGGCAAUCUGGUCUAAUGCUAAUUGUAUGUUUUACUUUUCUUUUUCACCUGCUCCCCUUUUCAACUCAAAAGGAUGCAAUAGUUUGUGAUCACUGUUGAAGACGGAAGCAUGAUACUAAUGAAUAUAUCAUUGAAACUCAAGGAAACUAACAUUAUGAAAAGUGUAAAUCUUGAUUUGAUGCAACUAUUUAUUCGUGGAAUCUAUAGUUACAAAACUCAAACUCUGACUGCGCCAUUGAUAAAUUAUUAAUGACGCUAUCAUCAUUAUUUAUCCCCAACUAGUUUCGACUACAACUGAACCCAAUAUUUUCCCCAUGAUAAAAGUUUUUUACUAUUUUACUGGCCUCUCUUCAAAUUUUAAAAAUUACACUAAUCUUCAUUGAGAUUAAUUAUCUUGUAGCAUUUAAGUCCAAUUAAUAAUUAAAAAAUAAUAUUAUGAGAGAGAAAAUAAUAUAAUUUUAUCAUUGCCCCCCAUCUUGCUAUAUUAUUUAAUUAAUUUAAUAGCAACCCACACAUUAAAGAAAAAUACUAAAAUUUGCUGCUUUUCAUUAAAGAUCAAAUUGCAUAUGCCAUAAAACAUAGUAUAUCAUUCUAUAUGUUUCACUUAAUGUAAGAUCCCAAUUGUUCUUUUCAAUUACAAACCCAUUGUCAAACAUGAUCAAUAACAAAUAACCAAAAAAUUUGCAACCAAAAUAUUACAAAAAAAAACUUUAACAUCAUAAAUAUUCUUACCACCUCUAGUGCAUUCACCCUCAUAAAAUAAUUCAAGACCCUACUGUCAUAAAAUGACUGAUCAACUCCUGUAAACCUAAUUUGACAACAUUUAAAUGGAGAACUUUAGCUAAAAGAAUUAUGGUCAAGCUAAAGAAAAAACCAGUUAUUUUCCAACAUAUGCAAUCAUUGAUCAGGGAAAAAAAAAAGAAGCAAAAAGACAUCUUCAAUCAUUUAAUAGCUUACAGGGCAAAUUAACCCCUAAGCGAAAACUGGUUGCUCUAGAAUCAAAAUUUUACUUUAGUUACCCAGGCAACUUUUUUUGUUGCCUUUUCUUUUUCUUUUUUGGGUAUAUAUAUAGCUCCAGUUUUGCCCCCUCUGUCAAGCUUAUAUAAUUAUUAAGAUAAUAAAAGUGCCUUUAAUAGUAUUAAUAUAUCCAUUGACUUGAGCUGUCAUCGAUCGGUUUGGGCUACUUCGAUUCCAUGAGAACAAAUGGUAAUAAAAGUACUCAGAAAAUGGGGAGUCAUGAAACCCUUUUGUUCUAUUCAUUGCUAAGAUGCUUUUCUCUAUAAAGACACUUCCUAACGAAAAUACUUUGUAGAUUUCUUUACUCCAAGUGGUGCAUGGAAAAUUAAUAUUUUCAAUUAUCAAAUAAAAUUCCCUUUUUUCGGUGUAGAUUUCAUCCAUUCAGCUGUUAACACUCCGAAUUGACUAAUCUUUUCGUUUCCAUUUUCCAACUUGCGAAUACGGCAUCUUACAUAUUGUCUGCUGAAUAUGAAUACAUAUCCCUUUUCUGAGCAGGUGCAGAGUCAUUAUCAUUUUUAUUCCCACCUAACAAAUUAGUUAAUAAUCUUUUAAAGAACAUGUUAAAUUAAUUUAUUGGUAUGAAUAGUAGUCAAAGAAGUAUGUUAAAGUUAGUAAUCUUUAAAAUAAUAUGUUAAAAUUAUUCGUACAAAUUAGCCAGAGAAGUAGCAUAAACACCGCGAUGCAAUUAAUACUUUCAAUCUCAAGGUCUCUAUUAUGGAAAUUUGCAUCGGUCAACAUACACAAAGCAUUAUUGUAUGCACGUCUCUCUAUUAUGGAAAUUUGCAUAGGUCAAUAUACACUUGGCAUAGUUGCAUGCACGUCCAAUUUUUUUUUAUUUUUAUUUUUGGUAUUUUACUUCCUGCCUUAAGUUGCCUGCAGAUGUUUGUAUUACAAAUAUAUGGUAUACUAAAUAUAUAGUAUGCACAUUAAUUUCUUUGGGUUGCUUAAGGGUAUAUUGUUAAUAAUAGGGGGUUUAACCAUAAAUUAUAACAAUGAUGAAGUAAUAUAUAUUAGAAAAUUAACACAAUUAUGAUUUUUUUUUUUGUAAAAUUCAAAUUUUAUUAAUAAGAAAUGAAAUAGGCAGUAAGCAUUUACAAACCGAAAACAAAAUCCUACAACAACUCUAGGACUCUACACCUUAUUAAAAAAAAACAUUUUGAUAGCGUUUUUCCAAAAGCAGAAGAUGGAAAAUUGCCCAUUUGUACUGGGGAGUUCGUGAUCUUUUCCUCAUUCUAGUCUACUUACAAUUCUUGGAAAAAGGAAUACUCACAUCUCAAACAACAGCCUGUUCAUCUGCAGUGUCCUGCCGAAUUCUAGAAAGUUUGGUGGCAAUGUUAAUUACAUUUCAAAAUUGACUGCUGCGAUAACUAAUUCGAUGGCUUACUACAUGGUCAACGUUUGGAUCUCUUCCUGUCCUUUUUGGAUGCACAUUUUUUUUCUCUAGGUAAUAUAUAAUCUCCCAACUCAUUUCUUUACAAAUGCACCUUUAAUCACCACCAAAAGGUGUGGACAUGAUCUUUACCCUAGAAAACUAUUCACCGACAGGCAAAUUGACGUCAGAAAUACUAAGAGGAAUUCUAGUUUCCUUCGGGUUAAUGCCAUUUUGUACCCUUCAACUGUAACUCAAUUUCUAAGCUGUAAUUUGUGACAUUAUAGUCCUUAAACUAUGAAACCCUUUCUUAUUUAAUUACAAUGGUUAAUACAAUGCCCGUGACUAGACAAGUAUGAAGCAACCAUAACAAAAAAAAAAUCCAAAAUUAGAGAAAAGAAAGAAGUUGCGACCAAAGUAUGUAUCAAGGCAUAGUAUAGAAAUAAAAGUGUCAAAAUUAAGAGUUUAGGGAUAAAAAAGAAUCAAAAUAUAGUUUAGGAAUUGAUUUGUCUCAAUUAGAGUUUAGAUGUCAACUAAGAAGAGAGAUAUAGUUGAAGGGUAGAAUAUAGAUAUAACAGUUCAAUGAUUGAUAUCAACGAGACAAUGACAACUUUGGAUUAUUACCAACCUCUUCUUGAUGGAAAAGGAAAUAGAGAAGAAAGUCGGGCCUGGUCUAAGCCUGUUUCGGAGGCAAAACAACAUUAUGAAAUCACCGGCAUUCACACAAAUAUGUCAAAGUCACCGGCAUGCUAAGUUGCAAAAUUUAUACAAACACUGAAUAUUAUAUUCUUCUCAAAAUUUUUGUUUAAGAUUUAACAAUUAGAGCACGGUACACGAAUUAGCAAUAUUAAAUAAUGAAUGUUCACGAUUGAUAAAGUUAUCAAAGUACAGUUUGAGGACAACCCAUUCCAACGUGUACAAGAUGUUUAGCCUUUGAAAAGUUAAUUAGAGAAGGUGACGAGAUUUUACUAGGCUUACAACUUCUAGGCCUUGGGAGUAAAAAGUGAAGACACUGAGUGCUAUAAAAAGGGGGCUAGAUGUUGCCUAGAAGCAUAUCAGCCUCGGACCACAUUUUGUAGCAAUGGGGAGCAAAGCAAAAGCAAUGGGGUCUAGGCUGACUCCUCUUUUUACCACCGUUUUAGUGGUAUUUGUUGCACUUGGCUUGCCUUCAGAAACUGCAGCUGAUUACGACAAGUAUUCACCUCCUCCUCCUCCUUACCAUUAUUACUCACCACCACCUCUUGUGCAUUCACCUCCACCACCGCCAGUUUAUAAGUCACCCCCACCACCUUAUCACUACUUCUCACCACCACCUCCAGUGUAUCCAUCUCCACCACCAUCUGUUUACAAGUCACCUCCACCACCUUCGCCAGUAUACAAGUCCCCACCACCACCUUAUCAAUAUUCCUCACCACCACCUCCAGUGCAUUCACCUCCACCACCACCGAUUUAUAAGUCACCUCCACCACCUCCUCCAGUUUACAAGUCCCCGCCACCACCUUACCAUUAUUCCGCACCAUCACCUCCAGUGCAUUCACCUCCACCACCACCGAUUUACAAGUCACCUCCACCACCUCCUCCAGUUUACAAGUCUCCAUCACCACCUUACCAUUAUUCCUCACCACCACCUCCAGUGCAUUCACCCCUACCACCACCGGUUUACAAGUCUCUGCCACCACCUUACCAUUAUUCCUCACCACCACCUCCUAUGCAUGCACCUCCACCACCAAUAUACAAGUCACCUCCACCACCUCCUCCAGUUUACAAGUCUCCACCACCACCUUACCAUUAUUCCUCACCACCACCUCCAGUGCAUUCACCCCUACCACCACCAGUUUACAAGUCUCCGCCACCACCUUACCAUUAUUCCUCACCACCACCUCCUGUGCAUGCACUGCCACCACCAAUUUACAAGUCACCUCCACCACCUCCUCCAGUUUACAAGUCCCCACCACCACCUUACCAUUAUUCCUCACCACUACCUCCAGUGCAUUCACCUCCACCACCACCGAUUUACAAGUCACCUUCACCACCUCCUCCAGUUUACAAGUCUUCACCACCACCUUACCAUUAUUCCUCACCACCACCACUCUUCAAUUUGGAUGUAAUUCAAUUUUCCUUGUAAUCGGUGGCCCUCCUUCGGAAUCCAAAUAGUCAUUGAGUGCAGCCUUCUUUCUUUAUUUUUUACUCAUUUUCACCUCAUAAAUUGCUUUCAUCCCCUAAAACUUGUUCGCUGGAAUUUUGAAUUUACCCAUACAACUAAACUCAGAAAAUUCUUACACAAAGGGAUUAGUAGCAUGAAUAGCAAACACAGAAUAAGAGAUAACAGUAUGUUUUAUUGUAUUAAAAAUAUUAAAGUGGAUUAUUUCUCCAUCGAAUUCCAUUGUGAGAGUAUCGUUACUAACAUCAAUCUUAGUUUGAGCAGUACUCAAGAAUGACCUUCCUAAUAUAAUGGGUGAUGGAUUUGGGACACUUUCAUCAUCCAUAUAAAACACAUAAAAAUCAACAGAAAAAAUUAAUCCAUCUACUUGAACUAAAAACAUCCUCAACUACCCCAUUUAGAUAAGCAAAUAUACGAUCAGCCAAUUGAAUUAUUAUCCCUAUUUCUUUUAAAUGUUCUAAAUUUAGGGAAUCAUAAAUUGAUUUAGACAUCACAUUAAUAGAAAUCUUUAAAUCUAUCAUGGCAUUUUUUAUAUUAGAAUGUCCAAUCUUACAUGAGAUAGUAAACAUACCUAGAUUCUCGCAUUUAGGUGGUAGUUUCCUUUGUAAAAUUGCUGAAACGUUCUCAUCUACCACAAUAUGCUUGUCCUCCUCAAUUUCUUCUUGUUGACACACAAGUUUUUCAAGCAUUUAACGUAUUUUGGAACUUAUUUGAUUUGCGUCCAACAAAGGGAUAUUGAUUGCCACCUUGCGAAAAUCUCUAAAAUCUCCUUUUCUUUAUCUUGUUUCUUUGAUUUCUCUAACCUGCUUGGAAAAGGUGGUGAGUUAGUUCCAACUCUAAUUAUAGAAUCAACAAUUACCUUUGGAUUCACAUUUCUCAUUCCUUCCUCCUCAAGCUCUUUGUCGAUUCGAUCUUCAUUUUUAUCCUUUGGAAUCACAACUUCGGAUCCCUGAAUUUUCUUCUCGCUCCUUAAGGUCAUUACACUUACAUUCUUCAGGUUCAGUUCAGGUUGAGACGACAAUUUUUCAUAGAUUUGGGAUUCCAGGCGGUUGAUUGCUAUUACCAUCUGACUCAUCUGACUCUGCAGUGCUUGCACCUGUCCCAAUUGAUUCCUCAUACUUUGCAAGUCAAAAUCCAUCUUUUGUUGAUUAGCAAUUAAUUGCUUCAUUAUCUCUUCUAUAGAUGGACUUGAGUUUGAAAGAGGUGGUGGCGGGCGAGACUGAUACUGUUAUUGAUACCCUUGCUAUCUAUUUGGUGCAAAAUCUGGCUACCUAUUUCCUCCAUAGCUGAGGUUGGGAUGAUCUCUCCAACCAAUAUUGUACGUAUUCGUGUACGAGUCGUAUGGUUUUCUUGGCACGGCGCGUGACCAGCCAUGUUCACUUGCUCCGUACUUUUCUCUUGAAUCAUUGAGCACAUCUCUGUAGAAUGACCCAUAGCAGUGCAGAUCCCACACAUCUUGACUCGUGAUGCAUUUCCUAUAGCUAAUUGCCUAACAAAGGAUGUUAAUUCGGUCAACUGCUGUUGGAUAGAAUAUGUUUCUACCUCAUUUACUUUGCGUGUUGGGGCAUCCUCCCUCGUACCAAACUGUUGCGAAUUUUCCGCCAUUCCUUCAACUAGCUCCCACGCUUCUCGAGAAGUCUUGUUCACCAAUGCCCUUCUACUUGCAGCAUCAAUUAUACUCCUGUCUCUAAAACGCAGCCCCUCGCAAAAAUAUUGGAUGAGCAAUUGCUCACUUAUUUGGUGUUGAGGGAACUUGAUGCAUAACUUCUUGAAUCGCUCCCAAUAAUCAUAAAGCGACUCUCCUGGAUGCUACUUGAUACCGUAUAUCUCCUUCCUUAGACUUGCAGCUCGAGAUGCAAGAAAAUAUUUGUCCAAGAACUUUUUCUUCAGCUGAUCCCACGUGGUGAUGCUACCUGGUGGUAGAUAGCACAGCCAGUCUUUUGCGGAGUCCUUCAAGGAGAAGGGAAAUGCCCUCAUUUUUAUCUAUUUUUCUGUAAUUCUCGGAGGUUUUAUGCUGUUGCAAACGACAUCAAACUCUUGCAAGUGCUUAUACGGUUCCUCACCUGGUAAACCAUAGAAAGAUGGCAAGAGAUGAAUUAGACCAGAUUUUAACUCAAAUGAAGUGUUAUCAUUUAAAAAUAGAAAAGUAACUGAGAUGCAGCACUGGAAUGUUCUUCUCGAAAUUGUCUGGUCUCUUUCUUUGUUCUACGCGUAGUCUUCUCUACCUUAGGAUCAAAAAUUAAUUUACCUGUACGAGAAGAACGAGGCAUACACUAGAAAAACACUAGAAAAUUAGAACAAAAAUGAACAUAAAAAGAAACAAAUAAACCAACGUCAGUCCCCAGCAACGGCGCUAAAAAUUGACAAGUUGUCGAUGCCUGUGCAAUAAUAAAAAUAAACCUAGUUACCAAUUAAAAUAAUCAGAGCCUAAUUCUGAGUACUAGAGCAGGGACUAUAGGUGUGCAAUGGGUUACUUGAUUCACCCUAUUCCUGAAGUUUGCUUAACCCGAUAUACCAGAAUGAGAUUGCUUAUUCAAAAGGAAUUAUUGAUUUGUAAACAGGGCAAGUAGGGUCGUAUCAUCAGGGAUUGAAAAAAUUUGUUUCUUUUCAAAUCCACAGUAACAAGGGGAUGUUUUUGUAUAAAUGAUAACAAUCUAAGGAGUGCAAAUAGAAAUAAAUAGAUAACUAGAAAUUAAAUGACAAUUCACUAAAAUUAGAGUAAUAAUAAUUAAAGGUCUAGCUAAGAAAUAACUUCAGCAAUGGUUCACCUAAUUGAUCAUCGACGCAAAGGCAAUUCCAAUUAUUUACUAAUAAAUAGGUUAUAACUGCAAAACAAGCAAUGACAGUCAACCCCUCCUUACUGUCGGUCGGUGAUUAAGGUACGCCCAAUCACUGCUCUAGUUGAGAAAUAAUUUUAGGGACGCUCGUAAGAUUUAAUUUUCCAAUUGCCUUACGUAUUAGAGGAGCCAUAAUCUAACCAAAUAACGCUACCAGGAUUAUUUUAAAUUAACCCGUGUAUUCCCUUGAUACAAAUUCAAUCAUGUCAGUUGUCACUAUUUCAAGGUAAUGAAACAAUUACGGAUUUAAUAUCCUAAUUGACAAUAGGUUACUAAAUCAAUUCACUAUUUCGAUCCAAGAUAAUCAAUCAAUUUAACAACUAAUAGCACUGCAAUCGGAGAAUAUGUAAAUACCAAUAAAUAAGAGGAAAAGAUAAAAUUAAAUCGAUCUCACAAUUUUUAAACAAAUCAAAGUAUCCGUUGUUUCUUGACUAGAAAAGAAAAUUUAGUUCAUUCCUAAUGUGAAAGACCCACGUGAGAAUUCAAAAAUAAUAUUCACGGAUAUUGUCUUGAUUCAAUAGAUUCAAUUGCGUUGGAAUAAGGAUAAAAAGCCAAACUAUAGAGAGUGAUUCAAUGUUUUGUUUCGUUUGCAUUUUUUCUACACAUAUGGAAGAAGAAAAACAACUAAAGGACGAAAAAAAAAAGUCAAAGAAAGGCACCCAAAGUAGUGCUUGGUCUCUACCAUCCUAUUUCCUAUCUAAUUACUACUUCCCUUCUGCGGCUGCCUAGAGGAAGAAAGAGAAAGCAGACUUCAGGUCUUGUUCCAUCUCCUCCCUUUUCGGCAAUUCCCCAAAAGUAGAAAAGUUCCUCCGUUUACCAAAAUGCCCCUGGAAUGAGGACUGCUACUUGAACUCAUUUUCUUGAUAACUGUCAAAUUAGCACUUGUUAUGGUAUUUGCGUCUACUUCCUGUAAUAAAUGUAAAUUGCCAAAAGUGAGUAAACUGAUAAUUAAUUUACAUCAGGUCAGGUAAUAGGAAAAAUUAAUUAUAAAAUAAAUGAUAAAAUUGCAACCUAUCACUUAGAAUAACCAGAAAUAAAACAAAACAAGAAAUGAAAGAAAUAAGAGGGUAGCAUAGACAUUUUGGAUUUUUCUGUUAAUUUGGAUGAUUUCCACCUACGGUCUAAUUUAAUCCAAAACACAAAUGGAUUAUGUGGAGAUUUUUAAACAAUGAGGGAGUAUCGUGACCGAAUCCCAAACCACAAAGGGGAUUUACUAUAUUUUACUCUUAAAUUUUGGUUUCAUCUCAUAGCAUACAAGAGUACUAUUUCACUGUCUGUCGACCAGGGAGGAGGGUUGGGUUGGGUGGUACGGGGGAGGGAGUCUAAGUAAGAGGUCUCAGGUUCGAAUCCUCCUGUUUAUACUAAAAAAAAAAAUUUACUAUCUGUCGACAAAGAUUUUCUAUGGUUGAUGUACCAUAGGAAAAAUCUGCCUAUACAAUUAUUUGGAAAAAUUAUCCAUCCAAACAUAGUCACGAUAGCAUUUUUUCAAAAACACUAGAUGCAAAAUUGUCCCCUUAAACGUGGAAAUUCAUGAUCUUUCCUCGACUAGUCUACUUGUCAAUUUUUGAAAAAAGAAUACUCACGCCAAAAACACGGCCUCUUCAUCUGCAGAAUUCUAAAAAGUUACGUAAACUCUAUAAACAAGUUGAUAGGUACAAUCGUACCCAAGAUCAAGUACAGAUAGUUGUACAUUCACUGCUGCAAUAACUAAUCUGAUGACUUACAAACACAUCAUGGUCAAUCGUUGAAUGGUAAUGAGUCUUUUGUUAUGCAUUAGUAUUAGUGUGUACACUCUAAUAGAUUGAUACUUAUACUCUUUAAAUUAUCAUAAUAAUACCCUUAAUUAACUUUAACCCUUAAAAAGAAUACGUGUUAAUACACGAGAGUGUGUAACCUGAAUUGUUACUUAUACAUUAGUGUGUAAUAGAACGGCAAGCAUUAUGGUGGUCAUUGAGCAACUUAUAGGAGAAAUAGUCCUAUAAGCUGUUCAAUGACCAAUCACAACUUGCUAAUUGGAUGACUAAUAUAGCUCUAGCUGUAAUGUUUUAAUUAAAUUCCACACUAACGUUGGGAUGACUUUUUAAUCAAAAAAAAAAAAGCCUUAGUUCAAGCUUUUCCCCUUAUUGUGCAUUUUUUAAAACAUUUGAUAGGCACUGCAAAUCUGUCAUUUUGGACAUUUUAUUAUUAACUAACAAUGAAAGCCGUGGACAUCAACCCAUAUCCAACAAAAUAUUAAAUUAAUAUUAGAAAAAUUAUUAAGUAAUUGGAAAAAAAAAAGAAGAGGCUAAUUUUCAUUGAAACCCACCGACAAACUAUCCGUGUCCAUAGCUUUUGAAUAGUGCAUUCAACGUUUAAUUGUAUGGUCCAGUUCAUUGCCGAUUACAUGGAGUAAAGAUUGUGCUCUUUCCUUUUUCACCCCUUUUGGAAUCGAUACUGUGGAGAAUUGGGUUUUUCCCUCCUUUUUUUCUUUUCUUUCCUUCUGUGCUUUGCAAAACAUACGUAAAAAUAUGAAAUCCGAAGCAUUCUUUAAUUGGGAUUAAGUAUUGUUGUUGAAAUUAAAAAGAAGAAAGAAAGAACAACAAAAAUCCCAAUCUGGGUUGAUUGUUGAGCUCUAGAUUGGCUGCAUCGUGCUUCCAUAGAAGUUCUCUUAGUGUGAUACGCUGCUUUCAAUCAGUUUUAAUAUUUAAGUAGAGUGCAAAAUAACUUUACUAUUUAAUGGGUUAUAAUGCACCAUUUGGUACCUCUCACCCACCUAUGAUUUGAUUUACUACUGGCAUGGUAAUGGACAGAGUUGGGGGAGCAGGAGGAGGGAGAUGGCGGUACCAGUCCGUCAACCACAGCACACCCUCCCUCGGACUUUGCGUGGUAGCGAAGUGGAGGCAGAUCGAGCACACAUGCACUAACGCCUUAAGUAUGUACAAUAUAUGUAUGCCAAAAGCAUAGCCAAGCCUACCAGCGCAUUUCAAUAAUAUAACCCGGAAAUUAAGGGCAUUGAAUUAAGUACGAUGAAUCAUAUUGGUGCACAAUUACAGUUUGAAGCUACCGAUUCGAGUAAAUUUAAGCGUAAGCACAAUCAAUCGCCAGUCAAAUGCUGAAAUAUGCAUAUGCAUGGAUGAAUGUAUGGGUUUCUUAGUUCCAGACCAAAGGCCAACAAUAAGGGAAGGAAGGACAGUUCUCAUUUUUAGCACGGACAAGGAGAUGAAGAAAAGUGUAUGUAGCUUGAGACAGAACAAUGGCAUGUGACCGCUCCUGAGACCACAUAACGUGGGGUGGGGAUGGGACGGCCAAGAAUGAAGAUGCCUGUCGGUCUCUCCGUGCUGCUACCAUAUGAAUCCCCCGUUAACCAAUUCAAGAUAAGCCUGAAGUUCUUUUCAUCCCCAAACCCUGUCCCAUCUGUGUAAAUCCAACAUCAUCAUUUACGACCUGCAACUCAGGUUAAGCAUGUUCUAUUGAGAUUCAGACACCACCCUUCAAAAGAUAUACUACUGUGAAACCAGCAGCUUAAUAUCAUUGUAUAAAAAAAAAAAAAAAAGAAAGAAGAAAAGACAUGAAAAGCAAAUUUUGUGGGGAUAAUUUCAAAAUCUCUCCUAAAGUUUUUUACUAUUUUACUGGCCUCCUUUCAAAUUUUAAAAAUUACACCAGUCUUCCUUGAGAUUAUUUAUCUUGUAACAUUGAGGUCCAAUCAAUAAUUAAAAAAUGAUAUUAUGAGAGAGAAAAAAAAUAAACUUUAACAUCAUAAAUAUUCUUAUCAACAUAUUAAAGUUAGUUACUGAAAUUUUUAUGGUGUUAAACUUCACUCUUUGUAAUAUUUUAGUUACAGAUUUUUUGAUUACUUGUUGUUGAUUUUUUUUUUUUUAGUGUAAACAGGAGGACUCGAACCUAAGACCUCUCACUUACACUCCCUCCCCCCGUACCACCCCAACCCAACCCAACCCUCCCCUCGUUGUUGAUCAUGUUUGACAAUGGAUUUGUAAUUGAAAAGAACAAUUUGGAUCUUACAUUGAGUGAAAUAUAUAGAAUGAUAUACUAUUUUUUAUGGCAUAUGUGAUUCAAUCCUUGAUGAUAAAAGCAAAUUCAAGUGUUUUCUUUAAUGUUUGUGCUGAUAUUAGAUUAAUUAAAUAAUUUAGUAGAUGAAGGAAAAUGGUGAAAUCAUAUUAUCUUCUCUUUCCUAAUAUCACUAUUUAAUUAUUGAUUGAACUUAGAUAUUACAAAUAAUAAAUCUCAAGGGAGAUUAGUAUAAUUUUCAAAUUUUGGAGAGAAGCUAAUGAAAUAGUCAAAAACCUUAAGGGAGGUUUACAAAAUUAUCCCAAAUUUGUGGGAAUUAGAAUAAUUGUACUGGACGGCACUGCCGCAACAGAGGGAAAGAGGAGGAGGUGCAGUUAACUUUUUGUUGUUUGAAAUCCUUGGUGAAAUAUUACAGAAAGACAGAUAAAACAGUUAGUACAUAGAUGUAUAUGACAGGGAAAAUGGUACGUCUGUUAAUCACAUUUGAAACACUUUCAUUGGUGAAUGACGAAAACUAUCAGGCUUGCCCAAUAGUUGAUCAUUGACCAAGACAAAUCUUGCCAUGCUAGAGGUACCAUCUUUUCGUACCUCUUUAGUGCACAGGACAUUCCUUUGUUUCAUCUAGCUAAUAAUCUACCAACUCAUUUCUUUGCAAAUGCACCUUUUAUGGUCACGUCUACGAAAGCUUUACAGGAUCUUUACCCAAAAAAUCAAUUCACCGACUCGCAUUUGAUGUCAAAAUUUCUUUACUUUACUCCAAGAUUGACUGUUAAUAAUAAUGCCACUUUGAAUUAUCACACCAUCCUUCUUGAUAGGAUUUGUGCUAGAGGUAGGGAGGGAGUCGCUGCAGCCGGUCUUCUCUUCAUAGACAGUACAAUAUUGCGAAAUCGAUCGCAUUCACGCAAUAUUAUAUUUCCAAGUCGUUGCAUGGGUAAGCUGCCAAAAAGUACGAACACAUGUUAUUAUAUAGCUUAAGAUUCAAAACUUUCGAGCAUAACCCUCCACCUAACACAAUUGAAUAAUGGAUAUUCACGAUUGUCAAAUCUGUCAAAGUACAGUUUGAGGACAACCCAUUCCAACCUGCAAAAGGUUUUUUUACUUUUCUAAAGUUGUUGAGAGCUGUUAAAAGAUUUACCAUGCUUACAUCUUCCGAGCCUUGGGAGUUAAAAAUGAAGGCACUGAGUGCUAUAAAAAGGGAAUAGAGGCUGCCUAGAAGCAUACCAGCCUAAAACAAGGAUUUGUAGUUAUGAUGGGAAGCAAAGCAAAAGCAAUGGGGUCUGGGCUGACUCCUCUUCUUGCCACUGUUUUAGUGGUGUUUGUUGCUCUUGGCUUGCCCUCAGAAACUGCAGCUGAUGAUCACUACAAGUAUUCAUCUCCUCCUCCUCCUUACACUAUCCCUCACCACCACCUCCAGUGCAUAUACCUCCACCUCAUCCUGUUUACAAGUACAAAUCUCCACCACCCCCACCACCACACCCAGUUUACAAGUAUAAGUCACCACCACCACCUCCUCAUCCGGUACCACACCCAGUUCCUCAUCCGGUGCCACACCCAGUUCCUCAUCCGGUGCCACACCCAGUUUACAAGUAUAAGUCACCACCACCACCUCCUCAUCCGGUACCACACCCAGUUCCUCAUCCGGUACCCACACCCAGUUUACAAGUAUAAGUCACACCACCACCUCCUCAUCCGGUACCACACCCAGUUUACAAGUAUAAGUCACCACCACCACCUCCUCAUCCGGUAUACAAGUAUAAGUCUCUCCGCCACCAACACCCAGUUUACAAGUAUAAGUCACCACCACCACCUCCUCAUCCGGUGCCACACCCAGUUUACCACUACAAGUCACCACCACCACCUCCUCAUCCGGUACCACACCAGUUUACCAUACAAGUCACCACCAAUCCUCACCCAGUUUACAAAUACGAGUCUCCACCACCUCCAGUUUAUAAGUACAAGUCACCACCACCUCCUCCACCAGUUUACAAGUAUAAAUCUCCUCCACCACCACCACCAGUUUACCACUACAAGUCUCCACCACCUCCUCCCCCAGUUUACAAAUACAAGUCUCCACCACCUCCUCACCACUACUAAGCAAUUGCUUCUGAGGUAAUAACACUUGUUCAAUAUACCCACUUCUGCAUGAUAAAGCAUAUCUCUAUCAACACAAACUGUCAUGUCUAUCAUGCUAAGUGCCUUCACUUCAUCCACCAAAAUGACUGCUAGAAAAUUUUUUUUAUGUUACCAAAGAAAGGCAUCAUUUUUUCCCUCUGUUAUCAAGAACUUGUACAGUAUAUAGAUUAAAGAGUUUUUAUUUUAACUAGCUUAUCAACUUAGAAAUGCAUAUAGCUGAUAACCAGCUGAAUAUUUGCAGGCAAAGGAGAAGGAAACCAUGUUUGAGACCUUCUUGAAGAUGUAGAAGCAUAAGAAUAAAAGCCCAAUGUGAAGAUGAUGAUUUCAAGUUUUUCUACGUUACCAUUUCUUUAUCUAAAUUGGUUGUAGCGCCCAAGUUCCUUUGUUUAUGGGAUUUGUAUCGUUUUACGUACCAUGCAGUACAUGUCAUGUUUGUAAGGUUUUCUAUCCUGCCGGCAAACCGCAGGUUCCAUGUGAUAAAUGAAUACUAUUUAUGUUACGACACUUUUCUCUGUUUCUCUUAUAUUUUGUCUUUAAUAUUCUUAAUCAUAUUUUUAACAAAAAUAUUCAAACA
rnacentral:lncRNA from 1 species